rnacentral:lncRNA from 1 species
AGGGUAUAAUUAAUCAAACUGAUUUGGACAAUACCACACGAUUUUUUUUUUAUUGACAAACCAACAUAAACAAUAUAUUAACGUAAAUAACGCAUUCACAUAUAAUUGUUUUAUUUAAUUAUUAAGAAAGACGAAGUACAUGGACGGUGGACACUAAGAAAUAUAAUCUCUUGUAUAUCAAGAGAUUUUAGAGGUUGAAAUGAACUAAACUGACCCUCACACAAUUAAUUGACAGGUAAUAACAGUACCCAUCCUUUUAUUAACCAUAAUGGAAAAGAGUAAUACUGCGUGCGUGCGUGAGCUUAUUAACCAGUGUGGUCGGGAUUUCUUCCAUAUUGAGGGACAGCAAUAAGAUCAAGAUUGUCAACUGUCCCGUCCUUAUCAUCAGCAAUACCAUAUACAGGUACUGGAGUACCCUCCAACCAUUCAUUCUUACCUGAAAGUUUAACAUUAGAAAAUGGAUUCAUAAAUGCUUAUAUUAAUAUAUGAAUUGUAAAUGAUAUCCAUUCAGCUGAAAUUGGCUAAAAAACCUGCGCAAGGAAAAGGAGUUUCCAUAUUCUUCAAAUCAGAAAAGAUCUCCAGGUGAAGCGUAAUCAAAACUCAAAAAUAAGUAGAGCUUGAGCGUGUUCUUAGUUCUGGUUUGAUCUGAUAUAUAUAGAUUCAAGAAGCCGAUGUUGCCGAGGUGUGGGUGAUUGUGACGUAGCAAAACAUAUAAUAGUUAUUUAAGAUUAACGGCCAUGGCUAAACUGCACGUCGAAACGUGUUAGCAUGGGUCCAUAAAAUAAAUAAUUUUAUCUAAUUAGGAGAGAAAUCGAUUCAGUAACAAGCUGCUGCUUGCACUUCCUAGAAAUUUUAAAUUUAUGAAUUGAAAUUACUCACGCCUUUUCUUGUGUAGUUAAUUAUGCAUACAGUUCAAGCUGAGGGAUACUGAUGUGAAGUGUAGGGACAUGGAUAUAUACUAUCGUUUACAUUAUUUUACAGCCUUGAUGUAUUAUUUUAUUUGGCAAUCAUAUAGUCACUGUCUGCACUACACUUUGUCUUCCCUACACUUGUCUCCACUUGAGUAUUCUUGAGUGGUAGCUGAGUCACAAGUCACCUUCUCAUGUCUGCUGGGCUUGCCUGUCGUGCUUGAUUUACUUUGUUCUAACACCCCGGCUCAAUCUCAGUUUUCUUAGCAUACUCUCAGGUCAUGUUUGGUUUGUAAAAAAUGGAGAAGAGGAAAAGUGUGGAAUGGAGAGGAAGAGAAAAGAAAGGAAUGGAGAAAAGUAGUAGUGAAAUCACAUUUUGUUGAUUGGUUUGAUAUAAAAUUUAAUAAGGAAAUGAAUUAUAAUUUUUUUCUUUAGACUAAUUUACAAUUUACCUCAAAUAUUUAAUUAUUUAUACUAGUAAUAAAAUAUAUAUAUAUAAAAAUAAAAUGACGGUCCGGUGGCCGGCGGUGAAGGUCCGGUUACUUUUCGGCGAACGUCUGGCAUCUUUUCGGCGAAUGUCCGGCAUGAUUCCGGCGAAGUUCGGUGGGAUUCCAGCGAAGUCCGGCAGCUUUCCGGCAACAUCAGGCGACUUUCUGGCGGUGAUCCAUUUAUGAUAUUAAAUCAAUAAAAUAAAAUUAUAAAUACUAAUUAUUAAUGAUAUUAAACAAAUUAAAAAGUUGAAAGGUAAUUUUAGAAACUUUAGUUUCUAACUUAAGAGGAAUUUAAAUUUUCACUACUUGGUGUGGAAUUCAAAUUCUACAUUAUGAUGGAUAUUAAAUUUUAAUGGAAAUUAAAUUCUUAUAUAUUUUGUCAAACCAAACAAUGGAAAUGAAAAGAGAAUUUAAAUUACUUUCCUCUUCUCCAUUCUCUCCUCCCAACCAAACACCACCUUAAUUUAUUUGUAUGGAAUUCAAAUAGCUCAUGUCCCAAUGCCUUUGUCAUAAUGUCCGCCACUUGCCUUUUACUCAGCACAUAUUUAAGAAUUAUUUCUCUUUUCCCGAUUUUUCAGUGUAAAUAAAUUAAGCCAAUAUCUUGAGAAUCCAAGCGAUACAUACAGUAGAAUUUGAAAUGGUGCAAGACCUAAUCAAGUUUGAUAUUUACUAAGUUACAGAGGCCAUUGAUGACAUACAUAGGAAAUUAUCUGUAAUUGUUGCUUGACUCCCACGUAUGUGUGUACAUAUAGUUCUUUUCAAGUGAGGGCAUCCUCAUUUUGUUAAAGUGAGGAUGCCCUCACUAGAAAAUUCCAGUAGUGAUAUCGCUGUUGGAUUUUUUAAUCUAGUAUUGUUGGAUCCUUAAUCCAAUACUGGGUUUAUAUGUGAAAAUUUUAUAUAUUGCAGACUGUCAUAUAAGAUUAAGUACAAUUAAAAGUGAACUAUUUAGGUUUUCGGUGCUAUGGACUUUAAUGUGUCUAAUAGGGUGUGAGCUUUAAUGUGUAGAGAUUCAAUGAUAUUUUAAUUUUAUGAUGGACAUAAUUAGAAAUAUCCAGUGACAAUAAGAAAAUGUUGUCUAUAUAAGUGGUUAUGGUUCCCAAAUCACAAGUAUGUUUCUAUUCUAUAUUGACAUCUCAUCAUCAGAGAGAGAGAGCGCAGAGAGAAUUAAAGGACUUUCUAUUCUCUUUUUAAGUGAGGAUACGCUCACUAGAAAAUUACAAUAGUGAUAUCGCUAAAAAACCUAUUUUAGAGUUUGAUUAUUUGAACAAGUAAUUUUAAUUCUGCUUGGCUAGAAUGAGAGUAGUAUGUUAUUAGUCUUUCUAUUUAUAUUUAGGUAGAAUUCUAUUUCUAUGUUUGAGUGUACAUUGCCUGGUAGAUUUACUCAAUUACAAAUCACGUGGUUACAUAAUAUGUUUGAAAACCUCUAAUUAACAAAAUUCUUAUUUUAUUUUCUUUCGUAAUAUGAUUUACCUAAGUCUCUCUUAUAAAAUCAUUUGCAUUAAAGCAUCAAUUAAUCUCAUUACUAUGAUGUAUUAUUUGUCUUGGACUUCUUAUUUUGGUCUAUCACUAUAUUACUUACCUUGGGCUGUCUCACUAUUUUCGCAUAAUAUUAUCUGCCUUGAGUCAUUCAUUUUUGUAUAGAGUGGUUAUAUUAUCUCAUCAGUUUUUAUAUUAAUUUCUAUUUUGCCGCUGUAUGAAAUUACUUGUUUUGGUGAAUUACUAUAUUAUUUCCCUUGGGCCGCCUCACCAUUUUGUUGCAUAAUCUGCCCUGGGUCAUUCAUUUUUGUAUAGAGUGGAGAUAUGAUCUCAUCAGCUUUUAUAUUAAUUUAUGUUUUGCCAUUGUAUGAAAUUAUGAAAAAUGGAUAUUGAAGAGUUUCUUGCCACAAAUUGAACCUGCAUCUCUGGUAAGCAUUACUCAUGCACUUUCGCGGAAAAGGCAGUAAGUGAAUGACCUAAACUCAUGGUUCAUUUCAUAUUAUGGAGUUUCUUAAUUUCUUCAGGAUUAUUUCGCCUGGAAUUCUCCAAAAAUCCACUGCUGAUAGGGUUGGUGCUUGCCACAUUGCCUUUGCGGCUGGUAGUGGCUUGUAUGCUUGUUGGAUUAGUCAGAAAAUUCAAUUGGCAUUGGUCACAAAUUUUUUUAUUCAAAUUUUUAUUCGAGCUGAGGGAUACAUAUAGUAGUAGACUUCAUAUACUAUGGGUGCGUUUUUGGGAUUGAGGUUGGGUAGCUGUGACUUUUAAGUUAGAGCACUAAAGUGUUUGGUAAACACUAGCUGUUGUACCUUUUAAGCUAUAUUAAUAUGAUUUUUUAUUUGUAUAAUGAAAAAUUUAUUAUAUCUUUAAUUAUUAUUUAAAAUUUAUAUUUACUAUAUAUUAUUAACUUUUGUUUGAUAGUUACUAUUUUUUUUUUAUAACAAUUGUAGUUUUUAAGUUACAGCACCUCAAUUCCAAACAAGACCUAUAUUGUCUUUCUCAUAUAUAUAAAAUAUAGUAAGAGAUAUAUAUUGCUUUCAUAUAAUUCUCAAUAUCAUAGGCGGUUAACCUGGACUCUUGGCCUAAAGACAAUAUGAGCAUGAAACCAUUUCGCGUGGGUGAUCAGUUAAGCCACCAAUGGGCUAUAAACAGAGCUUCAUUCAAGAGAGUUAAAGGUAUCCCAAGUUCUGAAAAUUGAGAGCAAGUACAAGUGAGCUUUUGCAGAGAAUUUUGAGAGUGUUUUCUUAACUAUUCUAGCGGGUAUUAUAUUGGGUGUAUUUAGGUUAUCGAGUUUUGAGAAUUAUUCCCGUUCAAAGCCCAACCCCAAUUUCAUGAACCUAAAUAAUAAACCAAACAAAAGAGAAUAUUCUCUCAAUUUAUCUAGAAUUAUCUUGGGUAAUAAUAUCCUGAAUAAUUGGCGCUGUGGCAGUUUUAAAAAUUUGGUGAUUGUUAAGAAAUUAAUGACAAUAAGUUUAGGAUGUCGUUACUUGUUAGGACCUGCAUUUAAAAUCUUAAAUAUUCGUAAUUAAUUAUAAAGAUCUUGGUUCACAUGCAAGCUACAACAAUUAGCCAACAAAUAUAUGGUAUUUUUGACAAAACUGUGCAAAAAGAAAGAGAAUAUAAUCAAUGAAACUGAUUUGGACAAUACCACACGAUUUUAUUUUUAUUGACAAACCAACCUAAAUAAUAUAUUAACGUAAAUAACGCAUCCACAUAUAAUUGUUUUAUUUAAUUAUUAAGAAAGAUGAAGUACAUGGACAUUGGACACUAAAAAAUAUAAUCUCUUAUAUAUCAAGAGAUUUUAGAGAUUAAACUGAACCAAACUAGCACUCGCAUGAUUAGUUGACAGAUAAUAACAAUACCCAUCCUUUUAUUAACUAUAAUAUAAAAAAGUAAUAUUGUGGGUAUGUAUGUAUUUAUUAACCAGUGUGGUCGGGAUUUCUUCUAUAUUGAGAGACAACAAUAAGAUUAAGAUUGUCAAAUGUCACUUCCAUAUCAUCAGCAAUACCAUAUACAGGUACUGGAGUACUCUAUGACCGUUCACUCUUACAUGAAAGUUUAAUAUUAGAAAAUGAAUUCAUAAAUGCAUAUAUUAAAAUAUGAAUUGUAAAUGAUAUCUAUUCAGCUGAAAUUGGCUUGAAACCUGCGCAAGGAGGAGUUUCUAUGUUCUUAUUUCUGCUUUGAUCUGAUACAUAUAGAUUCAAGAAGCCGACGUUGCCAACGUGUGGGCGAUUGUGACCUAGCAAAACAUCUAAUAGUUAGUUAAAUUCCACCUGCGACACGUGGGAGCAUGGGUCCACAAAACAAAUAAUUGGAACUAAUUAGAACAGAAAUCGAUUCGGUAACCCGCCGCCGCAUGCACUUUCUAAAAGUUUUAAAUUUAUGAAUUGAAACUACUGACGCCUUUUUAUGUUUGGUUAAUUAUUCAUAUAGUUCGAGCUGAGGGAUACAUACAGUAGUAGACGCCGUGUACCAUGUUCUCUUUCUCAUAUAUAUAAAUAUAGUAAGAGAUAUAUAUGGCUUUUAUUUAAUUCUCAAUAUCAUAGGCGGUAAACACGGACACUUGGCUUAAAGACAAUAUGAACAUGAAACCAUUUCACGUGGGUGCUCAAUUAUAUAACUUUCAUCCUUCUUAUGGAAGUCAGAAGAGGUGUGUACCUACCACAUCAACCGUGUCAAGCGAAGAUAUUGGACAUUUAAUAAUGAAAAAAUUAGGAAUUUUCAUGGACACACCAGUAGGUUCCGUAAAUAUAUAGAAUCAAUUGAUUCUAGGUACCUUACAAUGUGACUUAUUAUUUUUUUUUUUUUGUCCCUAAAGAUCCGGACUAUUUUUGAGGAUACUGGCCGUUGAGGCUUUGUUUAUAAUUGUGCAAGAAAAUGGAAAAGAAUGGGCUAAAGCGCAAAAAGUAAAGCUAACAGUUGUUUAAUUUAUUUUUUUAAGAUUGUUUUGAUGUGGAAUUUGAUUUGGGAACUUUUUUGUAAUUACAAGAAACAGCCACACAGGGUGACAAUUAUGGCAUUCUUUCGUCAAUUGGAUAUUAAUAGUACAAUGAGGAUGGCUAAAUGCAUAAUCACCCUAUUAAUCUUGCAGUCCAAAGCAAAAGCAAUAGCAUUACAAACAGUAGAACUCUCAGAUUGAUUCACUGUAUCUAAACGAUAGGUCAUCUGAUUACUAAACUAUCUGACGUAACUGAUUCAGAAAUUUAAUUUAGAGAGGAUUUGGUACAAAUAAAAUGAUUCACGAGGCGCGUUCGAUGGUGCAAGUGAUCGGCGGCAACAACAAGCAAGUAAGGUAAUGAUGAUGUAUAUGUUGGAAAUAUGACUUAAUAUUGUUUAUUAAAAGUUCAAAACAUGAAUAAUAGUUGUUGGUACUGUUCACUUAGCAACAAUUGUAAAUUUGUCAAGGCGUGUUCGAACUGUCCUUAAAACAAAUUUAAGCUCUUCUAGAAAGAUUUCUCGAUGCAAAAAGGAUAUAAAUAAAAUGGAUUGAGCUCCAUGAUACAAUGAUAUUGUUGCCAGGUUGCACUCCAAGUACAAUAGUUUAGAAAAGAAAAAUUAAUGAAGAAACUAUGAGAUAGAAGGAGAGGAUAUAGUGGCUGUGCCUUGAAGACUUUGUAUUUUAAAAUACCAAUAAAACUCGAAGAAUAAACUUAAAUAAUUUUGAUCAAGAUUGCACUUUAAGAUGAAACACUAAUUAGAGGCCUUUAUGUAUAACUUAAUAAUUUGAUAAAUAACUUCGCACUAGCAAAGCCAAGAGUUUCAUUUAAACCCCUAAGAUUCAAAUAUUCUUUCACCCUUUACUACUGGCAAAAUUUGGCAAUCGAUAUUUCGGAAGACAUCACACAUGUAAAAAAAAAAAAGGAAAAAAAAAUAGCUAGUCCCAUCAAAAUCACCAAAUGCAAUCCAAUAACAUGCUCCACUUAAGUAUAGACUUUCAUGAGAAUCGACAGAAAAAAUAAAUAAUAAUAAGUUCAUUUAGUUAAGCAAAUAACAGUUUGUGAUUGUUCUUUAACCUUAUUAAUAAUCUAAUUCUUAGUUUCUUACUAUUGUUCUUUUACUUGAUUAUGUUAUCCCCUAAAUCUUCAUAACAUCCAGAUUAAAUUAUUGAGAAAUACGAAAGCGGAAGCGUACCUGAAUCCAUGGUGAUUCGUAGUGGUUCUUGAGUGUAGGAGAUGGACUUCCAAUCUUCUCUUUCUCUUGAGUUUAGAAUUCUCUUUGAGAGGAUUAGAGAAUUGCAAAGGAUUAGAGAGAUUGGGGACCAUAACCCCUUUUAUAUAAAUACCGUGACUAUUGGUUUUCUUUUAGAAAACCCAACAGUCACGUUAUUUAUGAUAAUAAUUAUCACUUCAGCCCCUCAUUAAAGUGAUGAUUAAAUUCUGGUAUCUAUGCAUUUAAUCCACAACAAUUAUACCCUUAGCCAUUUAAUUAACUUCAAAUAGAUCACUUAAUUCUUGGCUUAUUAAAUAAUAGCACACACAUUUUAUUUAUUUCAUGUGUGGCCCCAAAUAUAUUAGAUUAAUAUAAAAUUGAUCUAACAAUCUCCCACUGGGCCAUAAAUGAAAACUGAAAUGUGUUUAACUUAAUGAGCUCAUAAAAUUGCUAUUAUGUCCUUAGAGUAUAUCUGAACAAUCUAGUUCAAUAACCACAUCGGUAUAUGAUCAUAUCGGCCUUUGUUACAUUAAUCGUAACUCAACCAUCCAUGGUCACAUAUAUCAAUAUAGUUACAUGACAUAGAUCAAUUGUGGAUGCAUAGCAUGGAAAUUACAUGCAAUGUGAUCUAAACAUGUCUAUUCCCAACUGGUCCUAAUUUACUUUAUUGAGAUCUAAACUUAAGUUAGUCUAACAGAGUGUAAGGAACUGAAAUACUUUAUUUCUGCAGAAAAUAAUCCGAAUAAUAUAAUCAAAAUAUAAAAGUCACACUUAGUAAUUAUACAAACUCCCACUAAAUCUGAAUAUCCUCAAGUAAAAUCACACCCAUACGAGCAGUGUGCUCAUGAAAGACUUUAGGUGGUAAUCCUUUAGUGAGCGGAUCCGCUAUCAUGGAGUUUGUCUCAAUGUGCUCUAUAGAUAUUUGUCCACUCUGCACUCUUUCCUUCACAACAAGGAACUUGAUGUCAAUGUGUUUUGACUUUGUAGAGCUCCUGUUGUUGUUGGAAUAUAAAACUGCUGACUUAUUGUCACAAAAUAUCUUGAGCGGUCUUUCUACACCCUCUAGAAUGCGCAGCCUAGUGACAAAAUUACGCAGCCAUAUUCCUUGAUUGGAUGCCUCAUAACAUGCUACAAACUUUGCUGCCAUAGUCGAUGAAGCUACAAGUGUCUGCUUGGCAGAUCUCCAAGAAAUUGCUCCACCAGCCAACAUGUAAAUAUAGCCUGAUGUGGAUCUUCUGCUAUCUUGGCAUCUAGCAAAAUCAGAGUCAGAAUACCCAAUGAUCUCUAACUGAUCUGACCUCCUAUAUGUGAGCAUGUACUCCUUUGUUUUCUGUAAGUACCUCAUAACCCGUUUGGUUGCUUUCCAAUGAUCCAUCCCGGGAUUGCUCAAAUAUCUGCCCAACAUGCCAACUAUGCACGCAAUAUCUGGACGCGUACGUACUUAAGCAUAUAUAAGACUCCCUAUAGCUGAAGAAUAAGGAUUCUUCUCCAUUUCCUGGAUUUUAAGAUUGGUCUUAGGGCAUUGACUAAGGCUGAAUUUAUCUCCUUUGGCGACAGGGGUGUUACCUGGUUUACUGUUUUGCAUGCCAAACCUCUUCAAAACUUUAUCGAUAUAGUUCCUUUGUGACAAUCCCAGAAUACCCCGAGAACGAUCCUAAUGUAUCUCGAUUCCUAAAACAAAGGAGGCAUCACCAAGAUCUUUCAUCUCAAAAUGUUUUGAUAGAAAACUCUUGGUGUCGUGCAGUAUGCCUAUAUCAUUUGUGGCAAGCAAUAUGUCAUCAACAUAUAAAACCAGGAAUAUAUGUUUACUCCCACUAAACUUGUGAUACACACAUUCAUCAAUAACAUUUGCCUCAAAACCAUAUGAGAUAAUUAUUUGAUGAAACUUAAAGUACCAUUGACGAGAAGCUUGUUUGAGCCCAUAGAUGGAUUUGGUUAGCUUACAAACCAUUUUCUUUGGGUCUCCCAACACAGUUUUUUGGUUGUACCAUAUAAAUUGUUUCCUCAAUGUCACCAUUAAAGAAAGCAGUCUUAACAUCCAUCUGAUGUAACUCAAGAUCAAAAUGUGCAACAAGUGCCAUAAUUGUCCUAAAAGAGUCUUUCGUAGAAACCGGAGAGAAAGUCUCUUUAUAGUCAAUUCCUUCCUUUUGAGUAAAGCCUUUAGCUACAAGACGUGCUUUAUACCUUUCCACAUUACCAUUUGAAUCCCUUUUGGUUUUAAAUAUCCAUUUACAACCAAUGGGCUUCGCACCGGAAGGUAAUGAGAUGAGUUCCCAAACUUUAUUGUCUUGCAUUGACUUGUACUCUUCAUUCAUGGCUUCGAUCCAUUUAUGAGAAUUGGAGCUUUGCAUGGCUUGAUGAAAGUUAAUUGGGUCAUCUUCCAUCACUCCAGUUUCAUCCUCAUGUUCCUGAAGAAAUACUAUAUAAUCAUCCGGAAUAGCAUUUCUCCUUUCUCUUGUGGAUCGUCUUAAUUGCGCAGGCUCUUGAGGUUGUUGAGUUUGUUCCUUAGGAACAAUCAUCUCAUGUUGAUUCUGGGGUUGAACAACAUUGUCAGAUGGUUGAGGAUCUGAAUUUACUUCAUGAUCAAUGACAAGUAUUAAAACUUGUACAUUGUCAAAAGCAACAGUGGAUCCCUCUUCCUCUUCAAAGACAAUGUUUCUUACUGGAUUUCUCCCCCCAAACUCAACAUCCUCAAAGAAUGUAGCAGUUCCCGUCUCAAAAAUUGACCUUGUACUGGGAUCAUAAAACUUAAAACCCCUUGAUCGCUCUGCAUAGCCAAAAAAGUAGCUGCUUACAGUUUUGGAAUCCAAUUUCCUUUCAUGAGGUCUAUAAGGUCUCGCUUCAGCUGGACAUCCCUAACUAUGUAAAUGGUUGAGACUAGGCUUUCGACCCGUCCAAUGCUCAUAAGGUAUUUUAGCAGCCGCUUGAGUUGGCAUUCGAUUUAGGAUAUAAGCUGCUGUUUUUAGUGCUUCACCCCAGAGUGAUUCUGGUAAAGUAGAAUGACUGAUCGUACUCCUUACCAUAUCCUUAAGAGUGCGGUUUCGUCUCUCAGAUACACCAUUCAUGCUAGGCGAUCCUGGCAUAGUAUAUUGAGGGACAAUUCCACAUUCCUCUAGGUAUUUAGCAAACGGUCCUGGACGUUGUUCUCCUGAACCAUUAUAUCUACCGUAGUAUUCACCACCACGGUCAGACCUGACAUUUUUAAUCCUUUUGUUGAGUUGUAACUCAACUUCGGCUUUAAACGUUUUGAACACAUCCAAAGACUGUGAUUUUUCAUGAAUCAGGAAUAUAUAGCCAUAUCUUGAAUAGUCGUCUAUGAAUGUAAUGAAAUAUUGUUGACCAUUCCAAGUAGCUGUAUGGAAUGGUCCACAAAUAUCUAUAUGAAUUAAUUCUAAGACGGCUGAUGUUCUGUAGGCUCCUAAUUUCUUACUUUUGGUUUGUUUUCCCUUGAUACACUCAAUACAAACAUCAAGGUCUGUAAAAUCAAGAGAUCUUAAAAUCUCAUCAGACACUAAUCGCUCAAGUCUAGCUUUAGAGAUAUGACCUAAACGUUUGUGCCAUAAUGAGGCCGAAUUUUCUUUCUCUAAUUUACGUUUUAUACCUCUGGAACUAAAAUGCAGGUUUUCAUUAUAACUUGAAACAGUGUGUAGCAAAUAUAGAUUGUCAUAAGCAUUAAGCAAACCGGUUCCAAUAACAUUAGAAUUGAUAGAUAAACUAAAUUGUCUGUUUACAAAUGAACAAGAAUAACCAGAUUUGUCCAAAACAGAAACUGAAAUCAAAUUUCAUCUAAAAGACGGAACAACAAAAGUAUCUAACAAAUCCAAAUAACAACCAGUUUUCAUAAGUAAUCUAAAAUGCCCAAUUGCUUCAACUUCUACCGUCUUACCAUCUCCUACAUAAAUGCAUCUUUCAGCAUCACUUGGCGGCCGGUAGCUCAGGCAACCCUGCAGUGAAACACAAAUGUGAGUAGUAGCACCCGAAUUUAUCCACCAUGUGUUUCUUGGUACUGAAGCGAAAUUAGUUUCAGAACAAACCAAAGUAAGAAAUGUACCUCUCUUUACGCGCCAUGCGUGAUAUUUUUGACAUUCCUUCUUCACAUGUCCAGGCUUGCCGCAGAAGAAACAACCAUGCUCGGCCUUUGGUUUCUUUGGCUCUGGACCCUUACAAGCAGCAGCUUCACCCUUUUUCUUUCUUUUGCCCUUAUCUUUAAAAGUGCUUACGAUAUGUGCAUAUUCGGAUUUCUCUUGCUUCAGUCUCUCUUCUUCUUGCACACAAAAGGAAAUCAGUUCAUUAAGAUUCCACUUCUCUUUCUGACAGUUGUAACUAACUUUGAACUGAUUAAAUUGUGUUGGGAGAGAGAUAAGGACCAAAUGCACAACCAAAUCAUCAGAUAGGUCGAGCCCUAAUGCCUUAAGCUUAGAAGCAAGAUGAGACAUCUCCAUGAUGUACUCUCGAACGUUUCCCUUGCCUUUAUACUUCAUUGAAAUCAAGCUUGCUAAAUGCAUACUUGUUUCAGCCUUAUCGUUUUUUGUAAAACGUUUAUGAAUUUCGGUAAGAAACUCACUAGCACUUGUAACCUCAUCAGUUAUAGCACUCCUAAAUACUUCUGGAACACCGCGCUUCAUGAUCAUAAGACUCAUCAUGUUAGAUCGAUCCCACUUCUCAUAGUACAACACAUCCUCAGAUGUACUAUCAUCAGUGAGUUCGUCUGGCUUAGGGUGUCUGAAUGAUAAGUCUAGAUCCAUGCAGCCUAAGAGAAUCAUCAUAUUCUCUUUCCAGUCAAUAAAAUUAGUCCCAUUUAGAACCGGGACACUAUUCAUAUUUGCAGAUAUAGAAGUCGCAGAUAGAAAAGCUAAAUAGAGAACAAAAAAAUAAAAUAUAAAUAAUGCUCACAUUAAACAACUCAAUUAAUAAUCUUUAAAAAUUUAAAAACAAAUUAUAACAUUUCAAGAUACCUAGCACAACAUUAGUAACAAGUCUUUGGACUAUAAUACUAACUGUAAAUGGUACUCUUGUUGCAAUGAUCAAAUUUUGACAAUAAAUUAUGUCAAGUAAUGAACCAAUCUUUGGAUUAGUACAUUACUCACAUUAAGUUAUCUUAAUAAUCGUCACAAAUUUACCAUCACAAGUGUGUGUGCAAUUAGGCCAAAUAUUAACCUUCCUUUGGGUCGAUUAACAUCCGCAGGAAUUACACAAACACAAACAUCUAACACCCCAAAUAAACUAAUCUACACAGGAGAUAUCACUUUGGUGACUUCCUGCUUUAAUUAGCAUAUCAUCAGUGUUAGACCAAUAAUCAUUUUAAUUUAAAGAUUAUAAAACCAUAACCGAAAUAAUUAAUAAAACCGAAACCGAAACGUGGUCUAACCAUAACAAUUACAAAAUUCCAAGCAAAAUGAUAUUAAUAACUCAAUAAUCUAAUCAUGGAUGGGGCUCUGAUACCACUUGUUAUCCCCUAAAUCUUCAUAACAUCCAGAUUAAAUUACUGAGAAAUACGAAAGCGGAAGCGUACCUGAAUCCAUGGUAAUUCGUAGUGGUUCUUGAGUGUAGGAGAUGGACUUCCAAUCUUCUAUUUCUCUUGAGUUUAGAAUUCUCUUUGAGAGGAUUAGAGAAUUGCAAAGGAUUAGAGAGAUUGGGGACCAUAACCCCUUUUAUAUAAAUAUCGUGACUAUUGGUUUUCUUUUAGAAAACCCAACAGUCACGUUAUUUAUGAUAAUAAUUAUCACUUUAGCCCCUCAUUAAAGUGAUGAUUAAAUUCUGGUAUCUAUGCAUUUAAUCCACAACAAUGAUACCCUUAGCCAUUUAAUUAACUUCAAAUAGAUCACUUAAUUCUUGGCUUAUUAAAUAAUAGCACGCACAUUUUAUUUAUUUCAUGUGUGGCCCCAAAUAUAUUAGAUUAAUAUAAAAUUGAUCUAACAGAUUAUAUUGUCGAAUCUUUCUGAAAAAGAUUGUUUUUGUAAUUGAACUGUUUAAAGUUUAAACAAAAAAAAAAAGCACUAAAUCCAAAUCAAAUAUAAAUACAAAUCCAGGUUCUAAAAAAAUCAAGUACAAAUACAGAAUCUAAAUUCUAAAACUUAAAGUUUCCAAGCGAACAUCAAGGAAUCAACAUCCCACGAAGCAACACGAACGGCGAAGGCGAGCUAGUUCAACCUGUAUCGGGGCUGGUUACUGGUCGCGAUAGCAGCUAGUGAUGAUGAACAUUGAACACAGCCACAAUCACGAUUAGCGAAGGUGGCGUUCAACUCGUAUCACAACUUGUUACUCGUUGUGACAUAGAAGAAGAAAUGAUGGCUAAUGAUGAUGAUGAGAUUAACACAACCGCAAAGAUAGUGAAGUGAUGACGACGAUGAUUUAAUUUGAUGAAAAAAACACCUGAAAAGAGACAGACAGGAAAUGUUUGGCCUUGGCAGCCGCAGUUAUGAAUGCAAGUAGGGCACUUGGGCUUUUUUUGUGUUUUUCUAUUUGUAUUAUAUAAUCUAAAAAAAUUAAUAUUAAAAUAAAAGCUUCCGGGUCUAGAUUCUGUAUCUAUGGGUUCAGAUAAACCCAGACACGGACUUGGAUACGUCUGGGUUCAUUAAAUUGCAUCCGAAUUCCAUAUAAAAUUUGCUCCAGUAUGGGUUGAAGCCAGCCUAUUCUCUGGGUUCAUCUAGGUUUGGGCGGGGAUCAGAUUGAAUUGGCAUCGCUUUUAUGUCCAAAUUAUCAAUAAGAUCCUUUGCUGUUAGUAAAUUCCUUUAUCAAAUGGUUUCAAUUUUGAACAUAUUAGUCCUAUUCCAAUUUUCAACCGUUCCCAAUUUUAUAACUCCAUUUAUUAGUAACAUUGUCUUAAAAGUUCAUCAUUGCACGGCACUAGAAUGAUUAUAAGGUUUAAUAUUUUUGAAUUAUGAAGCUCGUUCUCAGUAAGACAAGGCUAUUUGCACUCUAAAACUUAGUCUAAACAAUCUAUCACCUUGGAUACUCAUGUACUAAAUUUAAAAAGAUUAAGUUUUAUUUUCUUCACACUUUAAAAUACCUAAAAAGACCUUACUGAAACUCGCUAAAUUAAUUUACUCAAAACACCAAUCAAACUAUUUAGCACAUCCAAAAUGAAUUAGUAAUAAUUUAGAAUACACUGCAAUGGAAUCAAAGUAUGUUCUAAAGAAAUUUUUUUAACAUAAGUUUUAUUUAUUAGCUUUUGUUUAUUAAAGAAUAUGUUCAGCAUUGGUUUUUAAACCCCAAACUUUUAACCCAACAAUUGGAAAAAAUGGUUAUUUGGCCCAAAAAGGGAAAAAAAGAAAGAAAGAAAGAAAGAAAGAAAGCAAGCAAGAAAGAAGAAAAGAACACAAAGAAGAAGGAGAAGACUGCAAAAAAUAUUUUUAAAAAACUAAAAGGCAUAAAUAUGUUCAAAAUAUAUUAAAAGUAUUCAUUUGCUCCUAGCUCCUAGUUUAACUAAAUAUUGUUUAAGAGAUUGGAAAUAAAAUUUCUAGGGCUUAUGCCAAAAGAAUUAUAUAUUCAAUAAUGAGUGUGCUAUAUGAGUAUUUAGAGUAAUUAUAUAAUGUUAAUUUAUAAGAAAGAGUCCUUAUUAGUAAUUCAUAUGAUGUGUAUUUUUGUGAUAGAAUAAUUUAUUAAAAUAAAAAUGUGCAGAAUAUUUUUUGUAUUGUAAAUAUGUAAAAAUUCUCACCCUUCUCAAUAUAUUGACUUGAGUGAUAAUUUUAAAUUGCAUCAGAAUGAGCUAAAAGAAGAGGAAUUGUCGAAAUUCAGCUUAUGGCAAUUGAACAAUUAAUGGUUAAGAAAUACAGUAAAUCAAUAAUACUAAAACAUAAACAUAAUAAGAGAUCUGGGAUCUAACUAAUAUAUUGAUUCAAGAGUGACUAAUUAAAUAAAACUUCUUGAAAACCACACCUGCACAAGUCCAUGUGGGUUCUCAAGUUCUAUGUUAACUAUUAUUCUUCUCGGCAAGUAUCAUUCUUCUAUUGGAGAUGCCAUUGUUGCAGAAUAGAAGUCAGUUGAAGCUGUUAAUAUUAUGAUUGAAGUUUAUGCAAGUGCAGAUUGCAGACAGUAGAUAUCGACUUGAAGCCUCAUGUAAGGAAAUAAAGGUUGGUUUUCAACCAAAUAUGACGACUGGGACAAUGUCGGGUGGUUAAGGAAGAUGCAAUGGUCGUCUCAAAAAAUUGGGUUUCAUUGGCCAGAUAAGACUAAGAUGUCAACUUUUUUUUUUUCGUUAAUAUGAUUAACAAUGAAAGAGUAAUUUUGAAACAUUGACUUGGACUUGUGAUUGUUAAUAAAUUUAUUACUUCUUUUCAUUAAUUUGACCUGCAUAACAAUUAAUUGAGUGAUUUUUAUUUUUCAAGAUACUGCUACUUGAAGAAAUUGUAUGAAUCAAUAAUUUAUCAAUGAGUAACGUUACAAUUUAUACAAGUUAGACAUACUUGGCUGAUAAGCCAAACACUAUAAGAUAAGUCAUAGCCUAUAAGAUAAAUACAAGCUAAGGUAAAGAGCUAUAAGAUAAGAUUACAAGUUAUUGAAACAGAGAGUAGUUAUCUAUGUACAUGUUUGGUUAAUACGCCCCUGCAAGAUAUGUGUUCCAUCUAGAACUCCUAGCUUGGAACGUGCAGCAAUAUAACGACUGCGAGACAGUGGUUUGGUCAAGGUAUCAGCCAACUUAUUUUCUGAAGGAAUAUGAGAAACACAAAGAAGACCUGCUGCAAUUUUAUCACGAACAAAAUAAAAAUCAAUUUCUAGGUGUUUCAUCUUUGAGUGAUAAAUCGGAUUUGAACAUAAGUAUGUCGCUCCAAGAUUAUCACAAUGUAGAACAGGCAUAGAAAAUUUUAUACCAAGUUCAUCCAACAAGUUCCUGAUCCAACAUAUUUUUGAAACAACAGCAGUUAUUGCUCAAAAUUCUGCCUCUGUAGAUGAGCGAGCAACAGAACGUUGCUUUUUGGAUGACCAUGAAAUUGGAUUGCCUCCAAAAUAAAUAACAUAGGCACUAGUAGAACUGCGAUCAUCAAGAUUUCCUCCCCAAUCAGAAUCAGAGUAAGCUAUCAAGGAAUGCGACUGAGAUGAGCGUAGAUGUAAACCAUGAAAAAUUGUCCCUUUCAAAUAUCUAAGUAUUCGCUUAGCAGCUUGCCAAUGAAUUUGUGAAGAUUGUUACAUGAACUGAGAUAAUUUGUUGACAACAAAUCUAAUAUCCGGCCGAGUUAAUGUUAGAUACUGUAAGGCUCCAAUAAGUUGACGAUAUAGAGUGGAAUCGGCUGGUGGUGCCCCAUCAUUUAAUUGAAGUGUAACUGAGGAGGAAAGAGGAGUACCAACUGCUUUAGCAUCAUACAUGCCAAAACGCUGCAGGAGGUCACGAAUGUAAGAGUGUUGUGACAAGAGAAUUCCAGUGGUUUGUUGAACAAGCUCAACACCUAAAAAAUAGUUUAAAGCCCCAAAUCUUUGAGAGAGAAUUUAACUGAAAGAGCAUCAAUGAAAUGAGAAAUAAAUGCAUUAUGGCUGCCCGUUAUAAUUAUGUCAUCAACGUAGGCAAGAAAGUAGACUCGUACACCAUUUGUGUUAUAAAUAAACAAUGAUGCAUCAGAUCGACAUUGAUGAAAACCAUAAGCAAGCAGGAAAUGAUGUAAAGCUGUAAACCAUGCACGUGGAGCCUGUUUUAAGCCAUAAAUUAAUUUAUUCAACCUGCAGACAAAAUUAGGUUUGUUAGAAUCAACAAAACCACUGGGUUGUUUCAUGAACACUUCCUCUUGAAGAUGACCAUGGAGAAAAGCAUUAUUAAUAUCUAGUUGCCAUAAGGACCAGCCACAUGCCAAGGCUAGGCAAAUAACCAAUCAAACUAUAGUAGGCUUAAUAACUGGAUUGAAAGUUUCAUGAAAAUCAAUCCCAAGACGCCGAUGGAAACCUUUAGCUACUAGAUGAGCUUGAAAUCGAUCAAUACUACCAUUGGGUUUCCUUUUAAUCCAAAACACUCACUUACUGCCGACAAGGUUCUGAUUAGGUGAUGGAGGUAUAAGGUCCUAUGUGUUAUUGGAGAUAAGGGCACGAUAUUCAGUAGUCAUGGCAGCAAGCCAUUGAGGAUCUUUAAGUGCCUGUGUAAUGGAGGUGGGUUCACAAGAAGUUGGCAAUGGAUGACUGAAGUGCACCUGUAGAUGGUCUAACGUGGAAGAAAUUUUUUUUUUGGUUUAUGGAUGUUAUUUUGGGAGCGGGUUGUCAUUGGAUGUGUUCGAACAAGUGGAUUUGAUGAAGAAUGAGGUUUAGAUAAGGUUGAAUAAGGAUUAUUGGGUUCUGGAAUGGUGGGUGGAAUUUCAAUGGAAUUAGGAGAUGAUAAGGACGUGAGGAUCUGGGAACUUAUGGUGGUGGGGCUAGUAUUUGGUGGGUAUGAUGUGUGGGGUCAAGAGAGUUCUCCUGGAAUGAACUUGGAGGUUGUAUAUUUGAAUUAGAAUUUUCUGCAGACAAAGAACAUGAGCCCAAGUGCAAUGUCAUUUUAUUAUCAGAUGAGGCAAGUGACUGAGUGGCAUUAGAAUUGGAAGUUGAAACGGUGGGACUAGAUACAUGAAACACAGGAGGAAGCCAAGACGCUAUAGGUAAAGUAGAGAAAGAAGACAAAGUAGAAGUAAUAGAGUUAUAGGGAAAUACAUACUCAACAAAUUGCACAUCUCGUGAAAUAAAAAUUUUCCCAAACUUUGGCUCCAAGCAUUUAUAGGCACUUUGUUGAAAGCAAUAUCCUAGAAAAACACAUGGAAGUGAACGUGGUUCUAAUUUGUUGUGAGUGUAUGGCCGAAGCCAUGGAUAACAAAGACACCCAAAUAUUUUUAGUUUAUUGUAAUUAGGAGUUUCUUUAAACAGUAAUUGGAAAGGACAUUGCAUGCCAGUGGCACGAGAAGGUAGCCUAUUAAUUAAAUAGACAGCUGUCUGGAAGGCAAAUGACCAAAAUUUUGGUGGUAAUGAUGCUUGGUGCAAUAGUGUUAUCCCGGUUUCAACAAUGUGUCAGUGUCUACGUUUAGUUGUUCCAUUAUGUUGUGGGGUAUAAGGUGGUGUAGAUAAAUGAGAAAUGCCACACUUAAGAAAAAAAAUCUUUGAGUUUAAUAAAUUCCCCACCUCUAUCAGUGUAAACAGAAACAAUAUUGGUCUUAAAAUAAUUUUCAACAUUGUUCUUGAAUUGAACAAAAGUACCAAAGACAUCAUAUUUGAAUCGCAAUGGAUAAAGCCAAAUAUACUUGGUAAAGUGAUCAACAAAAAUCACAUAAUAUUUGUAACCAUCCAACGAUGUAACAGGAGCAGGACCCCACACAUCCGAAUAAACAAGUUCAAGAGGACUACUACUUUUCAAUGUAGACUCUCCAAAAGGGAGGCGAUGACUUUUAUUACAUAAACAAGACUCACAUGAUGGAGGAACUAAAGACCCAGAAAUAGAUAAAUGAAGAAAACACAAAAGAUGAUUUAAAACUUCUGUUGACGGAUGACCAACACGCUGAUGCCAAAUGGAAGAUGAAGGUUUAAUAGUGACACAGGAAAGCGGUGAAGAUGAUUUGCUAAAGAAUAAAUUUGGCCACUCAUACACUCCAUCCUUAUUCUGGCCUUGCAAUAAAAUUGCCCCCGUGGUCAUGUCCUUCACCUGAAAAAAAUCAGGAAAGAAUUCAAUAGAGGUAUUAUUUGAAGCACAAAAUUGAGAUACGAAGAUUAGAUUUUUAUUCAUAGAGGGGACAUAAAGAACAUCAUGCAAAGAAAAUUUGGUAUGAGGGGAAGAUAAAGAUAAAGAUCUAGUGUGAGAAAUACUCAAACCUGUACCAUUUCCAACUAAAACUGAAUCAGAACCUUGGUAGGGAGAAGCAGUAGUUAGAUUUUUAAAAUCCCCUGUGACAUAAUGUGAGGCAGCACUAUCAACAAGCCAAUUUGGGGAAACCAUAUUGGAUGUAAUGGUGUGGUUUAACAUCAGAGUAUUUUUGCGAGAGGAGAAAACUGGACAGUCUUUGGCUGUGUGACGUUUUUGCUCACAAAGCUGACAAAAUCCCUUAUAGCCAGAUCAUUUCUUACGAAAUUGAGCAUUAUUAUUGGUGAAAUUUUGAUAGUUGGAGGCAUUAUGGGGUUGGGAAGAAAAUUGACCAUUAUUAAAUUGGCCAUUUUGAUGUGGCAUAGAAGAGCCACGGUUGCCUUGCUUGUGAUUUGCACCAUGCUUAUUAUAUUGUCGUUGUGUAGCAUUAGUCGUAAUAGGAGAAAUUGCCAUUGGAUCUGCUCGUUUCAAAGUUGCUUCAAAAUCAACCAACUUGUCAUAUAACUCGUCAAAGGAAAUAACAGUUUCACGUGUUCUUACCCCAACAAUUAUUUCUUUGAAUUCUGCGCCAACUCCAUUAGCAAUAUGAACCGCAAUAUGAACCACAAUAUCGUCAUCAAUGAUGGGUAUAUCAAUCAAUGAUAAUUCAUCAGUAGUAGAUCUUAGGGAAUUGAGAUAAUCUGCCACAGAUUGUGAUCCACGAUGGGGGCGAGCUAGACGCUCUUUUAGCGAAAACACACGGCUACGGCUAGGAUUGGAAUAAAGUCUUGCUAACUUAUCCCACACUUAUUUGGACGUUGUGGAACAAGCAAUCAGUGGAGCAACUCUUUCUGAAGAGGAGGCAAUGAUGGAAUGAAAGAUCAAUUGAUCUUGACGUUUCCAAUAAAGGUAUGCUGGGUUUGGGGUGGAUACAGUUUCACUGCUAGAGGCUAAUGUUGGGUCUGGACAUGGAAAGGAUCCAUUUAUGUAUUUGAUAAGAUCAUAACCAAAAGCAAGGGAUAAAAACUGAGCUCGCCAAGUAAAAUAGUUUUCUGGUGUAAGUUUCAAAGGAAGUUGUGCAACAACAUUAAUAGAGAUAUACCCAGUAGAUUGUUGGGUUGAUUGGGUAGGGGAAAUGGCUGUAGAAGUAGGUGUUGUUUGAUCAGCCAUUAUAAAAAAGAAAAAUGUGCUCUUUAGAGACUAGAGCUCUGAUACCAUGAAGAAAUUAUAUGAAUCAAUAAUUUAUCAAUGAGUAACGUUACAAUUUAUACAAGUCAGGCAUACUUGGCUGAUAAGCCAAAUACUAUAAGAUAAGUCAUAGCCUAUAAGAUAAAUACAAGCUAAGGUAAAGAGCUAUAAGAUAAGAUUACAAGUUAUUGAAACAGAGAAUAGUUAUCUAUGUACAUGUUUGGCUAAUACUACCCUCCCAAGUUCGAAUCUUCGGUUGAAAAUUUUGAUUUAAACUUAGUCUUCAUCCCUCAUUUAUAAAUAAUAAAUAAAUUAAUUAAUACAUAAAUAAAUAAAACCUACGUGAAUGUAGAAAUGAAUCAGAUGAAAAGUAAAUAUUGUAUAAAUACCCGCACAAUGUGGUUCAGCUGCAUUGAAUAUUAUGCCAAGAAUAUGCAAAUCUGUUGGUUAGUGUUGACUUUGAACUACCUGAAGUACACAAGGGACUUUAACAUAGACUUAAUAACCAGUGGAAUUUCUGGCAAUUUAAGAAAAAAAGGGAACUAAGAUUCAUUUUAUUAUUCUUCCUUCCUGAACCUUAACAAAGAAAUUAAUCACAAAAAUAGUUUUUUGAAGUCUUUAAAAGUAAACCUUUUAGGAUCUCUUCAGAGAGCCGAAGAAAUGAAACAUGAGAAAACUUUGAAGUGAAAAGUAAUUUGGAGCUUACACAUCUUGGCACUCUUAAUCGGUGAAGCAACUGUGAUGUAACCUAACAGAAUGAUUAGAAUUUUCUGAGUAUAUAUGUUAACCCAUCCAUCAUAUUAUCUAUAUGUGUAUUCAGCACAAACCUUUUAAUCUUGUAUAAACUUAAAAUAGAGAACUGUUAUUCGUUCAAUACUUGCAGCCUUUAGAAGCUCAUCAAGUCCUUCACAAGUCCCAUUGUCCACUGUCGCAAGAGUUUGUUAAAAUCAUGAAUCAGUAUUGUGAAUUGGUUUAGUUAUAUUCUAUUAAGUUCGUUGCUAUUUUUCAAAAAAAAAAAAGUUCGUUGCUGAGGUGGCUUGAUGAGCUGGCGUUUGUGGGAACCUUAGUGGUUAAGUUGUUACAACAGUCCUACAAGUUUUUGGAAUUAAAUAUAAAAGAAAGCAAUGCUGGCCGGUGCAGCACCUAAAGACAAGAUCUUGACUAACUUUGAGAUAAAUUUUGUUAAUUCUUCAUUGAAGGGAUUUAUUCUCUGUGAUCUCAAGAAUUGUAGUAAUCAAUAUCUUAAUAAAAGUUUAUUAUCAGCCAUGGAUACAGGUACUAUGGUACCAAACCACGUAAUAUUACAAUGUUCUUUUUCUCUACUUUUUUAGUUUCUUUGUCAUAUAUGUUCUUUGUUCUUUGAUCUAGUGUCAUUAAUUCUUUGUGCCAUUAAUUGGACUGGUUAAUUGGCUAGUUUGAUUAAGAGCCGAAAGAGAAGAAAAGGCCUUGAUUUAUAGAAAAUUGGUAUCAGAGCCUUGGAGCUCUUUGCUCUUGAUCUUCAAAUGGAAAAGUAUCAGAUUUGAUCUCAAAAAAUUCAAUGGUGAAAAUAAUUUCUACUUGUGGAGUCUCAAAAUGCGUGCAAUUCUAUUUCAAGAAGGGUUUGAUAGUGCUCUUGAUGAUGAUGAAUAUCCAAAGGAUAAGAAAGAGAUUGAAGAAGGUUCAUCAAGUUCUGGAGGAGACAUGGGGUCCAUUAACAAUAAGGCUCACAACAGCAUUAUUUUACAUCUUUCAAGUGAAGUGUUGAGAGAAGUGGGAAAAGAAGAGACUACUUCUGGUCUAUGAGCAAAACUUGAAGAGUUAUUCUUGAAGAAAUCUUUGGCCAAGAGGCUCUGUAUAAAGAGGAAGUUGUACACAUUUUCAAUAAAGGAGAGGACAACUAUGAAAGAUCAUUCGGAUGAAUUUAACAAGCUGAUAUUGGAUCUUAAGAAUGUUAACAUUAUUCUUGAAAAUGAGGAUAAAAUUCUUAUCUUACUAAGCUCACUCCUAGAUUCAUAUAAGCAUUUUGUGGGUACUUUGUUGUAUGGAAGACAAUCACUCACUUUGAAGAAUGUGAAAAAUGCAUUAGAAUCUAAAGAUUUAAAAAAAAGAACAGAAAUAAGGGAUCAAAAUCUUGGAGAGGGCCAUAGUUGUCAGAUUCAUAUUAGAGAAGAAAGCCAAUAAAGACAAAAAGAAUAAUAAUAAGAGGGAUAAAGUUGAUAACAAGAAGAAACAAAAUGCUACUUAUGUCAUAAAGAAAGACAUUAUAUUAAGGAUUGCUUUGAGAAGAAAAAGCUUAAGAGGCUGUAAAAGGAACCAAAUGGGAAGGUUGCCAUUGUAUUUGAAGAUAAGGGAGAUUCAGAAGGAGCAGAUGUCCUUAUUACACUGAAAAAUAACUUACUGGUGAGUGGAUACUGGACACUGUAUGUUUUUUUUUUCAUAUGUGCCUAAAUAGAGAUUUGUUCAAGACCUUUGAAAGCAUUGAUGGGGGCAAAGUCUUGCUUGGAAACAAUCUUACUUAUAAGGUUAUUGGAAUUAGAACCAUUAGUAUCAAGAUGUUUGAUGGGGUAACUAAAGAUCUAAAAUCAGUGAGAUUGAAAACUUUUUGUAUUUCUCUAUAUCGUAAAAGGUUACACAGAUUCCUCUUAUAGAGAAGAAUACAUAAAAUCAGGAAACUGACAAUAAAUUAGCUAUCUAGUUGUACUAGCUAUUUCCUAAUUUACACCAUUGACUUAUUCUUAUUUACAGCUAACAAUCCUCUCUAACUACAAAUAUUUUUUUCCUUUUCUACACUCCCCCUGAAGUUGGUUUGAAGAUAUCCUCCAUAGCCAGCUUGCCAAUUAGCUCGUUGAAUUGCCGAGUAGGAAGCCCCUUAGUAAGUACAUCUGCAACUUACUGAGUAGUGGGAAUGUUAGGCAUACAGAUUAACCCUUUCUCAAGUAUUUCCUUGAUGAAAUGUCAUCUUUAUUGUCAUAAGUAGUUGAUCUAAACUAAGUUUCUAUGCUGCUUCUUGCCACCACAUUUUGCUUUUUACUUCGCCAUGUAAAACGAUUGCCACCAAUAAACGUGCAAUAGCCAGAAGUUAAUCGUUUAUCAACAGCACUUCUAACCCAAUCCGCAUCAGUGUAGGCUUCAACUUGUAAGCGCCCACGAUUCUUGAAUAACAAACCUCUUCCAGAAGUCCCCUUCAAAUACCUGAGAAUUCUAUAGACUGCAUUGAAGUGUUCUUGUCCAGGGGAAGGCAUAAACUGGCUAACUAUGCUCACUGCAAACGCUAUAUCUAGACGAGUAUGCAAUAAGUAAAUCAAUCUUCCAACAAGUCUCUGGUAUUGUUCUCUGUCCAGGACUUCUUCAGGUUUAAGAGGCUAUAAUUUGAGGUUGAGCUCAAUAGGUGUUUGUGCUGGUUUACACUCUAGCAAGCCCGUUUCAUUAAGCAAAUCAAGGACAUAUUUACGUUGAUUCACAAAUACACCUUUUUUGGAUCUAGCAAACUUCAUUCUAAGAAAGUAUUUCAAUGUCCCUAAAUCCUUGAUCUCGAAGUCAGCUGCAAGUCUCUUUUUCAAAUUUUCUAGUUCUUCACUGUUAUGAUAUGUCAUGACUAUAUCAUCCAUAUAAACAAUUAGUGUAGCAAUUCUGCCUUCUCUACUAUGUUUAUAGAACAUAGUAUGAUUAGCUAGGCUUUGACAAUACCCACAAUUCUUUACAGAUUUCCUAAAUCUCUCAAACCAAGUUCCAAGGGAUCACUUGAGGCCAUACAACAACUUCUUUAGUCUACAGACUUUCUUUGAUCCCAAAUUCUUCUCAAAACCGGGUGGUAGACUCAUAAAAACCUCUUCCUUAAGAUCACCAUUCAAAAGGCAUUUUUUACAUCCAAUUGGUAUAAUGGCCAGUUCAGAUUUACAACCAAAGAUAAUAGAAUUCUAAUUGAGUUUAUCUUCGCUAUCGGAGAAAAGGUCUCCUGAUAAUCAAUCUCAUAGGUUUAAGUGAAUCUCUUAGCUACUAAUCUUGCCUUAAAGAUUUCUAUGCUACCAUUUGCUUUAUACUUCACAGUAAAGACCUACUUGCAACCUACAAUCUUCUUCUCUUUAGGCAAGUCAACUAUCUCCCAAGUACCAUUUCUCCUAAGAGCAUUCAUCUCUUAUAUCACUGCCAAUUUCUAAUUUGGAUCACCAAGAGCUUCUUGAAUGUUUCUUGGGAUAAAAACAGUGUGAGAUUUUUUAAGUAAAUGCCCUAUAAGUGUGAGAAAGUUUGUCAUAAGAAAGAUAUUGAGCAAUGGGAUAUCUAGGAUUCUUAGUGAGAUUUCGAAUUCCUUUUCUAAUAGCAACGAGAAUAUUAAGGGCUGAUGAUUCUUUGCUAGGGAAAAUGAUGGGAAUUGAAGAUGAGUUAGGAUUGAAAAUACCUGUGAUAUUUGCAGGUCCAAUCCCCGAGGGUUGUGAUUGCUCGUUACCAAGAGUAACUGGUUGCCUUUGACUUUUUUUAUGAUGUUUUCUCCAAGUAUAAACCAAAAGCUCAAUGUUAGAAUCAUUUUGAUCUGGCAGUAGUAGUGAUUCUCCCCAUGUUUCAGAUACAAUAAUGUUUGGCAUUAUAUUGCCAGAACUUCCCUCAUUAUUCUCAGUGUUUUUAUCAUCACAUUGUUCCUGACUUUGAAGGUCGGGAAUGGUAGGAUGAGAGGAAUGAGGUAUAGUAGUAAAAAAUACUUUUGGUAAAGAGUUAGGAGAUAUAUCCCAAAAAGUUUAUUCCAUUACCUCAUACUCCCCCUGAAGAGAAUUUUUGUGAAAGUAGGAUUUAUUUUCAAAACACGAGAUAUCCAUACUCGCAUAAAUUUUCCUUGUUUGGGGAUUAUAGCACUCAUAUCCCUUUUAUUGGAGGCAUGCCCUUGGAUCAAGUUUGGACUGAGUGUUAUUAGGUAUACGAACAAAGACAGUACAACAAAAAACUUUAGAGGUAAAUCUUAAUACAUUCUAGAUAGGGGAAAGCAUUUUUUAAAACAUUCUAGAGGUAUAUUAUAUUUUAAAACACAUGUAGGCAUCUUAUUAAUUAAAUAAGUUGCUAUUAAAAUAACUUCUCCCCAAAGAUAUUUUGGAACAUUCAUCGAAAGCAUUAUAACACUUGUUACUUCAAAUAAAUGUUUAUUUUUUCUUUUAGCAAUCCUAUUUUGCUGAGGAGUAUCUACACAAGUGGACUGGUGAUAAAUACCUUUUUCUUUCAAUUUUUUUUUCAAAAUACCUUUAUAGUACUCGGUUCCAUUAUCAUUGUGAAGAACUCUAAUUUUCUUUUGAAAUUGAGUUUCAACUAUUGUGUAAAAGUCUUUAAAAAAAUUUCCAACUUCAGAUUUUUUACUCAUUAAGUAAACCCAAUAUAGACGGGUGUGAUCAUUUAUGAAUGUGACAAAUCAUUUUUUCUUUGAAAUAGUAGUAACUCUUGAAGGUCCCCAAACAUCACUACAUAUUAAAUAAAAUGGUUUUGAAGGAAUAUAAGGUUUUGGCAGAUAAGUAGUACAAUGAAUCUUUGACAUACAACAACUUUCACAGUAAAAUGAUGAAAAAUCCAAACCCUUAAAUAAAGUAGGAAACAAAUGUUUAAGAUAUGGAAAGCUAGAAUGUCCUAAUCUUAAAUGCCAAAGCAUUAUUUGUUCAUAAAUAGAGUUAGAACUAACACUACUAAGGCCCUGAGCCUUUUUAUUCCUAGAGAAAUCAUCAUCAAAGUAGUAAAGGCCACCAAUCAAUUUAGCACUGCCAAUCUUCUUCCCCGAGGUUUGGUUCUAAAAUUCAAAGUAAGAAUCACAAAAAAUCACUCGGCAAUUAGAAUCUUUAGUUAUUUUACUCACGGUUAAAAGAUUACAAGCUAACUUGGGAACAUGAAGAAUAGAAUUAAGGUUUAAUUUUUUGGAUAAUUUAAUCAAACAUUUCCCUACUAUUGGUGAGAAAGUACUAUCUGCAAUUCUUAUUUUGUCAAGACCAUAACAUGGUGAGUAGGUGCAAAACAAAUUUGAAAGGUUGGUCAUAUGAUCAAAAGCUCUUGAAUUUAUGAUCUAAUGAGCAUAAUUUGAACAUAAAGAAAGAGCAUUGGGUGUGCUAUCUGUUUAUGCAAGAAAAACAGUAGGAAUACUACUUGGUGAGUAAUUGGGUUUUAUCAACUGCAGACGGUAAUCCAUCUGCUCCUUGGCGAAAGGGCCUGUCUCGGCUUCAUUUGCAGUACAAAUCAACCAGGUAUUUUUAUCACCAGGCUUGCUGCUCUUUCAAUUUACUGGUUUUUCAUGGAUUUUCCAGCAUGUUUCUCAGGUAUGACAUUGUUUGUUGCAAUAGUCACACUAUACCCGUAGCUUCUCUACAGUUUUAUGUUGAAAUCUGGCUAUUUUGUUAAAAACAACCAAUGCACUAAAAAGGGCAGAACUUUCAGUAGGCCCGUCAGUUGUCUUCUUUCGUAGCAUUAUAUGUAUACGGCUUUCUUCUCUUCGAACCUCAAUAAACACCUCGCCAAUUGGAGCAACUGGCUUUCUGCCAAUGAUCUGCCCCCGAACCUCAUCAAACUCAACGUUGACUCCUACAAGAAACUUGUAAAUACGAGAAGCCUCAACAAUAUUGUUGUAAUAUUUGGCAUCUUCUGUGGAUUUCAUUUCAUAAUCAUUGAACAGAUCUAAAUCUUGCUGAAUGGAUUGAAACUACCUUAAACAAUUAUCACCAUUAAGGUAAAUAAUGGUAAUUUGAAUUAGAUGAGUAUCAGUAUUGGGAGUUUGGGUUUGUGUUAGAGAGUUGGUUGAAGCAGAUAUAAUCAGUUGAUUAUGAUGGCUCUAAUACCAUGAAAACUUUUUUGUAUUUCUCUAUAUUGUAAAAUGUUACACAGAUUCCUCUUAUAGAGGAGAAUACAUAAAAUUAGGAAACUGAAAGAAAAAUUAGCUAUCUAACUGUACUAAUUAUUUCCUAAUUUACACCAUUGACUUAUUCUUAUUUACAGCUAACAAUCCUCUCUAAUUGCAAAUAUUUCUUCCAUUUUCUACAGAGAUAUAUGCCAGACCUUACAAGAAAUCGCAUGUAUCUAUGGAUGAUUGAUCAAUUGGGCUGUAGCAUUAAGGUAGAAUAUGGUCAAAUACAGGUUAUAGAUAAGGGUAUGAAGGGAAUUAGAAGGAAUGGUUUGUGUGUUUUGGUUGGGUUAUUACCUCAGCUAGGGAUAAAUGCUAGUGUAAGUAGUGACAAAACCAAACUUUGGCAUAAUAAGAUAGAAUAUAUAAGUGAAAAAGGUUUGAAAGAACUAAGAAAGCAAGAGUUAUUUGGUCAUAAUCAAAUUUCCUCACUAGAGACAGAAGUUCAGGACAGGAAGACAUGAAACAAAGAGACAUUGGAUUAUGUUCAUUCAGGUUCCAUCUCAUGGUAGAGCUAGGUACUUUAUUACCUUAAUGGAUGACUUCUCAAGGAAUCUUUGGGUUUAUGUGUUGAAACAUAAAAGUGAAGCCCUAAAGAAAUUCAAGGAAUGGACAGCCCUAAUGAAGAACCAAAUUGGAAGAAAAGUGAAGAGAUAAAGAACAGACAAUGGCCUGGAGUACUGCAACAGCGAGUUUGAUGAGUUUUGUAAAAAGCAUGGCGUUAUAAGGCAUAAGACAGUAAGGCAUACACCACAACAAAAUGGCCUUGUUGAAAGAAUGAACAGAACCUUAAUUGAGAAGGUCAGAUAAUAUUAUUUCUCUAACCAUUUUUGGGCUGAAGCAAUCUCUAUUGCUGCAUACCUUAUCAAUAAAAAUCCCUCAUCAACUUUGGACUUUAAAACUCCACAAGAAGUCUCGUCUAGCAAACCACUUGAUCUAAGUAACCUAAGAAUCUUUUGUUGCCCAGCUUAUGCACAUAUAAGUUUGGGAAAGCUAAAACCAAGGGUUGUUAAAGGUUAUUUUAUAGGAUAUUCUGAAUGAAUUAAAGGAUAUAAGAUUUAAAGUAUUGAUGGGAAGCCCAUUAGAACCUUUAUCAGUAUAGAUGUUGUGUUUAAUGAGGAGGCAUUGAUACAAACAAAAGUUGAAACAUAGAUCUUUACUAAUUUUAAAGGAGAUUCACAUCUGAUGGUGGAGUCAGAUGUGCACAAACAUUCAGAAUUAGAAGGGUAUCAUCUUGUAAGAAAUAGAGAAAGAAGAGUUGCUGCAAGGCCUAAAAGAUAUGGUAUUGUUGUUUUAAUUUCAUAUGCAUGUAUGGUUAUUGAUUAUGUAAGUGGUUGAGAACUUAUCAGCUACAAAAAGGCCAUGAGUAGUAGGGAGAAGUCAAAAUGGCUUGUAGCAAUGAAAGAAAAAUUGCCUUUUUCUAGAAAAAUAAUACGUAGAUCCUAGUUGACAAGCCUUUAAACAAGAAAUUGGCUAGCUAUAAAUGGGAUUUCAAGCUCAGAAAGUGAUCAUGGGCAACCUAGAUAUAAGGCUAGACUUGUAGCAAAAAGGUUUACACAAAGGGGAGGAAGCAUUUUCACCAAUAGUUAAACAUAGCUCUAUAAGGGUUUUGUUGGCUAUCACUGCAUUCUUAUAUCUAGAAUUAGAUCAAAUGGAUGUCAAAAUAGCCUUUUUGCAUCGUAACUUAGAUGAAGAAAUUCUAAUGGACUAACCAGAAGGAUUCAUUAAAGAAGGAACUAAAGAUAUGGUUUGCUUAUUACAUGGCUCGAAGCAAUCCCUAAGACUAUAGUAUUUAAGGUUCAAUGAAUUUAUGAUCACUCAUGGAUACUUCAGAAGUCAAUAUGACAGUUAUGUGUAUUGUAAACUCUGCCUUUUAAAGAUACUAUCUAUCUUCUUUUAUAUGUUGAUGACAUACUUAUUGCAUAUAAACAAAGAGAAUAAAUAUAGAGGCUUAAAGAUGAACUAAGUUCUGAGUUUAAUAUAAAGAUCUUAGGCCCUACAACAACGAUUUUAGGAAUGCAGAUCAUAAGAGAAUGAGGUGAAAAAACUUUGUUCCUUUUUCACAAGCUAAUUAUGUCAGAAAGGUGCUUAACAUAUUUGGUAUGCUUAGUUCUAAACUUGUUACUAUACCUUGUUGCACAUUUGAAACUGUCUAAACAACAAGAACCAACUGAAGGAGCAAAUGUUGAACACAUGAUGAAAAUACCUUAUUCUAGUGUAAUGGGGAGCAUCGUGUAUGAUAUGGUUGUUUUAGACCCGAUGUUUGCAUAUGGAAUAGGAGUUUUCAGCAGGUUUAUAAGAAAUCCAGGGAAAGAACAUUGAGAUGCUAUUAAGUGGAUACUUAGAUACCUUAAUGGUACAACAAAUAAUGGUAUUUUAUUUGGAGGAAUUAAUAAUACACAAGUAAAAUCUUAGGCUAUGUGGACUCAGAUUUUGCUGGCAAUUUGGACAAAAGAAGGUCAGUUACUGGAUUUGUCUUCACAUUGUAUGGAGGUGCAAUGAGUUGGAAAGAAUCAUUGUAAUUAGUUGUUGCUUUAUCUAGAACUGAAGUUGAAUAUGUUGCACUCAUAGAGGCUACAAAGGAAACAAAAUGGCUCAUAGGCUUGGCAUCAGAAUUAGGAUUGAGGCGAGAGUCGAUUUCCAUUAGUUGUGAUAGUUCUAAUGCAAUACAAUUGAGCAAAAACCCAAAAGAACAUGAAAGAACAAAGCAUAUUGAUGUUAGGCUACAUUUUAUCAUAGAAGAAAUUGGUUCUGGUGUGGUGAAUAUUAUCAAAAUCCCCUUAGUAAUCAAUCCUACUGAUAUUCUAACAAAACCUUUGCCUAUAGUCAAGUUCAUGGGCUCUUUGAACUUGAUUAGGGUUGUUAGCUUGUAAAUCAAGCUAUGUGUUGCUGCUACAGAGUUCGGGUGAAGCUUGAAAAUAAUAUAAAUGAAGAGGAGAUUUGUGAAUUCGGUUAGUUAUAUUCUAUUAAGUUAGUUGCUGAGGUGGCUUGAUGAGCUGCUGUGUGGGACCCUUGUAGUUAAGUUGUUACACGGUCCAACAAGCUUCUGGAAUUAAAUACAGAAGAAAGCAACGCUGGCUGGUGCAACACCCGGAGAAAAGAUCUUGACUAGCUUUGAGAUAGAUUUUGUUAAUUCUUCAUUGAAGGGAUUUGUUCUCUGUGAUCUCAAGAAUUGUUCUAAUCAAUAUCUUAAUAAAAACUUCAAGUCCAAAGGGGUAUUAUCAGCCGUGGAUGUAAAUACUUUUGUAGCAAACCACGUAAUAUUGCAGUGUUCUUUUUCUCUGCUUUCUUAGUUUCAUUGCCGUCUUUAUUCUUUGUUCUUUGAUCUAGUGUCAUUAAUUCUUUGUGCCAUUAAUUAGAUUGGCUAAUUGGCUAGUCUGAUAAAGAAUCGAAAGAGAAGAAAAGGCCUUGAUUUCAUAACAAGUAUUCUGUCCAUUAAGGCUUCAAGUCAAUUAUUUUCUUAAACAAUUUAAGAGAAACUUUAAUUGCUUCAGUCUUCACUCUUCAACGUGUAUGAGUCUCUAUGAUAAGAGUUUUCUCCAAAUUCAAAUCCAACUUUAGCACCCAAAUUUUUGGCCUAAAUGGAAAAAAAAAAAAUUAAAGGCUUUACGUACUGGAUACUGAGGUACACACUUCACAUAUUAAUGUAAAAACUAAAAAGUUAACAUAUAUAUCGAAGGCUUUAUGAACUGGAUAAGAGUCUUGACAUUUUUAUGUAAAAAUUAACAUAUCAAAGGCCUUAUGAACUGGAUGAGAGUCGAUCAUUUACCCCCAUUGGGGACUGAUACAAAGUUAUUCCAGUUGGCGCACAAUGUCUUGCAAAGCAAGCAAACGUUCCCCUCACUAGAUGUAAUUGAACAAACAAUAAUCACAAUAUUUUUUUUUUUGGAAAAGUAAUUAAUUCAUUGAUUAGUACCAAAAAAAUCAUUGAAAUUUAAUCAAAUUAUACGGAGUUGCAUACCAUUUUUGCUCUUUGUUAAGAAUUGAUGGUUUCUUAAUAAGAUUAUAAUUGAAAGAAUUAGAAAUGGAAUGAGGAAGAUCUUUUGGGGGUAAAUUGAUUGAAGAAUGAAUGGAGAAUUUGUUUCAGCCGGAAAGAAAUCAGAAAGUAUUUGAGAUGGAAUUAAGAAGAUUUUUGUGGGUAAAUUGAUUAGAGAAUGAAUGAAGAGUAAAAACGCAAAAUUUGGAAACUCGGAUACUUGGAAAUCAAGUAAGGUCUGUGAAGUCGGAUAUUAGGAGAAUUAUACAGGCCGUUUGAUAUCUAAUUUGAACGGUUUAGGAAAUUGGGUGGAUAUUCUCUUGUGUGCAUAUUAAUUUUAUUAAUGAAGAGUGAUUCGUUCAAUUGACGAGUAGAAUUUUAAGCACUGUUAUAUGAUGGUGUUACGCAUUGUUUAGUACAAGUUUAACUAAUUGCAACUUAAAAAUUAUAGCACUAAAUUAUUUGUUAAACACUAGCCGCGCUGCUGUCACUUAAAAUUGAAAUUGAAUUGAUUCAACACUUUUAUGAAAAAAAAAAUUGAAUUUUUUUUUUAAUUUUUAUCAUAUUAUUAUUAAAAACAAUCAUGUUCGUCAUAUACUAUUAACUUUUAUUUUUAAUAAUAGCUUCUUUUACCACAAUAUGAGACUUAAAUAUUAUAGCACCUCAAUACUAAUCAAAUGCUUAGCGUAAAAUUUUUAAUAAAUAAAAAUAUAAUUUAAAUAGUUUAAUUUUUCUAAUAGACUAAUAAUAUUAGAAUAUUUUUAAUAUAAAAAUAAUUUUAAAACUAUAAAUGAUUAUAUUUAUUUUAAUAAUGUAUUUAUAUUUAUUCUAGAAUUUUUUAAUAAAUAUCUAGGUUAAAUAAAUUUUUCUAACAGACUAAUAACACAAUGCUCGCAAAAUGGUAAGCUUACCGAUUUGAGCCCUGGAGGCAAUUUUCGCUCAGAGAGAAUUUUCAAAUCUUGUUUUGACAAAUGACCGAGUUCGAGAUGCCACAUCAUCGUUGAUUCUUCUCCAUUUGACGUGACACACGCAUCAGCUUCUUGUGGUGUUUCCCCUUCAAGUACGAACAAAUUAGGACUGAUCUUUUCUGCCUUCAUCAAUACAAGCGCACCUUUAACAAUCUUCAUAAUCCCAUUUUCAACAUGGGUUUUACACCCAUGACAAUCUAUUGUCCCAAAGAUAAUAGAUUUUUCUUCAAGCCUUUGACAUGUUGUACCUCCUCAAUUGUACGAACCGUACCAUCAAACAUUUUUAUUUUGAUAGUACCAGUACCAACGAUUUCCAAGGCAUGAUCAUCUCCCAUGUAUAUAAAUCCUCCUGAGAUAGGUUCAUAUGUGUGGAACCAUUCUCUUUGAGAGGUCAUAUGCCAGGUAGCUCCUGAGUCUAUGAGCCACACAUCAGAUAACCAUUUUCUGCCUUCUGAAACAGUUGUUGUCUCCACUCUGCUUGUUUUUCCAACACUCUUUCUUGAAAUGCCCUUUCUUGCCACAAUUGUAGCAUUUGACAUUUUUCUUACUUUUUAAUUUUGAUCUACCAUGAUUGUGACUCCUAUUGGGGCCACGAUCUGUUGAUCUUCCUCUCGUCAUCGAUAGUGCUUUUACUUGCUGCGAACUUACUUGUUUGUCUUCCUUAUUUUUCCACCUAUUCUCCUCAUUUAAUACAGAGGCUGCAACAUCAUCGAAGACUAGACUGUCCGCUGGGUUGUUGUUUGUCAGGUUGAUGAUGACUUAGUCGUAUGAAUCUGGUAGACUUUGAAGUAGAAGCUCUACACGUUCAUUUUCCUCUAUUUUAUGACCCAACGUUGAAAGUUGUGAAAAUAGAGUCUUUAAGGUGUUGAUGUGGUCGGUCACAUAUUUUAAGAAGAUCUUGUUGUGCAGUGAUUUGGCCUUGUACAAUUUUGUGAGAGUAUCACAUAUUUCCUUUGCUGUCUUUUUCUUUGCCACAUUGGAUAAUACUCCAUCCACAAGCACCAAGUAUAGAUUAGAAAUGGUGUUGCCGUCUAUCUCGUUCCACUUGUCAUCAAUUAACUCCAUGGGCUUUUCUCCAAUUGCUAUCAAGCAUACAACUUUUAUCUUCAUUUUCCACAACGAAAAAUUAUUUCCGUUGAAUUUCUCAAUUUCGUAUUUUACCGCCAUCGCUUUUCACCAAAAACUAACUUUGCUAGGAUCGACUCUCAUCAUUUUCAAGUGAACAAUAAUUGUAUACGUGAACAAUAAUCAUAUACGUAAAUAGUGCCGUAUACGUUAACAGUACCCCGACUCCAAAAGAAAUACAACAAGUAGCUCUGAUACCAUUGUUAGGAAAUUGAUGGGUGAAACACGGCCACAGCUAAAAUGAAAUUGAAAGAAAAUUUACAAGUAUUGUAAUAUUUUGUCUCACUACCCAAAACCCUCUCACUCAAUAGACUCACAAGAGCUUUGUAAUUUUAAGCUCUUAAAAUCACUCAAAAUCUUUGUUUUUUCUCUCACCAAAAUUAGAUGCCUAAAAUCAAAUAAAGAGCUCCCUUUAUAUAGCCAAAAUUGGCUAUUAAAAUAUUAUUAUUAUUCUGUAACCGCCUUUAAUUUCUUCUUCUUCUAUUUUCUUCUUUCUUCUUUCUACUUCGGCGGUGCCAAACCCUUCAACAUUUGCUACUUCCAAAUUCUAUUUUUCUUUCCUUGGGUGGCACCUCCUUGGACUUCAAUUUGGGCAGCUUAUACAGCUUCUAGAUCUUCAAAAUAGGCUACUUCUGGAAGCCUUUUCGUGACACAUUACCUAGUAGAUUUACUCAAUCACAAAUUGGGUGGUUACAAACUAUGUUUGAAAACCUUUAAUUAAUAAAAUUCUUAUUUAUUUUCUUUCGUAAUACGAUUUACCUAUUAUGAAAUCAUUUGCAUUAGAUCGUGAAUAAUCUCAUUACUUUGGGGUAUUAUUUGCCUUGGACUUCUUUUUUUGGUCUAUCACUAUAUUACUUACCUUGGGCUGUCUCACUAUUCUCGUGUAAUAUUAUCUGCCUUGAGUCAUUCAUUUUUGUAUUGAGUGGUGAUAUUAUCUCAUCAGUUUUUAUAUUAAUUUCUAUUUUGCCGUUGUAUGAAAUUACUUAUUUUGGUGAAUUACUAUAUUAUUUCCCUUGGGCCGCCUCACCAUUUUGUUGCAUAAUCUGCCUUGGGUCAUUCAUUUUUGUAUAGAGUGGAGAUACGAUCUCAUCAGCUUUUAUAUUAAUUUCUGUUUUGCCAUUGUAUGAAAUUAUGAAAAAUGGAUAUUGAAGAGUUUCUUGCCACAAAUUGAACCUGCAUCUCUGGUAAGCAUUACUCUUUCAUUUUCGCGGAAAAGGCAGUAAGUGAAUGGCCUAAAUUCAUGGUUCAUUUCAUAUUAUGGAGUUUCUUUCUUCAGGAUGAUUUCGGCUGGAAUUCUCAUAAUUUGCUUCCAAAAAUCCACUACUGAUAGGCUUGGUGCUUGCCAUUUUUGCCUUUGCAGCUGGUAGUGGCUUGUAUGCUUGUUGGAUUAGUCAGAAAAAUCAAUUGGCAUUGGUCACAAAUUUUUUAUUCGAGCUGAGGGAUACAUACAGUAGUAGACGUCGUGUACUAUGUUCUCUUUCUCAUAUGUAUAAAUAUAGUAAGAGAUAUAUAUGGCUUUUAUAUAAUUCUCAAUAUCAUAAGCAGUAAACAUGGACUCUUGGCUUAAAGACAAUAUGAACAUGAAACCAUUUCACGUGGGUGAUCAAAUAAUAACUUUCAUUUGUUUAACUUCUUAUAGAAGUCAGAAGAGAGUGUACCUGCAACCAGUGGCGGUGCCAGAAAUUAUUUUUAGCGGGGCUAAGUUCACAUAAUAGUUUAAUUCAAGAAAGUAAUCAACAAAUAACAUAUAUCAAAAUAAAAAUUCAUUAAAGUAUUUAAUGCAACACACUUAUAAUUGUUCUCGACAAGGUUUCAUAUAUUGAAAACGUUGAAGAAUAACCUCAUUGUCAAGACUACAAAAUACAUCAUUUUUUUUAUGAAUACAACAAGGCUAUCAUUCAACCAUUGAUCUCCCAUCCGAUUUCGCAGAUGGUUUUUCACAAAAUUCAUAGCUGAAAAUGCCCUUUCUACUGUAACUGCGGCAACCGGUAAAAUCAAUGCCAAUGUCACCAAUAAAUAGACCAAUGAAUAUAAUUGAUCCUUUUUAGUCUCAACCAAUUUUCUUACUAGCUCACCAAUCCCUUUCAAUCCUGAAAAUUUGUUGUCAGAACCCACAUCCAUAAUAUAAACAUCAAAUUGAGUUUCAAGUGCCACAAGAUUCAUUAGAGAAAAAUCAUUCGGAUAAAACUCAGCAAGGUGAAGUAGUUUCUGUUUAUCAAAAGCUGCAAAUGAGUCAUUGGGGCAUAGACAUGCCACACAAAGAAGCAACUCAGUAUUCAUCUCAUUGAAACGAUUGCUUAAUUCUUUAAGUUGCAUGUCCAAAAUUGCAUAAAAUAAUUCAACUCGAAAAUAAUGCAAAUUCGUGAUCUUUUGAGCCUUGCGUUGUGAUCUUGCUUGUGAUAACUCAUAUGCAAAUCCAAGAAUAUUUUUCAUUAACAGCAGGCUAAACACAAAAGCAAAUGAUUGCAUUGACUUCGAUAACAUUGUAGCUUGAAAUCUUUGUUCAGAAUUUCCCUCAUUUGAAAUUAUCUCAAGCAUGUCAAUAAUAGAUGGAAACAUGGUGAUUAUACUCAAUAACGUACCAUAAUGUGGGCCCCAACGUGUAUCAGCAUAUCGCUUUAAAGUAACCUCUUGAUUUAAACCUCGUCCACUUGAAAGUUCACCAUCAUUGAGUGCUUUAAUAACUGCUUGAGCAUGUUUCUCUUGAAGAAUAUCACGACGUUUUGCUGAAGCACCAACAACAUUGAUAUCACGACGUUUGCCCGCGGGGAGUCGUGAUAUCAAUGAUUGCAUUCACCGUCCACAAGUUUAUCUUAUACACUUCAAUUAAUUUCAUAGCAUUCACAAUGUCUUGAUCCUUUUUUUUGUAAUGCUUGUGAUAACUCAUGUGCAAAUCCAAGAAUAAUAUUUUUCAUUAACAGCAGGCUAAACACAAAAUCAAAUGAUUGCAUUGACUUCGAUAACAUUGUAGCUUGAAAUCUUUGUUCAGAAUUUCCCUCAUUUGAAAUUGUCUCAAGCAUGUCAAUAAUAGAUGGAAACAUGGUGAUUAUACUCAAUAACGUACCAUAAUGUGAGCCCCAACGUGUAUCAGUAGAUCGCUUUAAAGUAACCUCUUGAUUUAAACCUUGUCCACUUGAAAGUUCACCAUCAUUGAGUGCUUUAAUAACUGCUUGAGCAUGUUUCUCUUGAAGAAUAUCACGAUGUUUUGCUGAAGCACCAACAACAUUGAUAUCACGACGUUUUGCUGACGCACCAACAACAUUGACUAACAUUGUGACUAAAUUGAAAAGAGAAGUAAUUAUAAGAAUUUAAAGAGAAACUGAAAACAAUUUCCAUGUCAAAAUGUAAAAAAAUACAAAAAUACAAAAUAUUAAUUUAAUAAACUAACUACCCAAUUAAAUCCCCAACCACUAAAUUACUAAUCCAUCAUAGCAUCACGCCAUGACCAAUGGCAUUGUUAUUCUAUUGUUUAUAAUAAGUAAAGUUAAAAGCAUUGCCACUUUGUCAAGAAGCAUCGCCACUUUAUCAAGAAACAUGCCACAAUCAUUCUAUUCAAAAAGCAUAAAAAAAUUCAAGAAUUAUAAUAUUAAAUUAUAAAGUGACAAAGAUGUUUAAUUAUCAAAAUAAUUUAAUCAAUUCUUAAUAAUUAAUCUAAAAGCUGCAAAGGUAUGACGGUAGUACCUGAAAAAAUGCAAAAAUGCAGACCAUGCGGUGGUGCAGGGCUCCAAGUGCGAGCUGCAAGUUGUAGCAUUUAUGGCAUGAAAACAAAGAGCUAUGAUGGCAUGAGAGUUUGAUAGAGAUAGAUGACAGGCUGAUCACUGAUGGUAGCCGAUGGAGUUUUUCUUUGGCAAAGGAUCGAUGGUGGUGGUUAGGGAUUUGAUUUUGAGUUUUUUUUUUUAAUUUCUAAUCGUUGUUUUAAAUUUUGGUCUUUUAGUUAUUUCAAAAAUAUUUCAGGGAUUUUAUUGUAAAUUCAAUAAAAAAAGAUAAAUUUAAUUUUUUUUUAAAUUCUAGGGGGCAUCAGCCCUAGCUCUCAAGUGGCGCCGCCUCUGCCUGCGACAUCAACCGUAUCAAGCGAAGAUAUUGGACAUUUAAUAAUGAAAAAAUUAGGAAUUUUCAUGGACACAUCAGUAGGUUUCGUAAAUAUGUAGAAUCAACUGAUUCUAGGUACCUUACAAUGUGACUUUUUUUUUUUCCCCUGAAGAUAAGGACUAUUUUUUAGGAUACUGGCCGUUGAGGCUUUGUUUGUAUUUUUGCAAGAAAAUGGAAAAGGGUGGGCUAAAGCGCAAAAAAUAAAGCUAACAACUGCUAAAUUUAAUUUUUUUAAGAGUGUUUUAAUGUGGCAUUUGAUUUGGGAACUUUUUUGUAGUUAUUGAAAUAGCCACACAGGGUAACAAUUGGGGCAUUCUUUCAUAAAUUGGACAUUAAUAGUACCGAGUACGAAUGAGGAUGGUUAAAUGCCUAAUCACCCUAUUAAUCUUGCAGUCCAAAAAAGCAAAAGCAAUAGCAUUACAAAUAGUAUAACUAUCAAAUUGAUUCACUCUGUCUAAACGACAAGUCAUCUGAUUACUAAAUUAUUUGACGCAACGACUGAUUUAGAAUUUUAAUGUAGAGGGAGCUUGGUACAAAUACUAUGAUUCACAGUAGCGUGUUCGAUGGUGCGAGUGAUCAACAACAGCAACAGACAAGUGAGGCAAUGAUGAUGUAUAUGUUGGAAAUAUAAAUUCAUAUUGUUUUUUGAAAGUACACAAUAUGAAUAGUAGCUGUUGGUACUGUUCACUUCACUAUUUACUAAUACUAUUGAUCUUACUGUUCACUCAACAACAAUUGUAAAUUCGUCAAGGCGUGUUCGAACUGUCCUUAAGACCAAUUUCUGCUUCUCCAGAAAGAUUUCCCGACACAAAAAAAAGAUAUAAAUAAAAUGGAUUGAUCCCUAGGAUAUAAUGACGUUAUUGUGAGCUUGUACUCCAAACACAACAGUUUAGAAUAACAAAAGAAAAAUUAAUGAAAAGAUAGAAGGAUAGGUUAUAAUGGCUGUGCCUUGAAGAUUUUGUAUUUUGAAAUAUCAAUAAAACUACAAGAAUAAGCUUAAAUAAUUUUAUCAAGAUUGCACUUUAAGAUGAAACACUAAUUAAUGGCCUUUCAAGACUUGAAUUGGGUUAAAUAGUUUAUGUACGAAAAUUGAAUUAUUGACAUCCAAAUGCACUUAAAUAAAUAUUUUCCCUAUCUCCUUUUAUAUAUUGUUGGUAAUAAAUCUAAUAACUUUAUGUUGUUGUGAUUCUUAAUGUAGUUUUUUUUUAAUCGGUAGCUGUGUACGUGUCAUUAUUAGCAAUGUGUCAUUUUCAUUACUGUGUUAUUGUUUGCAAUGUGUCAUUUUCAUUACUGUGUCAUUGGCCAAUAAUUUUGUAACAAAACCAACAUAUAGCGGUAAAUGAAAAAUUCACAAGUGGGGGACAUACACCCGUUUAAAAUAUUGUAAAUACAUUUUCUUCAUUCUAAGUGUGGACAUGCCAAUUUUGCAUAAUAGUCAUAUCCCAGAACAAAAGUCGCAUUAAAAUUUUAUUCAUUUAUUCAGGUUUUUUCCUGCAUUAACGAAUUCAUUGUGUAGGAUUUCAUUUUUAUGUAAACGAAUUUAGUUACGAUAAUCAACUACUAAUUUUUUUCCGUUAAUUGGCUACGUUUACGUUAAUUAACUGAUAAAUAACAUUGCAUUAGCGAAGCCAAGAGAUUCAUUUAAACCCCUAAGAUUCAAAUAUUCUUUCACUAGUACUACUGGAGAAAUUUGGCAAUCGAUAUUUCGGAAGACAUCAUUACAGAUGUCAAACAAAAGGUAAAAAUAAAAUAAAAAAUAGCUAGUCCCCCACUUGUAGGUAGGGCAUGCGUCUCAUGCGCUUUAAAUUUCCAAAAUUUAUAUCUUUUUGACAUGGAAACUACUCAGCAAGGCAAUGGUGACUCAACAACAUUAUAUAUAUGGAACUCUUUAGGUGAAUUGAAGAUGAGAACGAGGGAUUGCAUAAGCUACAAGAAUGAACGGUCAUUUGUAAAGUACAGCGAAUAGGGUCCAAUAGAUCAAAUCAAGUAGAGUAGAAGAAAAUGAAUUACACUUAUGGUACAAUCAGUUUCAAUUUCUUUCAUCUGUUAACCGUCUAUAAACAAGAUACAAGCUCGAAGCCACCAAUGGGCUAUAAACAGAGCUUCAUUCAAGAGAGUUAAAGGUAUCCCAAGUUCUGAAAAUUGAGAGCACGUACAAGUGAGCUUUUACAGAGAUUUUUCAGAGAAUGUUUUCUUAACUAUUCUAGAGGGAUUUAUAUCGGAUUUUGAGAAUUGUUCCCAUUCAAAGUCCAACCCCAAUUCAUGAGCCUAAAUAAUAAACCAAACAAAAGAGAAUAUUCUCUCCAUUUAUCUAGAAUUAUCUUUGCUAAAAAUAUCAUGAAUAAUUGGCGCUGUGGCAGUUUUAAAAUUUGGUGAUUGCUAAGAAAUUAAUGGUAAUAAGUUUAGAAUGUCGUUAUUUGUUAGGACCUGCAUUUAAAAUCUUAAAUAUUCGUAAUUAAUUAUAAAGAUCUCGGUUCACCUGCAAGCUACAACAAUUAGCUAACUGAUAUAUGGUAUUUUUUACAAAACUAUUCAAAAAGAAGGAGUAUAAUUAAUCAAACUGAUUUGGAUAGUACCACACGAUUUUUUUUUUAUUUUUAUUGACAAACCAACAUAAACAACAUAUUAACGUAACUAACGCAUUCACAUAUAAUUAUUUUAUUUAAUUAUUAAGAAAGACGAAGUACAUGGACGGUGGACACUAAGAAAUAUAAUCUCUUGUAGAUCAAGAAAUUUUAGAGGUUGAACUGAACUAAACUGACCCUCACACAAUUAAUUGACAGGUAAUAACAAUACCCAUCCUUUUAUUAACCAUAAUAGAAAAGAGUAAUAUUGCGUGCGUGCGCUGCGCUUAUUAACCAGUGUGGUCGGGAUUUCUUCCAUAUUGAGGGACAGCAAUCAGAUCAAGAUUAUCAAUUGUCUCGUCCUUAUCAUCAGCAAUACCAUAUACAGGUACUGGAGUACCCUCCAACCAUUCAUUCUUACCUGAAAGUUUAACAUUAGAAAAUGGAUUCAUAAAUGCUUAUAUUAAUAUAUGAAUUGUAAAUGAUAUCUAUUCAGCUGAAAUUGGCUAAAAAACCUGCGCAAGGAAAAGGAGUUUCCAUAUUCUUCAAAUCAGAAAAGAUCUCCAGGUGAAGCGUAAUCAAAACUAAAAAAUAAGUAGAGCUUGAGCGUGUUCUUAUUUCUGGUUUGAUCUGAUAUAUAUAGAUUCAAGAAGUCGACGUUGCCGAGGUGUGGGUGAUUGUGACGUAGCAAAACAUGUAAUAAUUAUUUAAGAUUAACGGCCAUGGCUAAACUGCACGUCGAAACGUGUUAGCAUGGUUCCAUAAAAUAAUAGUUAUUUAAGAUUAACGGCCAUGGCUAAACUGCACGUCGAAAUGUGUUAGCAUGGUUCCAUAAAAUAAUAGUUAUUUAAGAUUAACGGCCAUGGCUAAACUGCACGUCAAAACGUGUUAGCAUGGGUCCAUAAAAUAAAUAAUUUUAUCUAAUUAGGAGAGAAAUCGAUUCAGUAACAAGCUGCUGCUUGCACUUUCUAGAAAUUUUAAAUUUAUGAAUUGAAAUUACUCACGCCUUUUUAUGUGUGGUUAAGUAUGCAUACAGUUCAAGCUGAGGGAUACUGAUGUGAAGUGUAGGGACAUGGAUAUAUACUAUCGUUUACAUUAUUUUACAGCCUUGCUGUAUUAUUUUAUUUGGCAAUCAUAUAGUCAUUGUCUGCACUACACUUUGUCUUCACUACACUUGUCUCCACUUGAGUAUUCUUGAGUAGUAGCUGAGUCACAAGUCACCUUAUCAUGUCUGUUGAGCUUUCCUGUCGUGCUUGAUUUACUUUGUUCUAACCACCCCGCUCAAUCUCAGUUUUCUUAGCAUACUCUUAGGUCAUGUUUGGUUUGUAGAAAAGGGAGCAGAGGAAAAGAGUGGAAUGGAGAGGAAGAGAAAAGGAAGGAAUGGAGAAAAGUAGUGAAAUUAGAUUUUGUUGUUUGGUUUGAUAUAAAAUUUAAUAAGGAAUUAUAAUUUUUUUCAUUAAACUAAUUUACCAUUUACCUCAAAUAUUUAAUUAUUUAUAUUAGUAAUAUAUAUAUAAUGACGGUCCGUUGGCCGGUGGUGAAGGUCCGGCGACUUUUCGGCGAACGUCCAGCGACUUUCCGGCGGUGGUCCAUUUAUGAUAUUAAAUCAAUAAAAAAAAUUAUAAAUAAUAAUUAUUAAUGAUAUUAAACAAAUUAAAAAGUUGAAGGGUAAUUUUAGAAACUUUAGUUUCUAAAAUAAGAGGAAUUUAAAUUUUUCACUACUUGAUGUGGAAUUCAAAUUCUACAUUAUGAUGGAUAUUAAAUUUUAAUGGAAAUUAAAUUAUUAUAUAUUUUUUAUGGUUGUCGAAGCCAGCAAAAAUAAAUACCUACUCUAAAUAAAUUGUGUAUAGUGAUUGAGCAGGGUCGUGUCCACAGAGAUCGGUAAUUAUUUAAAUCAUUUUAAAUGUAAAAUGCAAAAUGGGGGGAUUGUUGACAAUAAUAAAAAUCAAAUUAAAAUAACAAGAAUGCAAAUUCAAAAUUGUAAUUCAAAUUGGGGAAAGCUCUGGUUGAAGGAAUUAAUUUAGCUUGAUUCGACUACUGAUCAUUGAUUCAAAUAUAAAUCAUUACUACUUAUGAAUAGACCGGUUAUAGCUACUGAGACACUCUAAUAGUCAAUCUCUCCUUAACUAGUCGAUAACCAAAGUACGACCAUUGGUUAUUUCCCUAAUCAAUAGAAAACCCUAGAUACGAUCAUAGGAUUUAAUCAAUUGACAACCUGAAAAACCAAAGAAACUCAAAUCCUAAUAAACAAACGCAUACGAUGGUUCAUUUAAAUUAGAUUGUUUAUUCUCAUAACACAACGCACUGCUAUGCUAUUUGUCACAAACAUUAAAAUCUUCAUACGAUGAAUCCUUUAAUUGACAAUAGAUUAAGUUGAUAAUUAAAUAGUGGCCAAUUAUCUAAUUAACAAACAUAAUCAUGACAAUAAUUUAGAGAAUAAACAAAUACCCAAAAAGCAAUAAAAUAAUUAAAGCAUAAGAAAUAUCUCACAGUAAUGAUGAAUCAAAACUUCAUUAACCUUCAACCAGAAUAAUAGGUUUAGUUCUUCAUAGAGAGAAGAGAAAAAUUUAGAUCUAGGGUUUCUUUUUUUCUUCCUUCUUCACCAGUAAUCCCGCGUCUUAUUCAUUUAUUACCCAAGUUUCAUGGUUUUGCAGGUGAAGAUCCUCAUAAACAUCUCAAGGAGUUUCAUGUUAUGUGUUCAAAUAUGAAGCCACAAGGCGUGACUGAAGAGCAGAUUAAGCUGCGUGCUUUUCCUUUCUCUUUAGAUGGACUAGCUAAAGACUAGUUGUACUACUUGCCUCCUGGAUCGAUUACCACGUGGAAUGGUUUGAAGAAGCAGUUCCUUGAGAAGUACUUUCCUACUUCAAGAGCUGCUAGAAAAUAUAUUUGUGGGAUUAGACAACUUCCUGGGGAGACUUUGUAUGAGUAUUGGGAGCGAUUCAAACAAUUGUAUGCCAGCUGUCCUCAGCAUCAGAUUUCUGAUCAACUUCUUAUUCAAUACUUUUAUGAAGGACUGUCAUUGAUGGAUAGGAGUACGAUAGAUGCUGCUAGUGGAGGUGUGUGUGUUGGUGAACAGGACCCCUACUCAAGCAAGGGAGUUGGUCUCAAAUAUGGCUGCCAAUGCACAACAAUUUGGCAGCAGGCAAGAUCCCACUUCAAGGAAGGUGAAUGAGGUAAAUAUUUCUUCCAUUGAACAACGUUUAGAUAAACUUACUUCUCUUGUGGAAACGUUUGUUGUAGGUAAUGUGCAACAGGUGAAGACUUGUGUCAUUUGUUCUAAUAUGGGUUAUUCAACUGAUAUGUGUCCUACACUUCAAGAAAAACCCAUUGAACAAGCCAAUGCAAUUGGAGGAUUUCCAGGCAUGCCUCAGAGGACGUAUGAUCUUUAUGCAUAAACAUACAAUCCGGGAUGGAAGGAUCAUCCCAACUUCAGCUAUGGAGUUAGGCCGUCAGGAAUCCCACAACAAUAUCCACCAAGACAACCAGCACCUCCACAGUCAAACUCCAAGUUAGGUAUAUCUCUUGAAGAAAUUGUUCAAUCACUUGCGACUAACACUCAACAAUUUCAGCACGCAACUACAACAAGCAUUCAAAAUUUGGAGAACCAAAUGAGUCAAUUGGCGACUACAGUGAGCUGUCUGGAGUCUCAAGUAUCAGGGAGAUUGCCUUCACAAUCUGAGGCGGAUCCAAAAUAAAACGCUAGUGUUGUCAUCCUUAGAAGUGGGAAGGAGUUGCAAGAGCCUAGUAAGAAAGCGACAAAGCAUGUAGAAGAUGAGCUUGAGAAGAAUGAAUUGAUGCCUAAAUCUCAAGAUGCGCAACCCACCAGAGCAAUACCUCUACCUGUGGUGAUACCUCCUCCUUUUCCAAGCCGGUUUGCAAAAUCCAAGAAAGAGGAACAAGAGAAAGACGUCCUUGAGACAUAACAAGAGAAAGACGUCCUUGAGACAUUUCGCAAGGUUGAGGUAAAUAUUCCUUUAUUAGAUGUUAUAAAACAAAUACCUCGAUAUGUUAAAUUCCUUAAGGAACUGUGCACCUCCAAGAGAAAAUUAAGAGGAGAUGAAAGAGUUCACAUGGGGGAGAAUGUUUCAGCAGCUCUCCAAAAGAAAUUACCUCCUAAGUGCAAGGAUCCAGGUAUGUUUACUAUCCCUUGCAAAAUUGGUAGUGUUAAAGUUGAGAAUGCUAUGUUAGAUCUAGGAGCUUCUAUUAAUGUCAUGCCUCGUUCCAUUUAUUCAUCUUUGAAUGUUGGUCCAUUAAAAGAAACUGGCGUGAUAAUUCAACUAGCUGAUAGGUCUAAUGCGUAUCCUGAUGGGGUAUUAGAAGAUGUCUUAGUACAAGUUAAUGAGUUGGUUUUUCCUGCUAAUUUUUAUGUACUUGAUAUGGAAGAGGAUAACUCCUCUAAUUCUGUCCCAAUUUUGCUAGGAAGACCUUUUCUUAAGACUGCUAGGACUAAAAUGGAUGUACAUAAAGGGACUCUCACUAUGGAGUUUGAUGGAGAGGUUAUAGAAUUCAAUAUGAAUGAUGCCAUGAAAUAUCCUAAUAAGGAACAUUCGGUAUUUUCUGUGGAUGUUAUUAACCCUAUAGUGCAGGAAGUUUUUUAUUUGGAUGUUGAAGAUUCAUUGGUAGCUGCUUUAAAUAACAGUUUGGGCCUCAAAGGAUUGUAAAAGGAUGAAAAUAAGUUUGUUUUAAAUUCUGUAUUGUAAGAGACAAUUUAUGAAUUAAAUUCUUUGAGAACUUUAACUCAUCAUAUGUCUUAUAUUGAAUUACCUUCAUCUCAUGCAAAACUUCUUCCAUCUAUUUUGCAGGCACCGAAAAUAGAGCUUAAACCAUUGCCGAGUCAUCUAAAGUACAUAUUUUUAGGAGAUGGUGAGACACUUCCGGUGAUCAUCUCUUCAAAACUUAGUACUUUAGAGGAAGAAAAACUUAUUAGAGUGCUGAAGGAUUACAAAAAGGCUAUUGGGUGGUCAAUUGCUAAUAUUAAAGGGAUAAGUCCGUCCACGUGCAUGCAUAGAAUAUUGCUAGAGGAAGAUGUCAAACCUUCGAUUCAAGCUCAACGCCAUUUGAAUCCACUCAUGAUGGAAGUAGUGAAGAAAAAAAUUCUGAAACUUCUUGAUGCAGGUAUAAUCUAUCUAAUUUCGGAUAGCAAAUGGGUAAGUCCAGUACAAGUGGUACCAAAGAAAACUGGUAUAACAAUUGUUGAGAAUUCUUAUGGUGAGUUAGUACCCACCCGAGUUCAGAAUGGGUGGAGGGUUUGUAUUGAUUUUAGAAAGCUUAAUUCACUCACUAAGAAGGAUCAUUUUCCUAUUCCUUUUAUUGAUCAGAUGCUUGAAAGGUUGGCAGGAAAAUCUCACUUUUGUUGUCUUGAUGGCUAUUCAGGUUUUCAUCAGAUACUAGUUGCACCUGAGGAUCAGGAGAAGACUACCUUCACAUGUCCUUUUGGAACCUUUGCGUACCGACGUAUGUCAUUUAGUUUUUGUAACGCUCCUGCUACCUUUCAAAGGUGCAUGGUCAGUAUUUUUUCAGACUAUGUAGAGAACAUUAUAGAGGUAUUUAUGGACGAUUUUACAGUCUAUGCUGAUUCUUUUGAUGAUCGUCUCUAUAAUCUAAAGAAAGUGCUUGAAAGAUGCAUUGAAACAAACAUUGUCUUGAAUUAUGAAAAAUGUCAUUUUAUGGUAGAUCAAAGCAUUAUUUUGGGUCAUGUAGUCUCUGCUAGAGGAAUUGAGGUAGAUAAAACUAAGAUAGAUGUUAUUAAAUAUUUACUUAUCCCACAUGUGUGCGGGAAGUUCAUUUUUUGCUUUUGAAAAAUUUUGUUCCUAUUUAUUGGGUACUAAAGUGAUUUUUUUUUCUGAUCAUGCAGCUCUCAGAUAUUUGCUCGCCAAGAAGGAAGCGAAACCAAGACCCAUCCGCUGGACCCUACUACUUCAAGAGUUCAACUUGGAUAUGCGUGACAAGAAAGGAGUAGAAAACUUGGUUAUAGACCACCUUAGUAGGUUGACCAUGAGUGAAGAAGCAGCACCUUUGAAGGAUGAUUUUCCAGAUAAGCAUCUCUUUGUAACUCAAGGUAUAGUUCCUUGGUACGCUGACAUUGUCAAUUACUUAGUUACAAGAACACUACCUAGUAAUCUGACGAGGGCUCAAAAAGAUAAGAUUAAAAGCGAUGCUAAGUACUAUGUUUGGGAUGACCUUUACUUAUGGAAACAUUGCUCUGACCAAGUCAUCAGAAGGUGCGUAUCUGAGUUUGAAAUUCCUUCUAUUCUUCAGUUUUGUCACUCGUAUGCAUGUGGUGGUCAUUUUGGUCCCAAAAGAACAUCAUCUAAGGUGUUAGAAUGUGGUCUAUUUUGGCCUACUUUAUUUCGUGAUUCAUACAUAUUUUGUAAGUCGUGUGAGAAUUGUCAAAAAACUGGUAAUUUAAGUUAUAGAAAUCAAAUGCCACUUACCCCUAUUCUUGUUUGUGAAAUAUUCGAUGUGUGGGGCAUUGAUUUUAUGGGACUUUUUCCCUCAUCUUUUGGCAAUGCUUACAUUCUUUUAGUAGUGGAUUACGUUUCUAAGUGGGUAGAGGCUAAGGCCACCCAGACUGACAAUACUAAAGUUGUUGUAGAUUUUGUCAAGUCUAAUAUUUUUGCCAGGUUUGGUGUAUCGAGAGCGGUGAUAAGUGAUAGAGGCAUUCAUUUCUGUAAUCGAGUGGUGGAGGCUUUGUUCAAGAGAUAUCAUGUUACCCACCGAGUGUCUACCACCUAUCAUCCACAGACAAGUAGACAAGCUGAGAUAUCAAACAUAGAAAUCAAGUCUACUCUUGAAAAGACGGUUAGUCCAAAUCGAAAGGAUUGGAGUUUGCGAUUAGAUGAUGCAUUGUGGGCGUAUCGCACCGCGUACAAAACUCCCAUAGGUAUGUCUCCUUAUCGUUUAGUAUUUGGUAAGACUUGUCAUUUACCUGUAGAGCUUGAGCACAGAGCAUACUAUUAACUUUUAUUUUUAAUUAUACCUUCUUUUACCACAAUAUGGGACUUAAAUAUUAUAGCACCUCAAUACUAAUCAAAAGCUUAGCGUUAAAUGUUUAUUCAGUGAAUUGACAUUGUGUUUGUACUACACAUCUUCUCUACAUAUAAGAUAGGCCAUCCCUUAUAUUUGUAUAAUACGGACAUGUCAUCUAUAUCAUAUGGUGAGCCAAAAAUUUAGAAAAAUUUCAUAUGCAGUCCUUCUAAAUAGAUUUAUCUGUAAAUUGUUGUCAAUAUUUUUUGAAAAAGACAUUUGUACCCAUAAAAUUUGGGUGAUGAUAAUGUAAACCACAAGUUUUUAAUAAGGGACACUAAAACUCUUUUUUUAAUAUAAUACCCUUUAUAAAUAGCAACUAAAAAAUUGACCAUAAAAUUUUUAAUAAAUAAAAAUAUAAUUUAAAUAGUUUAAUUUUUCUAAUAGACUAAUAAUAUUAGAAUAUUUUUAAUAUAAAAAUAAUUUUAAAACUAUAAAUGAUUAUAUUUAUUUUAAUAAUGUAUUUAUAUUUAUUCUAGCAUUUUUUAAUAAAUAUCUAGGUUAAAUAAAUUUUUCUAGCAGACUAAUAACACAAUGCUCGCAAAAUGGUAAGCUUACCGAUUUGAGCCGUGGAAGCGAUUUUUGCUCAGAGAGAAUUUUCAAAUCUUGUUUUGACAUAUGACCGAGUUUGAGGUGCCACAUCAUCGUUGAUUCUUCUCCAUUUGACGUGACACACGCAUCAGCUUCCUGUAGUGUUUCCCCUUCAAGCACGAACAAAUUACGCCUGAUCUUUUCUGCCUUCAUCAAUACAAGCGCACUUUUAACAAUCUUAAUAAUCUCAUUUUCAACAUGGGUUUUACACCCAUGACAAUCUAUUAUCCCAAAGAUAAUAGAUUUUUCUUCAGGCCUUUGACAUGUCGUACCUCCUCAAUUGUACGAACCGUACCAUCAAACAUUUUUAUUUUGAUAGUACCAAUACCAACGAUUUCUAAGGCAUGAUCAUCUCCCAUGUAUAUUGAUCCUCCUGAGAUAGGUUCAUAUGUGUGGAACCAUUCUCUUUGAGAGGUCAUGUGCCAGGUAGCUCAUGAGUCUAUGAGCCAUACAUCAGAUAGCCGUUUUCUGCCUUCUGAAACAAUUGUUGCCUCGCUGUAGAGAAUCUCACCAUCAUCUGAGGUACUUGUCAUACACCCCUGAGCAUUUGAUGACUCAGAUUUAUUGUCUCCACUCUUUCUUGAAAUGCCCUUUCUUGCCACAAUUGUAGCGUUUGACAUUUUUCUUACUUUUUGAUUUCGAUCUACCAUGAUUGUGACUCCUAUUGGGGCCACGUUCUGUUGAUCUUCCUCUCGUCAUCGAUAGUGCUUCUGCUUGCUGCGAACCUACUUGUUUGUCUUCCUUAUUUUUCUGCCUAUUCUCCUCAUUUAAUACAGAGGCUGCAACAUUGUUGAAGACUAGAUUAUCCGAUGGGUUGUUGUUUGUCAGGUUGAUGAUGACUUAAUCGUACGAAUCUGGUAGACUUUGAAGUAGAAGCUCUGCACGUUCAUUUUCCUCUAUUUGAUGACCCAACGUUGAAAGUUGUGAAAAUAGAGUCUUCAAGGUGUUGAUGUGGUCGGUCACAUAUUUUAAGAAGAUCUUGUUGUGCAGUGAUUUGGCCUUGUACAAUUUUGUGAGAGUAUCACAUAUUUCCUUGGCUGUCUUUUUCUCUGCCACAUUGGAUAAUACUCCAUCCGCAAGCGCCAAGUGUAGAUCAGAAAUGGCGUUGCCGUCUAUCUCGUUCCACUUGUCAUCAAUUAACUCCAUGGGCUUUUCUCCAAUUGUUGUCAAGCAAUUAUUUUUCCUCAAUACAUCUUUUAUCUUCAUUUUCCACAAUGAAAAAUUAUUUCCGUUGAAUUUCUCAAUUUCGUAUUUUACCGCCAUCGCUUUUCACCAAAAACUAACUUUGCUAGGAUCGACUCCCAUCAUUUUCAAGUGAACAAUAACUGUAUACGUGAAAAGUAAUCAUAUACGUAAAUAGUGCCGUAUACGUUAACAGUACCCCGACUCCCAAAAAACAUACAACAAGUAGCUCUGAUACCACUGUUAGGAAAUUGAUGGGUGAAACAUGGCCACAACUAAAAUAAAAUUGGAAGAAAAUUACAAGUAUUGUAAUAUUUUGUCUCACUACCCAAAACCCUCUCACUCAAUAGACUUACAAGAGCUUUAUAAUUUUAAGCUCUUAAAAUCACUCAAAAUCUCUGCUUUUUCUCUCACCAAAAUUGGAUGCCUAAAACCAAAUAGAGAGCUCCCUUUAUAUAGCCAAAAUUGGCUAUUAAAAUAUUAUUAUUAUUUUGUAACCGCCUUUGAUUUCUUCUUCUUCUAUUUUCUUCUUUCUUCUUUCUUCUUUCUACUUCGGCGGUGCCAAACCCUUCAACAUUUGCUGCUUCCAAAUUCUAUUUUUCUUUCCUUGGGCGGCACCUCCUUGGACUUCAAUUUGGGCAGCUUAUACAGCUUCUAGAUCUUCAAAAUAGGCUACUUCUGGAAGCCUUUUCGUGACACAUUACCUAGUAGAUUUACUCAAUCACAAAUUGGGUGGUUACAAACUAUGUUUGAAAACCUUUAAUUAAUAAAAUUCUUAUUUAUUUUCUUUCGUAAUACGAUUUACCUAUUAUGAAAUCAUUUGCAUUAGAGCGUGAAUAAUCUCAUUACUUUGGGGUAUUAUUUGCCUUGGACUUCUUUUUUUGGUCUAUCACUAUAUUACUUACCUUGGGCUGUCUCACUAUUCUCGUGUAAUAUUAUCUGCCUUGAGUCAUUCAUUUUUGUAUUGAGUGGUGAUAUUAUCUCAUCAUUUUUUAUAUUAAUUUCUAUUUUGCCGUUGUAUGAAAUUACUUAUUUUGGUGAAUUACUAUAUUAUUUCCCUUGGGCCGCCUCACCAUUUUGUUGCAUAAUCUGCCUUGGGUCAUUCAUUUUUGUAUAGAGUGGAGAUACGAUCUCAUCAGCUUUUAUAUUAAUUUCUGUUUUGCCAUUGUAUGAAAUUAUGAAAAAUGGAUAUUGAAGAGUUUCUUGCCACAAAUUGAACCUGCAUCUCUGGUAAGCAUUACUCUUGCAUUUUCGCGGAAAAGGCAGUAAGUCAAUGGCCUAAAUUCAUGGUUCAUUUCAUAUUAUGGAGUUUCUUUCUUCAGGAUGAUUUCGGCUGGAAUUCUCAUAAUUUGCUUCCAAAAAUCCACUACUGAUAGGCUUGGUGCUUGCCAUUUUUGCCUUUGCAGCUGGUAGUGGCUUGUAUGCUUGUUGGAUUAGUCAGAAAAAUCAAUUGGCAUUGGUCACAAAUUUUUUAUUCGAGCUGAGGGAUACAUACAGUAGUAGACGUCGUAUACUAUGUUCUCUUUCUCAUAUGUAUAAAUAUAGUAAGAGAUAUAUAUGGCUUUUAUAUAAUUCUCAAUAUCAUAGGCGGUAAACAUGGACUCUUGGCUUAAAGACAAUAUGAACGUGAAACCAAUAGUUAUUUAAGAUUAACGGCCAUGGCUAAACUGCACGUCGAAACGUGUUAGCAUGGUUCCAUAAAAUAAUAGUUAUUUAAGAUUAACGGCCAUGGCUAAACUGCACGUCGAAACGUGUUAGCAUGGGUCCAUAAAAUAAAUAAUUUUAUCUAAUUAGGAGAGAAAUCGAUUCAGUAACAAGCUGCUGCUUGCCCUUCCUAGAAAUUUUAAAUUUAUGAAUUGAAAUUACUCACGCCUUUUCUUGUGUAGUUAAUUAUGCAUACAGUUCAAUCUGAGGGAUACUGAUGUGAAGUGUAGGGACAUGGAUAUAUACUAUCGUUUACAUUAUUUUACAGCCUUGAUGUAUUAUUUUAUUUGGCAAUCAUAUAGUCAUUGUCUGCACUACACUUUGUCUUCCCUACACUUGUCUCCACUUGAGUAUCCUUGAGUGGUAGCUGAGUCACAAGUCACCUUCUCAUGUCUGCUGGGCUUGUCGUGCUUGAUUUACUUUGUUCUAACACCCCGGCUCAAUCUCAGUUUUCUUAGCAUACUCUUAGGUCAUGUUUGGUUUGUAAAAAAUGGAGAAGAGGAAAAGUGUGGAAUGGAGAGGAAGAGAAAAGAAAGGAAUGGAGAAAAGUAGUAGUGAAAUCACAUUUUGUUGAUUGGUUUGAUAUAAAAUUUAAUAAGGAAAUGAAUUAUAAUUUUUUUCUUUAGACUAAUUUACAAUUUACCUCAAAUAUUUAAUUAUUUAUACUAGUAAUAAAAUAUAUAUAUAUAUUAAAAUAAAAUGACGGUCCGGUGGCCGGCGGUGAAGGUCCGGUUACUUUUCGGCGAACGUCUGGCAUCUUUUCGGCGAACGUCCGGCAGGAUUCCGGCGAAGUUCGGUGGGAUUCCUGCGAAGUCCGGCAGCUUUCCGGCAACGUCCGGCGACUUUCCGGCGGUGAUCCAUUUAUGAUAUUAAAUCAAUAAAAUAAAAUUAUAAAUACUAAUUAUUAAUGAUAUUAAACAAAUUAAAAAGUUGAAAGGUAAUUUUAGAAACUUUAGUUUCUAACUUAAGAGGAAUUUAAAUUCUUCACUACUUGGUGUGGAAUUCAAAUUCUACAUUAUGAUGGAUAUUAAAUUUUAAUGGAAAUUAAAUUCUUAUAUAUUUUGUCAAACCAAACAAUGGAAAUGAAAAGAGAAUUUAAAUUAAUUUCCUCUUCUCCAUUCUCUCCUCCCAACCAAACACCACCUUAAUUUAUUUGUAUGGAAUUCAAAUAGCUCAUGUCCCAAUGCCUUUGUCAUAAUGUCCGCCACUUGCCUUUUACUCAGCACAUAUUUAAGAAUUAUUUCUCUUUUCCCGAUUUUUCAGUGUAAAUAAAUUAAGCCAAUAUCUUGAGAAUCCAAGCGAUACAUACAGUAGAAUUUGAAAUGGUGCAAGACCUAAUCAAGUUUGAUAUAUACUAAGUUACAGAGGCCAUUGAUGACAUACGUAGGAAAUUAUCUGUAAUUGUUGCUUGACUCCCACGUAUGUGUGUAUAUAUAGUUCUUUUCAAGUGAGGGCAUCCUCAUUUUGUUAAAGUGAGGAUGCCCUCACUAGAAAAUUCCAGUAGUGAUAUCGUUGUUGGAUUUUUUAAUCUACUAUUGUUGGAUCCGUAAUCCAAUACUGGGUUUAUAUGUGAAAAUUUUAUAUAUUGCAGACUGUCAUAUAAGAUUAAGUACAAUUAAAAGUGAACUAUUUAGGUUUUCGGUAUUAUGGACUUUAAUGUGUCUAAUAGGGUGUGAGCUUUAAUGUGUAGAGAUUCAAUGAUAUUUUAAUUUUAUGAUGGACAUAAUUAGAAAUAUCCAGUGACAAUAAGAAAAUGUUGUCUAUAUAAGUGGUUAUGGUUCCCAAAUCACAAGUAUGUUUCUAUUCUAUAUUGACAUCUCAUCAUCAGAGAGAGAGAGAGCGCAGAGAGAAUUAAAGGACUUUCUAUUAUCUUUUUAAGUGAGGAUACGCUCACUAGAAAAUUACAAUAGUGAUAUCGCUAAAACAACUAUUUUAGAGUUUGAUUAUUUGAACAAGUAAUUUUAAUUCUGCUUGGCUAGAAUUAGAGUAGUAUGUUAUUAGUCUUUCUAUUUAUAUUUAGGUAGAAUUCUAUUUCUAUGUUUGAGUGUACAUUGCCUGGUAGAUUUACUCAAUUACAAAUCACGUGGUUACAUAAUAUGUUUGAAAACCUCUAAUUAACAAAAUUCUUAUUUUAUUUUCUUUCGUAAUAUGAUUUACCUAAGUCUCUCUUAUAAAAUCAUUUGCAUUAAAGCAUCAAUUAAUCUAAUUACUAUGAUGUAUUAUUUGUCUUGGACUUCUUAUUUUGGUCUAUCACUAUAUUACUUACCUUGGGCUGUCUCACCAUUUUCGCAUAAUAUUAUCUGCCUUGAGUCAUUCAUUUUUGUAUAGAGUGGUUAUAUUAUCUCAUCAGUUUUUAUAUUAAUUUCUAUUUUUCCGCUGUAUGAAAUUACUUGUUUUGGUGAAUUACUAUAUUAUUUCCCUUGGGCCGCCUCACCAUUUUGUUGCAUAAUCUGCCCUGGGUCAUUCAUUUUUGUAUAGAGUGGAGAUAUGAUCUCAUCAGCUUUUAUAUUAAUUUAUGUUUUGCCAUUGUAUGAAAUUAUGAAAAAUGGAUAUUGAAGAGUUUCUUGCCACAAAUUGAACCUGCAUCUCUGGUAAGCAUUACUCAUGCACUUUCGCGGAAAAGGCAGUAAGUGAAUGACCUAAACUCAUGGUUCAUUUCAUAUUAUGGAGUUUCUUAAUUUCUUCAGGAUUAUUUCGCCUGGAAUUCUCCAAAAAUCCACUGCUGAUAGGGUUGGUGCUUGCCACAUUGCCUUUGCGGCUGGUAGUGGCUUGUAUGCUUGUUGGAUUAGUCAGAAAAUUCAAUUGGCAUUGGUCACAAAUUUUUUUAUUCAAAUUUUUAUUCGAGCUGAGGGAUACAUAUAGUAGUAGACUUCAUAUACUAUGGGUGCGUUUUUGGGAUUGAGGUUGGGUAGCUGUGACUUUUAAGUUAGAGCACUAAAGUGUUUGGUAAACACUAGCUGUUGUACCUUUUAAGCUAUAUUAAUAUGAUUUUUUAUUUGUAUAAUGAAAAAUUUAUUAUAUCUUUAAUUAUUAUUUAAAAUUUAUAUUUACUAUAUAUUAUUAACUUUUGUUUGAUAGUUACUGUUUUUUUUUUAUAACUGUAGUUUUUAAGUUACAGCACCUCAAUUCCAAAUAGGACCUAUGUUGUCUUUCUCAUAUAUAUAAAAUAUAGUAAGAGAUAUAUAUUGCUUUCAUAUAAUUCUCAAUAUCAUAGGCGGUUAACCUGGACUCUUGGCCUAAAGACAAUAUGAGCAUGAAACCAUUUCGCGUGGGUGAUCAGUUAAGCCACCAAUGGGCUAUAAACAUAGCUUCAUUCAAGAGAGUUAAAGGUAUCCCAAGUUCUGAAAAUUGAGAGCAAGUACAAGUGAGCUUUUGCAGAGAAUUUUGAGAGUGUUUUCUUAACUAUUCUAGCGGGUAUUAUAUUGGGUGUAUUUAGGUUAUCGAGUUUUGAGAAUUAUGAAAUACAAGUAUGCAACCCAAGAGGGGGGGUGAAUUGGGAUUCUAAAAAAUUAUUCAAUUUAAAGAAAAACUUAAUGCAAAUACACUCCAAAUUCAAAGCAAUAAUAAUUAAGUUGAUCACAAUAUAAAAAGAUAAGGGAAGAGAAAUUCAAACACAGAGAUUUUUACGUGGUUCGGCCAACCUCGCCUACGUCCACGCCUCCAAGCUUUCCAGGCUUGAGGAUUCCACUAAGCAAGCCUCCAAGGCUUCAAAUGCUUACACUUGACUUCCAAGGUGUCAAUAAACCUUUACAACAAGAGAUUAUCCACAAUCUCUUAACCCAAGUGUAUCCCAACACUUACAAUCACUCAAAGUAAAAGAUUACAAAUUAUUUUUCUCUCACACAAUAUCUAAGAUAACAAAUCAAUGCCCAAUGUGUUAAUAGAUGAAAAGAGAGUGAGUUUAAAGCUCUAUGAAGAUUGUAUUCGCGGAUAUAAGCUCAGAGGUAGUGUUGUGAUCAACCUUCUUUGAAUUUAAAUGAGCUUAUUUAUAUCUGGAGCUGAAAAUCUAGCCGUUACAAACUGUCAGACAGAAAACGGUUCGCCGUUAACCCUAAACGGUUAACCGUUUCGGUUGGUCAAAGUUAUCGUUGGGCCAGAUUUUAAAUAAACGGUUUGCCGUUUGGGAUUACCCUUUCGCCGUUAACUUCCAGAGACUUGCAAGAUGAACAUUGGUUAUCCGUUUACACUAAACGGUUAAGGACUUGCGUGAAGUGGCUUAUCUGGAUAUUAUCGGUUAACCGUUUGUAAUAAACGGUAAGCCGUUUGACUCCAGUAACCUGCAAAACAAACUAGCCUUAUCAGGUUUUGUUAAUAAGUGCCAGAGGAGGACAACCUUCAAUUCUGGACGUUACCGGUUAACCGUUUAUAAUAAACAGUUCACCGUUAAGUUCCAGUUGCCUUUCCAUCCUUGGUGUUUUCCGUUUUUCAUAAACGGUUAGAGCUUAAGCAAUAUGUUGCUUUCUGGUGUUAAUCGGUUAACCGUUUUAAAUAAACGGUUCACCGUUAAGUUCCAGUAACCUUCCCAUCUUUUGUGUUUUUCGUUUUUCAUAAACGGUUCAAGGUUUAGAAAAUAUGUUGCUCUCUGGAUGUUAUCGGUUAACUGUUUAAAUAACCGGUUCACCGUUAAGUUCCAGUAGCCUUCCCAUCUUUUGUGUUUUCCGUUUUUCAUAAAUGGUUCAAGGUUUAGAAAAUAUGUUGCUCUCUGGAUGUUAUUGGUUAACCGUUUAAAGGAAACGAUUUACCGUUUAUUUCUAGAAUCGCACUUUAAAACAGAUUUUAUAGAGAAUCAUUUUUGAAUUCGAAGGACCCUUUUAUGAAACAAUAAAUGGAAUGAUUAUUAAGGCUUUCAUUUAUUAAGGAAUAGCUCCAACAUUUUUAUCAAAAAUCAUUUAAAGUUUGUUAUCAUCAAAAUCAAUAUUAUUAACAUAUUCAUGUUAACAAUCUCCCCCUUUUUGAUGAUGACAAAUUUUAUUCAAUAUUUAGCUCCCCCUUAAUAUGUGCUCCCCCUGAAUGUAUGUCCAGAUUAAGAAAUGUUCAAUAACAAGAUUUUUGCUCAAGAAAACCUUUUUAAAUUCAUUCUUAAUCUCCCCAAUUUAAAUACCAUAAAUCCGUUUUAAAUACCAUAAUUAUCUCCCCCUUCAUCAUAAAAAAGAAAAGAUAGAAUAGGGAAAAAAAAUUGCAAAUCCGUGAAAGAAGUUACCCGGUUUUGGCGAGCGAAAAAUUUGGCAGAGUUUCCCCUUAAAAAUGAACAAAACCACUAAUACAAAAUGAGAUUAAAACACUUCCAAAAUAGAUUAACACCAACUUCAACUUUCAACAAGCCAACAACUCCAUGAACAAAACAAAACAACACUCCAAUAUCCACAAACAUACCAACAUUACAAUAUCCACAAAUAAACCAAUACUUAUGCAUCAAAAUCCAAAAAACAUCUAAUCAUCAAGAACAUCACACACAUAUGCAUCAAAAUAAAAAAAAAUAUAAAUGCAAAACACCAAAAUAUGAAAUGUAUGUGCGAAAACAGAACUCAGAAACUACGGAGGCGGAGAAGAUGUGCUCCCCGGAUCAUAGCCGAAAUAGCCGAGAAGAAUGCGCUGUCCGGCGAUAAGCUCGAGCUGCUGGUCAAUGCUCUGCUGCUGGAAAGUCUGAAAGUUAGAGUGGAGCUGCUGGUGGUCACGGGAAAUGGUGUCCAACCGAUCAAGAAUCAGCUGCUGGCGCUCCGAGAACCGGCGAACAUCAGUAACCAACUGCUGCACAACGUCUGAAGCAGGGGGCGGAACUGGAGCUGGAGGUGGCAUAGAGGUCGAUGGCUGCUCGGGAACAGCAGAUGGCUCAGGAGCAGGAGGCGGCUCGGAAGAGGAGGGAAUGUCAGCAUCCAUCGCACGCUCCUCAGAGUCUGAGUCAGCUGGAGGCCGAGGGACAAAAUGGCGACGCGGAGGAUGAGGAUGAGCUCCUAAUCUAAAGUCAGGAAGCAGAUCGGGAGAAUAGACAUCAUUGAGCAUCCGAUCGUCCUCUGGAGCAAUCAAGGUAUCCCGGUUUUUGGAGUUGCUUGUCUUUAUCCACACUCCAUUCUUUCUAGAGAAACCGAUACUAGUCAUGGCCUCGGGACCAAUCCGUUGAGUCUCCAUAUGUCCAGUAUCAAGAAGUGGAACCUCAAAGCGUCGCAGUAUCUUAGUGAUAAUACUGCCAUAAGGAAGCAAGCGGUGAUUGACCGCGGGAGUACUCAACAUAUGUCGAACAAUAAUAUACCCGAGGUUAAUGAGACGGUCUGUAAGAAGGCUAUCUAAUAGGGCAACGUCCAACCUCGUAACCUCAUCAGAGUGACCCUUCCUAGGUGUCACUAUGUGCUAUAAAAUAGAGUGAAGAAUACGAACUUGGAGAGGUAAGAGUUGAGACCGAAACGGAAGCAAACAAAUCUCAUCCGAUAAGUCUCGACGACGACAUAUAUUACGGACGCCAUGAGUAUGAGAAAAACUGUCAAAGGAGAGGGCUUUCCUAGAGGUGUAAAUAUCAAGCCCCUCACAAGAGAUACCAAGAAGGUCAGCUAGGUCCGCAUCAUCAAACUCUAUUGGCACACGGCCGACUUGAGUAACUAUCCUAUUUAGGCGAGUGUCGGAGAUUUCCAUGUUCGAAUAAAAGACUCGCACUAAGUUUGGAUAAACUCGGUCAUCAAAAUCAAUGCCAGACUCCCAAGGCAGAAGCAUAUCCCGAAUACUUCUACCACAUACAACCAAAUGACGGAAAUCAUCAAGGUCAACAAAGAAGGAGUCAAGUACCUUUCGACCAUCGAAGCGUUCUUCGAACCGCUUGGCCAAGGAAGGAGUGGGGAAGUGAAUCCUUGCAAAUUCAGAGACUUCCCGAGGUGGUAUGGGAUUCCUUGGAGGCACAGAUUUACGCCUGGGGUUUCUCCGAGAGGGUUCAGCCAUGGAAAAUACAGGAGAUAAGAAAGAGAAUAGAUGAUUGGCUUAUGGAUGAAUAGGAGAUGUGAUUUGGGUGCUCAAUUUGGUUGAAGAAGGGGAAGAAUCGGAUUAAAAACGAAGAAAUCCGACCCGCGGCAGUUAGGGUUUUGAUUUUGGGAUUUUUGAAUGUUGGGCUUGAUUUGAAGUUUUGAAUCGGUAGAAUUGUUCUAAAGGGGAUAAGAAAAGAUUUUGAAGGUUUGAUUUGGCAAGGAAAGCAAGAAAAAUGAGGGUUUGAGGACAGAGAAACCUUCGGCUGCGCAACAAUGGUGGAAACGGUGAAAGGGUAACUGGAGAAAGAGAAGAAAACCUUUAAACAGUAUUUAUACUUCGCGAAAACGGUUAACCGUUUAUUUAAACGGUUAAAGGGUAACUUCCAGAGGCUGAAGAGAGGGAAACGGUGAAAGUCUAAGCGCUUAACAGCUAAGGAGUAACUGUUAGAGGACUCUCUAUUGACAAACGGUUCACCGAUUGUGGAAAACGGUGAAAGAGUAAACGAACAGACACAUAAUCUCGUUUCUGGAAUUAAACGGUGAUCCGUUUAUAGGAAACGGCUAACCGUUUAUUUUAUCUGUAAUUUCGCACAUUUGAUUUAAUUUUUGGCUGGCAAAUAAUAUAUUCCAAGAUCAUUUAAUUGAUUUGAAAAUAUUUAAUGAGCCAUUUUAAUGCAUGAUUCAUGAACAUAUUUUUCAACCAAUUAAUUCAUAUAAUCACAAGUUAUCAAGGCAAAUUCAUCAUUUGACGAUCAAGCUCAACCAUUUCAUAAAUAAUAGUCAAUCAAUUCAGUACACUCAAUAGCAUGAAUAGAGAUGUUAAUGCAAAAAUUUCAUCAUCCCAAGUUCAUGCCGAAUUUUUGAAAAUUGUUCUUCGCAAAGCGGUUUUGUGAAAAUAUCGGCAAGUUGUUUUUCCGUGGAAAUAAACUCUAAUGCAAUAUCUCCCUUUUGAACAUAAUCUCUCAAGAAAUGAUGUCUUAUUUCUAUAUGCUUGGUUCGAGAGUGUUGAAUGGGAUUUUUUGAAAGGUUUAUAGCACUAGUAUUAUCACACUUAAUAGGAAUUUGUUCAAGAUUAAUGCCAUAAUCUCUAAGUGUUUGUUUCAUCCAAAGUGCUUGUGCACAACAACUUCCGGCAACUAUUUAUUCAGCCUCAGUAGUUGAAAGUGCAACAGAAUUUUGUUUCUUGCUAAACCAUGAAACAAGAGAGUGUCCUAGAAUAUAGCAAGUUCCACUAGUGCUCUUCCUAUCCACUUUAUAACCGGCAAAGUCCGCAUCCGAAAAACAUGUUAAAUCUAUAUGAGUUCCCCUAGGAUACCAAAGGCCAAUAUCUAUGGUUCCACUUAAAUAACGGAAAAUUCUUUUAACAGCGAGCAAAUGAGAUUCCUUGGGACAUGACUGAAAUCUUGCACACAAACAUACACUAAACAUGAUAUCGGGUCUACUUGCAGUCAAAUAAAGUAGGGAUCUGAUCAUACCUCGAUAUAUUUUGAUAUCCACUUCUUUACAUUUUUCAUCUUUGUCCAGCUUGGUUGUUGUGCUCAUUGGUGUAUUCUUGGUCUUUGAAUCAUCAAUGCCGAAUCGUUUGAGUAGAUCCUUUACGUACUUGGCUUGAUUUAUGAAAAUUCCUUCCUCAUUUUGUUUGAUUUGAAGUCCAAGGAAGUAUUUCAACUCUCCCAUCAUACUCAUCUCAAAUUCCUUGCUCAUACAUGAUGAAAAUUCUUCACACAACAACUCAUUAGUAGAACCAAAAAUAAUAUCAUCAACAUAAAUUUGAACAAUAAGUAUGUCUUGGUUCUUAUGCUUAACAAAUAGAGUAGUAUCUGCUUUACCCAUAGAAAAAUCAUUUUCAAGCAAGAAAUUUUUAAGUCUAUCAUACCAUGCUCUAGGUGCUUGUUUUAAUCCAUACAAGGCUUUAAGCAACUUAUAAACAUGAUUUGGAAAUUUAUCAUUUUCAAAACCAGGAGGUUGUUUCACAUAAACUUCCUCCAAAAUAUAUCCAUUUAAGAAAGCACUCUUGACAUCCAUUUGAUAUAAAAUAAAAUCCUUAUGACAUGCAUAUGCUAACAACAUCCUAAUGGAUUCUAACCGGUGCAAAGGUUUCAUCAAAAUCAAUUCCUUCUUCUUGGUUGUAACCUUGAGCCACUAAUCUAGUUUUAUUUCUUACAACCACACCAGAUUCAUCCAUCUUAUUUCUAAACACCCAUUUAGUACCUAUUAUAGAUUGAUGUUCUGGUUUAGGAACUAAUUCCCACACAUUAUUUCUUUCAAAUUGAUUUAACUCCUCUUGCAUUGCCAAAAUCCAAGAUUCAUCAUUUUCAGCAUCCUCAAAAGAUUUUGGUUCAAUUUGAGAGAUGAAUGCAUUAUGCUCACAAGUAUUUCUAAGUGAUGAUCUAGUUGUAAUACCUCGUGAGGGAUCUCCUAAAAUUACAUCUUUAGGGUGAGAAGAGACAUACCUCCACUCCUUGGGGAGUGUUUGAGAAGUACCUUCAUUUUGCUCCACGUUUGGUUCUUCAUGAUGUUCCUCUUGAAUUCCAUGUGGUGCGUCUUCUUGAUUGUCAUUUGAUGCUUCUUCUUCUUGCUGUUCUUCUUCUGCAUUAUCAUCAACAACGACUUUCUCCGUAGAGGAGGGGUUAGACUCAUCAAAUGUGACAUGCAUAGAUUCUUCCAUAACUAAAGUUCUUUUAUUAUAGACUCUAUAAGCUUUGCUUGAGUUUGAAUAACCAAGAAAAAUACCAACAUCAGAUUUUGGAUCAAAUUUACCAAGAUUGUCUUUUGUGUUCAAAACAAAACAUUUGCAUCCAAAAACUUUAAAAUAGCCAAUGUUGGGUUUUCUAUCUUUCCAAAGCUCAUAUGGAGUUUUAUUAAGAUUAGGUCUAAUCAACACCCGAUUUAAAACAUAACAAGCGGUGUUGACGGCUUCGGCCCAAAAAUAUUUUGGUAAUGCAUUUUCAUUUAACAUGGUCUUAGCCAUUUCUUGAAUAAACCUAUUCUUUCUCUCAACAACUCCAUUUUGUUGUGGAGUUCUAGGUGAAGAAAAUUGAUGCUCAAUGCCUAGAUUAUUGCAAAAACUCUCAAAUGCAUGAUUUUCAAAUUCUCCUCCAUAAUCACUUCUAAUGUAUACAAUACCAUGCCGUUUUUCAUUUUGUAAUUUCUUACAAAGCACUUUAAAAGCAUCAAGAGCAUCAUCCUUAUUGGCUAAGAACAAUACCCAUGUAUAUCUAGAAUAAUCAUCCACUAUCACAAAUGCAUAAUAUUUGCCAUUUAGACUAGCAUAUCUAGAUGGCCCAGAAAGAUCUAUGUGAAGAAGUUCAAGUGGUUUUGAAGUGGAAAUAUGGUUUUUAUUCUUGAAAGAAGUUUUAAUUUGUUUUCCAAAUUGACAAGCUUCAUAAAUUUUAUCCUUUUGAAAACCAAUUUUCGGAAGACCUUUAACUAAAUCAUCUUUCGAAAUUUUUGAAAUCAAAUCCAUACUUGCAUGUCCUAACCUUCUAUGCCAUAACCAACAAUCAUCAUGCAAUGCCGAAAAACAUUUAUCAAGAGAAGAUGCACAUUCUAUGUCAAUGAUAUAAACAUUACCACAUCUAUUUCCAACAAAUAAGGUUUUGCCAUCACAUGAGUUCUCAAUAACACAACUAAAUUUAUCAAAGAUAACUUUGUAACCUUUGUCACAUAAUUGACUAAUGCUAAUUAAGUUGUGUUUCAAGUUCUCAACCAAACAUACAUUCUCAAUUAGAGUUGAAGAGACUUUACCAACAUUUCCAAUUCCAAGAAUUUUUCCUUUUAAGUUGUCUCCAAAAGAUACGUCUCCACCAUUUUCAAUUUUGGUGAAGCUUGAGAACCAUGCAUAGUUUCCGGUCAUGUGCCUUGAACAACCGCUGUCCAAGUACCAUUUAUUUUUCUUCUUCUUCAAGCCCUACAAGAAAAAGUCUCAAGUUUUAGGUACCCAAAGCUUUUUGGGUCCUUGAGAGUUAGUAACGGUUCCUUUUGGAACCCAAAUGUAUUUGACACCAUAAUAUGCAUUCCUUUUCACGGGACAUCUAUAUUUCAUGUGACCAUUUUGAUUACAAUAAUGACAUACAAUCUUAUGAUCAUUUGUGGAGGUAGCUUUAACAAAAUAAUUCUUAUAAUACUUUUGCUUCAAGUUAGGCUUAUAUCCAAGUCCUCUUUUAUCAAAAACACAUUUUUGUAAGUUAAGCAUAUUAUCCAACAUUUUUUGCCCAUUUGUAAAUUUCAAAACAAUUUCAUUCAAUUCAUUACUCUUUUUCUUGAGCAUUUCGUUCUCAUUUUUCAACUCAUCUAUGUGUGAUUCUAAAUGCUCAUGUAAGAUGCUAGGUUUCUCAUUUGAUAAUGCAAUUUCAUCAUGCAAUGUUUUGUUCCCUACUUCUAGGCAUGCAAUUCUAGCAUUUAGAGAUUCAUUUUCAUUUUUAAGCUUUGCCAUUUCCUUUUUAAGACAUACAUUCUUUUUACCAAUCUUCAUCAACUCAUUAUGUAAAUCUUUAAAAGCAUCAUACAAUUCAUCAUAGGUGGGAUCACUUACCUCAUUGAAAUCAUCAUCCCCUCAUAUUGCCAUGAGUGCUAGGUUUGAUACUUCUUGCAAUCCUUCUUCAUCACUUGAUUCUUCCUCACUAUCAUCCCAAGUUGCAACCAUUGCUUUCUUCUUGAGUUUGUUGAUAAGUGGGCACUCCGAUCUUAUAUGUCCAGGCUUUUUGCAUUCAUAGCAUGUGAUUGCCUCCUUCUUCUCCCUGUGGUUCUUGAAGUUUCUGAAAUUUCUUCGCUCUCCGGUUUUCUUGAAGAAUUUUCUGAACCUCCUUGCUAGCAUGGCUAGCUCUUCAUCAUCCGGUUCACUCUCCCCAUCACUCUCAUGUUUAGAAGCUUUGAGAGCAAUGCUUUUCUUCUUCUCUUCAAGUCCUUUUUCUGCAGCUAAAUCCUCUUCAUAUGAAAUAAGAGAACCAAUUAAAUCAUCAAGAGGUAAAGUAUUUAAAUCUUUGGCCUCUUCAAUGGCAGUUCUUUUAGGUCUCCAUUCUUUUGGAAGAGAUCUAAUGAUUUUCUUAACUUUCUCACUAUUUGAGAAGGUCUUCCCCAAGGCACCUAGAGUGUUUACUAUGUCCGUGAAUCUAGUAUACAUAUAAUACACAUUCUCAUUUUUUUCCAUUUGGAAUAGCUCAUAUUGACGAGUGUAUCUACUAAUUUUAGACUCUUUAACUUGAUUUGUCCCUUCAUAGACAACUUCAAGUUUAUUCCAUAUUUCUUGUGCACUUUCACAACUAGAUACUCUAUGGAAUUCUUUCUUAUCAAGGGCACAAAACAAAGCAUUCAUAGCCUUGGAGUUUAGAGACAUCUUUCUCUUUUCUAACUCACUCCAUUGACUCGAUGGUUUAGGAAUAUCAUCUCCUACUUCAUCUUUAAAUGUAGGCAUGAAUGGACCAUCACAAACAACUUCCCAAAUUUCAUAAUCUAAGGCUUGCAAAUAGAUUCUCAUUCUAGUUUUCCAAUAAGCAUAGUCAUUACCAUCGAAAAAUGGUGGUCUAGUGGUGGAUUGCCCUUCUCUAAAGGUUGAGUCAUUUAGGGUUGCCAUGGAUCUUUUACUCUUAGAUGAUUAAGUCCUAACAAGAGAACAAGGCUCUGAUACCAAUUGAAAUACAAUUAUGCAACCCAAGAGGGGGGGUGAAUUGGGAUUCUAAAAAAUUAUUCAAUUUAAAGAAAAACUUAAUGCAAAUACACUCCAAAUUCAAAGCAAUAAUAAUUAAGUUGAUCACAAUAUAAAAAGAUAAGGGAAGAGAAAUUCAAACACAGAGAUUUUUACGUGGUUCGGCCAACCUCGCCUACGUCCACGCCUCCAAGCUUUCCAGGCUUGAGGAUUCCACUAAGCAAGCCUCCAAGGCUUCAAAUGCUUACACUUGACUUCCAAGGUGUCAAUAAACCUUUACAACAAGAGAUUAUCCCCAAUCUCUUAACCCAAGUGUAUCCCAACACUUACAAUCACUCAAAGUAAAAGAUUACAAAUUGUUUUUCUCUCACACAAUAUCUAAGAUUACAAAUCAAUGCCCAAUGUGUUAAUAGAUGAAAAGAGAGUGAGUUUAAAGCUCUAUGAAGAUUGUAUUCGCGGAUAUAAGCUCAGAGGUAGUGUUGUGAUCAACCUUCUUUGAAUUUGAAUGAGCUUAUUUAUAUCUGGAGCUGAAAAUCUAGCCGUUACAAACUGUCGGACAGAAAACGGUUCGCCGUUAACCCUAAACGGUUAACCGUUUCGGUUGGUCAAAGUUACCGUUGGGCCAGAUUUUAAAUAAACGGUUUGCCGUUUGGGAUUACCCUUUCGCCGUUAACUUCCAGAGACCUGCAAGAUGAACAUUGGUUAUCCGUUUACACUAAACGGUUAAGGACUUGCGUGAAGUGGCUUAUCUGGAUAUUAUCGGUUAACCGUUUGUAAUAAACGGUAAGCCGUUUGACUCCAGUAACCUGCAAAACAAACUAGUCUUAUCAGGUUUUGUUAAUAAGUGCCAGAGGAGGACAACCUUCAAUUCUGGACGUUAUCGGUUAACCGUUUAUAAUAAACGGUUCACCGUUAAGUUCCAGUUGCCUUUCCAUCCUUGGUGUUUUCCAUUUUUCAUAAACGGUUAGAGCUUAAGCAAUAUGUUGCUUUCUGGUGUUAAUCGGUUAAUUGUUUUAAAUAAACGGUUCACCGUUAAGUUCCAGUAACCUUCCCAUCUUUUGUGUUUUCCGUUUUUCAUAAACGGUUCAAGGUUUAGAAAAUAUGUUGCUCUCUGGAUGUUAUCGGUUAACCGUUUAAAUAACCGGUUCACCGUUAAGUUCUAGUAGCCUUCCCAUCUUUUGUGUUUUUCGUUUUUCAUAAACGGUUCAAGGUUUAGAAAAUAUGUUGCUCUCUGGAUGUUAUCGGUUAACCGUUUAAAGGAAACGGUUUACCGUUUAUUUCCAGAAUCACACUUUAAAACAGAUUUUACAGAGAAUCAUUUUUGAAUUUGAAGGACCCUUUUAUGAAACAAUAAAUGGAAUGAUUAUUAAGGCUUUCAUUUAUUAAGGAAUAGCUCCAACAUUUUUAUCAAAAAUCAUUUAAAGUUUGUUAUCAUCAAAAUCAAUAUUAUUAACAUAUUCAUAUUAACAAAUUAUUCCCGUUCAAAGCCCAACCCCAAUUUCAUGAACCUAAAUAAUAAACCAAACAAAAGAGAAUAUUCUCUCAAUUUAUCUAGAAUUAUCUUGGGUAAUAAUAUCCUGAAUAAUUGGCGCUGUGGCAGUUUUAAAAAUUUGGUGAUUGUUAAGAAAUUAAUGACAAUAAGUUUAGGAUGUCGUUACUUGUUAGGACCUGCAUUUAAAAUCUUAAAUAUUCGUAAUUAAUUAUAAAGAUCUUGGUUCACAUGCAAGCUACAACAAUUAGCCAACAAAUAUAUGGUCUUUUUGACAAAACUAUGCAAAAAGAAAGAGAAUAUAAUCAAUGAAACUGAUUUGGACAAUACCACACGAUUUUAUUUUUAUUGACAAACCAACCUAAAUAACAUAUUAACGUAAAUAACGCAUCCACAUAUAAUUGUUUUAUUUAAUUAUUAAGAAAGAUGAAGUACAUGGACAUUGGAAACUAAAAAAUAUAAUCUCUUAUAUAUCAAGAGAUUUUAGAGAUUAAACUGAACCAAACUAGCACUCGCAUGAUUAGUUGACAGAUAAUAACAAUACCCAUCCUUUUAUUAACUAUAAUAUAAAAAAGUAAUACUUUAGGUAUGUAUGUAUUUAUUAACCAGUGUGGUCGGGAUUUCUUCUAUAUUGAGAGACAACAAUAAGAUUAAGAUUGUCAAAUGUCACUUCCAUAUCAUCAGCAAUACCAUAUACAGGUACUGGAGUACUCUCUGACCGCUCACUCUUACAUGAAAGUUUAAUAUUAGAAAAUGAAUUCAUAAAUGCAUAUAUUAAAAUAUGAAUUGUAAAUGAUAUCUAUUCAGCUGAAAUUGGCUUGAAACCUGCGCAAGGAGGAGUUUCUAUGUUCUUAUCUCUGCUUUGACUGAUACAUAUAGAUUCAAGAAGCCGACGUUGCCAACGUGUGGGCAAUUGUGACCUAGCAAAACAUCUAAUAGUUAGUUAAAUUCCACCUGCGACACGUGGGAGCAUGGGUCCACAAAACAAAUAAUUGGAACUAAUUAGAACAGAAAUCGAUUCGGUAACCCGCCGCCGCAUGCACUUUCUAAAAGUUUUAAAUUUAUGAAUUGAAACUACCGACGCCUUUUUAUGUUUGGUUAAUUAUACAUAUAGUUCGAGCUGAGGGAUACAUACAGUAGUAGAGUCUUUAAAAUGGUACAAUACCUAAUCAACGUUGAUAUAUACUAAGUUACAGGGGCCAUCGAUGACAUACGUAGAUAAUUUUCUGUAAUUGUUGCUUGAUUCCCAUAUAUAUAUAUAUAGUUCUUUUCUAAAGGAUGUUAUUAAAUUAUAAAAAACGCAUAUUUCAAUACACUAAAAAUUAUAUAUUUUUUUAUUUAUUAGUAUAUUGAAAUUUAUGUUUUUAUUUUUUACUGACAUCCCUAACAUCCUCACUUUUACCCUCAUUAGAGAAUUACAAUAGUGGUAUAUCUAGGACAGCUAUUUGAGAGUUUGAUUAUUUGAGCAAGUAAUUUUAAUUUUUGUUGACUGGAUUUAGAGUAGUAUGUUAUUAGAGUCUUUCCAUUUGUAUUUUAGGUAGAAUUUUACUUCUAUGUUUGAGUGUACAUUGUCUAGUAUAUUUACUCGGUUAUAAAUUGGGUGGUUAUGUAAUAUGUUUGAAAAUCUUUAAUUAAUAAAAUUUUUAUUUUAUUUUUUUCAUGAAAUUAUUUAUCUAAAUCUCUCUUAUAAAAUCGUUUACAUUAGAGCAUUAAUUAAUCUUAUAACUUUGAUGUAUUAUUUGCCUUGGACUUUUAUUUUGGUCUAUCACUAUAUUAUUUACCUUUGGCUGUCUCACCAUUUUCGUGUAAUAUUAUCUGCAUUGAGUCAUAUUUUUGUAUAGAGUGGUGAUAUUUAUCUCAUCAGUUUUUAUAUUAAUUUCUAUUUUGCCGUUGUAUUAAAUUAUUUGCUUUGGUGAAUUGCUAUAUUGUUUGCCUUGGGCCGUCUCACCAUUUUGGUGUGUAAUCUGCCUUGGGUCAUUCAUUUUUGUAUAGAGUGGUGAUGUGAUCUCAUCAGCUUUUAUAUUAAUUUCUGUUUUGCCAUGGUAUGAAAUUAUUAAAAAGGAUAUUGAAGAGUUUCUUGCCACAAAUCGAACCUGCAUCUCUGUUAAGCAUUACUCUUGCAUUUCCACGGAAAAGGCAGUAAGUCAAUGGCCUAAAUUCAUGGUUCAUUUCAUAUUAUGAAGUUUCUUUCUUCAGGAUGAUUUCGUCUGGAAUUCUCCUAAUUUGCUUCCAAAAAUCCACUUGCCACAUAGCCUUUGCAGCUGGUAGUGGCUUGUAUGCUUGUUGGAUUAGUCAGAAAAAUCAAUUGGCAUUGGUCACAAUUUUUUUAUUCGAGCUGAGGGAUACAUACAGUAGUAGACGUCGUGUACUAUGUAUGUUCUCUUUCUCAUAUAUAUAAAUAUAGUAAGAGAUAUAUAUGGCUUUUAUUUAAUUCUCAAUAUCAUAGGCGGUAAACAUGGACUCUUGGCUUAAAGACAAUAUGAACAUGAAACCAUUUCACGUGGGUGAUCAAUUAUAUAACUUUCAUCCUUCUUACGGAAGUCAGAAGAGGUGUGUACCUACCACAUCAACCGUGUCAAGCGAAGAUAUUGGACAUUUAAUAAUGAAAAAAUUAGGAAUUUUCAUGGACACACCAGUAGGUUCCGUAAAUAUAUAGAAUCAAUUGAUUCUAGGUACCUUACAAUGUGACUUUUUUUUUUUUUUGUCCCUGAAGAUCCGGACUAUUUUUGAGGAUACUGGCCGUUGAGGCUUUGUUUGUAAUUGUGCAAGAAAAUGGAAAAGAAUGGGCUAAAGCGCAAAAAGUAAAGCUAACAGUUGUUUAAUUUAAUUUUUUAAGAUUGUUUUGAUGUGGAAUUUGAUUUGGGAACUUUUUUGUAAUUACAAGAAACAGCCACACAGGGUGACAAUUAUGGCAUUCUUUCGUCAAUUGGAUAUUAAUAGUACAAUGAGGAUGGCUAAAUGCAUAAUCACCCUAUUAAUCUUGCAGUCCAAAGCAAAAGCAAAAUAGCAUUACAAACAGUAGAACUCUCAGAUUGAUUCACUGUAUCUAAACGAUAGGUCAUCUCAUUACUAAACUAUCUGACGUAACUGAUUCAGAAAUUUAAUUUAGAGAGGGCUUGGUACAAAUAAAAUAAUUCACGAGGCGCGUUCGAUGGUGCAAGUGAUCGGCGGCAACAACAAGCAAGUAAGGUAAUGAUGAUGUAUAUGUUGGAAAUAUGAAUUCAUAUUGUUUAUUAAAAGUUCAAAACAUGAAUAAUAGUUGUUGCUACUGUUCACUUCACUGUUUAUUAAUACUAUUAAUCAUACUGUUCACUUAGCAACAAUUGUAAAUUUGUCAAGGCGUGUUCGAACUGUCCUUAAAACAAAUUUCAGCUCUUCUAGAAAGAUUUCUCGAUGCAAAAAGGAUAUAAAUAAAAUGGAUUGAGCUCCAUGAUACAAUGAUAUUGUUGCCAGGUUGCACUCCAAGUACAAUAGUUUAGAAAAGAAAAAUUAAUGAAGAAACUAUGAGAUAGAAGGAGAGGAUAUAGUGGCUGUGCCUUGAAGACUUUGUAUUUUAAAAUACCAAUAAAACUCGAAGAAUAAACUUAAAUAAUUUGGAUCAAGAUUGCACUUUAAGAUGAAACACUAAUUAGUGGCCUUUAUGUAUAACUUAAUAAUUUGAUAAAUAACUUCGCACUAGCAAAGCCAAGAGUUUCAUUUAAACCCCUAAGAUUCAAAUAUUCUUUCCCCCUUUACUACUGGCAAAAUUUGGCAAUCGAUAUUUCGGAAGACAUCACACAUGUCAAAAAAAAAAAAAAAUAGCUAGUCCCAUCAAAAUCACCAAAUGCAAUCCAAUAACAUGCUCCACUUAAGUAUAGACUUUCAUGAGAAUCGACGGAAAAAAUAAAUAAUAAUAACUUCAUUUAGUUAAGCAAAUAACAAUUUGUGAUUGUUCGUUAAUCUUAUUAAUAAUCUAAUUCUUAGUUUCUUACUAUUGUUCUUUUACUUGAUUAUAUUGUCGAAUCUUUCUGAAAAAGAUUGUUUUUGUAAUUGACAUGUUUAAAGUUUAAACAAAAAAAAAAAAGAACUAAAUCCAAAUCAAAUAUAAAUACAAAUCCAGGUUCUAAAAAAAUCAAGUACAAAUACAAAAUCUAAAUUCUAAAACUUAAAGUUUCAAAGCGAACAUCAAGGAAUCAACAUCCCACGAAGCAACACGAACGGCGAAGGCGAGCUAGUUCAACCUGUAUCGGGGCUGGUUACUGGUCGCGAUAGCAGCUAGUGAUGAUGAACAUUGAACACAGCCACGAUCACGAUUAGCGAAGGUGGCGUUCAACUCGUAUCACAACUUGUUACUGGUUGUGACAGAGAAGAAGAAAUGAUGGCUGAUGAUGAUGAUGAGAUUAACACAACCGCAAAGAUAGUGAAGCGAUGACGACGAUGAUUUAAUUUGAUGAAGAAAAGACCUGAAAAGAGACAGACAGGAAAUGUUUGGCCUUGGCAGCCGCAGCUAUGAAUGCAAGUAGGGCACUUGGGCUUUUUUUGUAUUUUUCUAAUUGUAUUAUAUAAUCUAAAAAAAUUAAUAUUAAAAUAAAAGCUUCCGGGUCUAGAUUCUGUAUCUAUGGGUUAACAUAAACCCAGACCCGGACCUGGAUACGUCUGGGUUCAUUAAAUUGCAUCCGAAUUCCAUAUAAAAUUUGCUCCAGUAUGGGUUGAAGCCAGCCUAUUCUCUGGGUUCAUCUAGGUUUGGGCGGGGAUCGGAUUAAAUUGGCAUCGCUUUUAUGUCCAAAUUAUCAAUAAGAUCCUUUGGUGUUAGUAAAUUCCUUUAUCACGUAAAUGGUUUCAAUUUUGAACAUAUUAGUCCUAUUCCAAUUUUCAACCGUUCCCAAUUUUAUAACUCCAUUUAUUAAUAACAUUGUCUUAAAAGUUCAUCAUUGCACGGCACUAGAAUGAUUAUAAGGUUUAAUAUUUUUGAAUUAUGAAGCUCGUUCUCAGUAAGACAAGGCUAUUUGCACUCUAAAACUUAGUCUAAACAAUCUGUCACCUUGGAUACUCAUGUACUAAAUUUAAAAAGAUUAAGUUUUAUUUUCUUCACACUUUAAAAUACCUAAAAAGACCUUAUUGAAACUCGCUAAAUUAAUUUACUCAAAACACCAAUCAAACUAUUUAGCACAUCCAAAAUGAAUUAGUAAUAAUUUAGAAUACACUGCAAUGGAAUCAAAGUAUGUUCUAAAGAAAUUUUUUUAACAUAAGUUUUAUUUAUUAGCUUUUGUUUAUUAAAGAAUAUGUUCAGCAUUGGUUUUUAAACCCCAAACUUUUAACCCAACAAUUGGAAAAAAUGGUUAUUUGGCCCAAAAAGGGAAAAAAAGAAAGAAAGAAAGAAAGAAAGAAAGCAAGAAAGAAGAAAAGAACACAAAGAAGAAGGAGAAGACUGCAAAAAAUAUUUUUAAAAAACUAAAAAGCAUAAAUAUGUUCAAAAUAUAUUAAAAGUAUUCAUUUGCUCCUAGCUCCUAGUUUAACUAAAUAUUGUUUAAGAGAUUGGAAAUAAAAUUUCUAGGGCUUAUGCCAAAAGAAUUAUAUAUUCAAUAACAAGUGUGCUAUAUGAGUAUUUAGAGUAAUUAUAUAAUGUUAAUUUAUAAGAAAGAGUCCUUAUUAGUAAUUCAUAUGAUGUGUAUUUUUGUAAUAGAAUAAUUUAUUAAAAUAAAAAUGUGCAGAAUAUUUUUUGUAUUGUAAAUAUGUAAAUAUUCUCACCCUUCUCAAUAUAUUGACUUGAGUGAUAAUUUUAAAUUGCAUCAGAAUGAGCUAAAAGAAGAGGAAUUGUCGAAAUUCAGCUUAUGGCAAUUGAACAAUUAAUGGUUAAGAAAUACAGUAAAUCAAUAAUACUAAAACAUAAACAUAAUAAUUAAAGACUACCAUUAAAAUCUUUUUAGGAAUUUAUCUUGCAAACCAUCUAUUAGACGUCAAAAAUAUAAUUAGCCACCAAAAAUUUAAGAUAAUAGCUCUGCACUGUUGAGUGUUAGAAAAUGUAUAUUUAUAAAGGAGAAAAUCGUCAUUUUACACUUCCAAGUUUUACUAACACUUAUACUUUUAUGUAUUUUAGUCUCUUGUAAUUUAAUUAUGUGUAUUUGAUUUUAAUUAUGUAUUUUAUGCAUUUUAGGAGUUUCAUGGUCAUUUCACAAUGAACGAGAGCGGCAAAACGACAAAACGGACAUCACUUUUGAUGAAACUUAUUUUAAGCAGAUAGUGGGAAGUCUCAUGUACCUCACCACCACUAGACUUGAUAUGAUGUUCAUUGUGAGUUUAAUUAGUCGUUACAUGUCUAAGCCUAUAGAGCUACAUCUGCAAGUACCUGAAAUAGCUCUUAGGUACUUGAAUGGCACAAUAAACUAUGAGAUACUUUACAAGAAGGGUGGAGCUGAAGAGCUUCUUGCAUUCACUGACAGUGAUUACGUCAGGGAUGUCGAGGAUAGGAGAAGCACCUCAGGAUAUGUUUUUUUAAUGAAUUCUGGAGUUGUGUCCUGAUUGUCAAGGAAGCAACCACUAGUCACUUUUAGAGAUGGCCAACAGGCCGUGCCGUGCCGGCCCAGACCCAUCCAAGGAAGCCCACACGUGCUGGUGCUCGUGUUGUGCCUAAUUUUUGUUGCUUAGGCCUGGCUCAGCACCACUGAUACCGUGCCCACACGUGUCGUGCCGUGCCGUGCCCAGGAAAAAAAGCCCACUAAGUUUUUUUCAUUUUUUAUUUUUUUAAAAGCGUAUGCCAAGUUGUUGUCUUAUUUUUUUUAAGCCUAUGUACUUUUUUGGAUCCAUGUGCCUUUAUUCAAAUUUAAUAGAAUCAAAAAUUCAAAACUCAAGUCUAUAUUCAAUAAUAAUAAAUUAAUAAUAAUAAGAGAAUGUAAUAUUAGUUACUAAAUUUGACGUUGUGGUAUUAGAAUUCUUUUUUAGUACCUAACAACAACAAUAAUAAUUUUUUUAAGGGUUAACUUAAUUGUUAAUUUAGAAUUAUGUACAAUCAUAUAUCAUAGUUUAUAAUAAUAUUAAUACAUAUUUAUAAAAUCAUGAUAUCAAUUAUUUAAUUAAUAAAUUAUAAACAUAAAUCAAUUAUAAUUUUUUUGAAACUAAGAAUUAAAUAAAUUUAAAAAACUUGAGCUAAUAAAAUAUAUUAAAAGAUUCAAUUUCAAGUUAUUUAUAAAAUCAUAAAAUUUUAAGUUUACUUUCAUUAAAAAAUGAAACGUACUUAUUGCGUGCUUUUUCGCGUACCGUGUUUUUAAGGCCCAUGUGCUUAAAAUUCUAAGCCCGGCCCAACCCACGUGCGUGCUGUGCCAUAUCGUGUGCUCUACGGAAACGUGCUCAUGCCAUACCAUAUUGUACGGACACGUACCGUGCCUCGUGCCAUCCAGCCCAUUAGCCACGUCUAGUCACAUUAUCAAUCACUGAGGCUGAAUUUGCGGCAGCUGUAGCCUAUGCUUGUCAGGCUGUUUGGAUGAGAAGAAUACUACAGUAGGAUUAUUUGCUGGAAUAAAUCCCUAACUUUUAGGGUGUUAGUUGCAUUGUUUGACAUUUUCUUUGUUACUUGUACCACAAUGCUUUAGUUGUGCAUUAGUGGGCUAUUAUUUCUCUUUUUCUGUUACUUUGUAAAGCUAUUUAAGCCAAGUUCAUCUAUUCAAUAAAGUAAGCAAUUUUCAAAUUGUUUAGAGUUCUUGAUUUGCAAUUUCUUCUGCGAUCAUUAAUUUCCUACGCCAGCAACUAGCUGUUAUUUGGCAGUUUUAGUUAUGGGUUUGGAAGAUAUAGCUUUUGGAACUAAUUUUUUUAAAAUUGAUUUUGGAACGUCAGUUUUGUUUACGUUUCACGACUCACACGUGUUGUGGAGGUAAAGUUAAAUUAAAUUUUGUAUUUUUCUUUUGUUGAAUUGAAAUUGUUAAUUUUAAUUUUCUAAUCAACAAAUGAUUUUAAUUUUUUUUGGAAUUACCAUUGUUAAUUAUAGAAAUGUUUAUUCAUGAUGAAAAUUUUCAUCUCAGACUCAUUAUGGUAUAAUUGUACUGGUCUCUACACCCAAUCUAUGUUAGGUAAUAGUCGUUUUUUGUACUCUCAUUAAUGAGAUAAUUUGACAACACUAAUGAUUUGAAUAAUACAUAAAGUGUCGCAUCAUUUGAGAUAAUUUUUAACCAUAUAUAUUGUUAUUCUAUAAAAAAAAAAGUGUUGGAAAAAUAGGAUAAUGAGUUGCUAUUUAAAAACAUAAUUUUGAGUGGUAUACACUUAGUGUGAGUAGAAAGUCAAUAAUAAUUCGAAAUCUCCUCCAUGAGUACUCCAAAAUGAUGUAUUUGUAUACUGAAUAUGAUGUUGGUUAAAUAGGAAAUUGAUCCUCAAAAUAAAGCAAGAGUUACAGAGAUUGUAAUGGCUAGUUAAAUUCAAAAUUAACUAUGCAAUCCAUUCCAAGAAUUUAUUAUUUGUAACUGCUAAUUAAAUGUAGAAUUUAUUAUGAGAUUAUAAUGGUCAAUUAAAUUUAGAUUUUGAUAUAAAAUUAAAUCCAAAAUUUAAUAUAUGAUUAAUGAGGCAGCGAUUACAUUUUGAAUUUAAUUUAAAGAUUUAAUAAGCAGCGCUUUUAAUGGAUAUUAAAACCAACGGUUAAAAGUGUGUUUAAUAAGAUAUUAAAUUGCAUCUGAAGAAAACUUAAAGCAAUCAAAUUUGUCACCAAAAUGCCGUGAUAUAAUUCUAUAAAUUGGCAUAUUCUUCUACCGCAUUUGUAGAGACACGAGAUAGUGUAAGUGGUGGAAAAUAAUGAGAAUACAAGUGAAGAUAGAUUGAAGAGUAGGAAUAGAUGAUCUGCAAUUCAUUCUUUGUCAUAUAUCCAUUUUGAUAGAGUUUUAAACACAAUUGAAAUUCGCUGCGAAAUAACCUAUUGCCGCACCAAAGCUAUCCAUCACCAUUGUAUCCUGAAAACAGAUGCCAUUCGAAUCCUAAGACACCCAAAGUAGGAAGCAAAGCUUUUUAAACAAACUAUGCUAUCACAUAAGCCUCCAUUUGCAUUCUAUUCUUUGGUUUUACUUUAUGUUAUUAUUUCAUUGUAGUAAUUAUUAUUUCUGCACUUAUUAUUCUAUAAAGUCACAAUUUAUGAUUUGUAAUUUUAGAAUCUGUUCAUCCUAUAUCAGUUGUAUAUAAUGUGUUUUUCUCUUGCAAAAAUUUGAUGAAAUCUUAAUCCAUUUUGAUUUCUAAAAAGGGGAGAAAAAAAAUAAAAUAGAUUAGUAAUGCGUCAGCUUUCCAACGGCUCAUUUGUGACUUUUUUUAUUUUUAGUCUUUUAAUCACUAACCCUCUCAUGAACACUAGAUAGCUAUCAUGUUCAUGCAAUACAAGUCACUUUCAAGAAGCCUUGCUAUUGAAAUGGUAGACAUGCAACACUCAAAAUCUCAUGCUCAAGAGCAUGGCGGUUCGAGUCCUCUUCAAGGCAUAAUAUUGAGAAUGCUCGUUGAAUGAGCAAUUCAAUAAGAGAUCUCGGAUUGAACUAAUAUAUUGAUUCAAAUUUGAGUGACUAAUUAAAUAAAACUGCUUGAAAACUACACCUGCAUAAGUCCACGUGGGUUCUCAAGUUCUAUGUUAACUAUUAUUCUUCUCGGCAAGUAUCAAUUCUUCUAUUGCAGAUGCCAUUGUUGCAGAAUAGAAGUCAGUUGAAGCUCUUAAUAUUAUGAUUGAAGUUUAUGCAAGUGCAGAUUGCAGACAGCAGAUAUCGACUUGAAGCCUCAUGUAUGGAAAUAAAGAUUGGUUUUCAACCAAAUAUGACGACUGGGACAAUGUCGGGUGGUUAAGGAAGAUGCAAUGGUCGUCUCAAAAAAUUGGGUUUCAUUGGCCAGAUAGGACUGCGAUGUCAACUUUUUUUUUUCUUUAAUAUGAUUAAGAAUGAAAGAGUAAUUUUGACACAUUGACUUGGGCUUGUGAUUGUUAAUAAAUUUAUUACUUCUUUUCAUUAAUUUGACCUGCAUAACAAUUAAUUGAGUGAUUUUUAUUUUUCAAGAUACUUGCUACCCUCCCGAGUUCGAAUCUUCGGUUGAAAAUUUUGAUUUAAACUUAGUCUUCAUCUCUCAUUUAUAAAUAAUAAAUUAAUUAAUUAAUACAUAAAUAAAUAAAACCUACGUGAAUGUAGAAAUGAAUCAGAUGAAAAGUAAAUAUUGUAUAAAUACCCGCAUAAUGUGGUUCAGCUGCUUUGAAUAUUAUGCCAAGAAUAUGCAAAUCUGUUGGUUAGUGUUGACUUUGAACUACCUGAAGUACACAAGGGACUUUAACAUAGACUUAAUAACCAGAGGAAUUUCUGGCAAUUUAAGAAAAAAAGGGAACUAAGAUUCAUUUGAUUAUUCUUCCUCCCUGAACCUUAACAAAGAAAUUAAUUACAAAAAUAGUUUUUUGAAGUCUUUAAAAGUAAACCUUUCAGGAUCUCUUCAGAGAGCCGAAGAAAUGAAACAUGAGAAAACUUUGAAGUGCAAAGUAAUUUGGAGCUUACACAUCUUGAAACUCUUAAUCGGUGAAGCAACUGUGAUGUAACCUAACAGAAUGAUUAGAAUUUUCUGACUAUAUAUGUUAACCCAUCCAUCAUAUUAUCUAUAUGUGUAUUCAGCACAAACCUUUUAAUCUUGUAAAAACUCAAAAUGGAGAACUGUUUUUCGUUCAAUACUUGCAGCCUUUAGAAGCUCAUCAUGUCCUUCACAAGUCCCAUUGUCCAGUGUCGCAAGAGUUUGUUAAAAUCAUGAAUCAGUAUUGUGAAUUGGGUUAGUUAUAUUCUAUUAAGUUCGUUGCUAUUUCUCAAAAAAAAAAAAAAAAGAAAGUUCGUUGCUGAGGUGGGUUGAUGAGCUGGCGUUUGUGGGACCCUUAGUGGUUAAGUUGUUACAACAGUCCUACAAGUUUUUGGAAUUAAAUAUAAAAGAAAGCAAUGCUGGCCGGUGCAGCACCUAACGAAAAGAUCUUGACUAGCUUUGAGAUAGAUUUUGUUAAUUCUUCAUUGAAGGGAUUUAUUCUCUGUGAUCUCAAGAAUUGUAGUAAUCAAUAUCUUAAUAAAAGCUUAUUAUCAGCCAUGGAUAUAGGUACUAUGGUACCAAACCACGUAAUAUUACAAUGUUCUUUUUCUCUGCUUUUUUAGUUUCUUUGUCAUCUUUGUUCUUUGUUCUUUGAUCUAGUGUCAUUAAUUCUUUGCGCCAUUAAUUGGACUGGUUAAUUGGCUAGUCUGAUUAAGAGCUGAAAGAGAAGAAAAGGCCUUGAUUCAUAACAAAUUGGUGUCAGAGCCUUGGAGCUCUUUGCUCUUGAUCUUCAAAUGGCAAAGUAUCAGAUUUGAUCUCAAAAAAUUCAAUGGUGAAAAUAAUUUCUACUUGUGGAGUCUCACAAUGCGUGCAAUUCUAUUUCAAGAAGGGCUUGAUAGUGCUCUUGAUGAUGAUGAAUAUCCAAAGGAUAAGAAAGAGAAUGAAGAAGGUUCAUCAAGUUCCGGAGGAGACAUGGGGUCCAUUAACAAUAAGGCUCACAACAACAUCAUCUUACAUCUUUCAAGUGAAGUCCUGAGAGAAGUGGGAAAAGAAGAGACUGCUUCUGGUCUAUGAGCAAAACUUGAAGAGCUAUUCUUGAAGAAAUCUUUGGCCAAGAGCCUCUGUAUGAAGAUGAAGAUGUACACAUUUUCAAUAAAGGAGGGGACAACUAUGAAAGAUCAUUUGGAUGAGUUCAACAAGCUGAUAUUGGAUCUUAAGAAUGUUAACAUUGUUCUUGAAAAUGAGGAUAAAAUUCUUAUCUUGCUAAGCUCACUUCUAGAUUCAUAUAAGCAUUUUAUGGGUACUUUGCUGUAUGGAAGACAAUCACUCACUUUGAAGAAUGUGAAAAAUGCAUUGGAAUCUAAAGAUUUAAAGAAAAGAACAGAAAUAAGGGAUUAAAAUCUUAGAGAGGGCCAUAGUUGUCAGAUUCAGAUUAGAGAAGAAAGCCAAUAAAGAGAAAAAGAAUAAUAAUCAGAGGGAUAAAGUUGAUAACAAGAAGAAAAAAAAUGCUACUUAUAUCAUAAAGAAAGACAUUAUAUUAAGGAUUGCUUUGAGAAGAAAAAGCUUAAGAGGCUGUAAAAGGAACCAAAUGGGAAGGCUGCCAUUGUAUUUGAAGAUGAGGGAGAUUCAGAAGGAGCAGAUGUCCUUAUUACACUGAAAAAUAACUUACUGGUGAGUGGAUACUGGACAAUGUAUGUUUUUUUUUUUCAUAUGUGCCUAAAUAGAGAUUUGUUCAAGACCUUUGAAAGCAUUGAUGGGGGCAAAGUCUUGCUUGGAAACAAUCUUUCUUGUAAGGUUGCUGGAAUUAGAACCAUUAGUAUCAAGAUGUUUGAUGGGGUAACUAAGGAUCUAAAACCAGUGAGAUUGAAAACUUUUCUAUAUUUCUCUAUAUCGUAAAAGGUAACACAAAUUCCUCUUAUAGAAGAGAAUACAUAAAAUUGGGAAACUGACAAUAAAUUAGCUAUCUAGUUGUACUAACUAUUUCAUAAUUUACACCAUUGACCUAUUCUUAUUUACAGCUAACAAUCCUCUCUAACUACAAAUAUUUCUUUCCUUUUCUACACUCCCCCUCAAGCUGGUUUGAAGCUAUCCUCCAUAGCCAGCUUGCCAAUUAGCUCGUUGAAUUUCCGAGUAGGAAGCCCCUUAGUAAGUACAUCUGCAACUUGCUGAGUAGUGGGAAUGUAAGGCAUACAUAUUAACCAUUUCUCAAGUUUUUCCUUGAUGAAAUGACAUCUUUAUUGUCACAAUACACUUUCAUAGGUAGUGAAUUAGAAACUUUCAAUUCUUCUAAGAGUCUUUUAAUCCACAACACCUCACAAAUCCCGAAAGCAGUUGAUCUAAACUCAGCUUCUAUGCUGCUUCUUGCCACCACAUUCUGUUUCUUACUUCGCCAUGUAAAAAGAUUGCCACCAAUAAACGUGCAAUAGCCAGAAGUUGAUCGUUUAUCAACAACACUUCCAAUCCAAUCCGCAUCAAUAUAGACUUCAACUUGCAAGUGCCUACGAUUAUUUAAUAACAAACCGCAUCCAGAAGUCCCCUUCAAAUACCUGAGAAUUCUAUAGACUGCAUUGAAGUGUUCUUGUCUAGGGGAAUGCAUAAACUGGCUAACCAUGCUCACUACAAACGCUAUAUCUAGACGAGUAUGCGAUAAGUAAAUCAGUAUUCCAACAAGUCUUUGGUAUUGUUCUAUGUCCAAGACUUCUUCAGGUUUAAGAGGCUAUAAUUUAAGGUUGAGCUCAAUAAGUGUUUCUGCUGGUUUACACUCUAGCAAGCCCAUUUCAUUAAGCAAAUCAAGGACAUAUUUACGUUGAUUCACAAAUAUACCUUCUUUGGAUCUAGCAAACUCCAUUCUGAGAAAGUAUUUCAAUGUCCCUAAAUCCUUGAUCUCAAAGUCAGCUGCAAGUCUCUUCUUCAAUUUUUCUAGUUCUUCACUGUUAUGAUAUGUCAUGACUAUAUCAUCCAUAUAAACAAUUAGUAUAGCAACUCUACCUUCUCUACCAUGUUUAUAGAACAUAGUAUGAUCAGCUAGGCUUUGACAAUACCCACAAUUCUUUACAUAUUUCCCAAAUCUCUCAAACCAAGCUCUAGGGGACGCUUGAGGCCAUACAACAACGUUUUUAGUCUAUAGACUUUCAUUGAUCCCAAAUUCUUCUCAAAACUAGGUGGUAGACUUAUAACAAUCUCUUCCUUAAGAUCACCAUUCAAAAAGACAUUUUUUUUACAUCCAAUUGGUGUAGUGGCUAGUUCAGAUUUACAGCCAAAGAUAAUAGAAUUCUAAUUGAGUUUAUCUUGGCUACCGGAGCAAAGGUCUCCUGACAAUCAAUCUCAUAGGUUUGAGUGAAUCCCUUAGCUACUAAUCUUGCCUUAUACAUUUCUAUGCUACUAUUCGCUUUACACUUGACAGUAAAGACCUAUUUGCAAGCUACAGUCUUCUUCUCUUUAGGCAAAUCGACUAAUCUCUCAAGUACCAUUUCUCCUAAGAACAUUCAUCUCUUUUAUCACUGCCAAUUUCCAAUUUGGAUUACCAAGAGCUUCCUGAAUGUUUCUUGGGAUAAAAAAGUGUGAGAUUUUUUAGGUAAAUGCCCUAUCAGUAUGAGAAAGUUUGUCAUAAGAAAGAUAUUGAGCAAUGGGAUAUCUAGGAUUCUUAGUGAGAUUUCGGAUUCCUUUUCUAAUGGCAACAUGAAUAUUAAGGUUUGAUGAUUCUUUGCUAGGGAAAAGCAUGGGAAUUGAAGAUGAGUUAGGAUUGAAAAUACAUGUGAUAUUUGUAGGUCCAAUCCCCAAGGGUUGUGAUUGAUCGUUACCAAGAGUAACUGGCAGCCUUUGAGUUUUUUUUAUGAUGUUUUCUUUGAGUAUAAACCAAAAGCUCAGUUGUUAGAAUCAUUUUGAUACGACAGUAGUAGUGAUUCUCCCCCUAUUUCAGAUACAAUAAUGUUUGGCAUUAUAUUACCAGAACUUCCCUCAUUGUUCUCAGUGUUUUUAUCAUCACGUUGUUCUUGACUUUGAAGGCCAGAAAUGGUAGGAUGAGAGGAAUGAGGUAUAGUAGUCAAAAUUAUUUUUGGUAAAGAGUUAGAAGAUAUAUCCCAAAACGUUUCUUCCAUUACCUCAUACUCCCCCUAAAUAGAAUUUUUUUGAAAGUAGGAUUUUUUUUUUCAAAAACCGAGAUAUCUAUACUCACAUAAAAUUUCCUUGUUUGGGGAUUAUAGCACUCAUAUCCCUUUUAUUGGAGGCAUGCCCUAUGAACACAUAUUUUUCUGCCCUUGGAUCAAGUUUGUACUGAGUGUUAUUAGGUAUACGAACAAAGAUAGUAUAGCAAAAAACUUUAGACGUAAAUCUGAGUACAUUCUAGAUAGGGGAAAGCAUUUUUUAAAACAUUCUAGAGGUGUACUAUAUUUUAAAACACAUGUAGGCAUCCUAUUAAUUAAAUAAGUUGAUUUUAAAACAGCUUCUCCCCAAGAUAUUUUGGAAUAUUCAUCGAAAACAUUAUAACACGUGUUACUUCAAAUAAAUGUUUAUUUUUUCUUUCAGUAGUCCCAUUUUGCUGAGGCAUAUCUACACACGUGGACUGGUGAUAAAUACAUUUUUCUUUAAAAUUUUUUCCAAAAUACCUUUAUAGUACUCGGUUCCAUUAUCAUUGUGAAGAACCCUAAUUUUCUUUUGAAAUUGAGUUUCAACCAUUGUGUAAAAGUCUUUAAAAUUUUUUCCAACUUCAGAUUUUUCACUCAUUAAGUAAACCCAACAUAGACGGGUGUGAUAAUCUAUAUUAAGUAAACCCAACAUAGACGGGUGUGAUCAUCUAUGAAUGUGACAAGCCAUUUUUUCUUUGAAAUAGUAAUAACUCUUGAAGGUCCCCAAACAUCACUACGUAUUAAAUAAAAUGGUUUUGAAGGAAUAUAAGGUUUUGGCAAAUAAGUAGUACGAUGAAUCUUAGAUAAGCAACAACUUUCACAGUAAAAUGAUGAAAAAUCCAAACCCUUAAAUAAAGUAGAAAACAAAUGUUUAAGAUAUUGAAAGCUAGAAUGUCCCAAUUUUAAAUGCCAAAGCAUUAUUUGUUCAUAAACAGAGUUAGAACUAACACUACUAAAGCCCUAAGAAAUCAUCAUCAAAGUAGUAAAGGCCACCAAUCAACUUAGCACUGCCAAUCUUCUUCCUCGAGGUUUGGUCCUGAAAUUCAUAGUAAGAAUCACAAAAAAUCACUCGGCAAUUAGAAUCUUUAGUUAUUUUACUCAUGGUUAAAAGAUUACAAGCUAACUUGGGAACACGAAGAAUAGAAUUAAGGUUUAAUUUUUUGGAUAAUUUAAUCAAACCUUUCCCUACUAUUGGUAACAAAGUACUAUCUGCAAUUCUUAUUUUGUCAAGACCAAAAGAUGGUGAGUAAGUGCAAAACAAAUUUGAAAGGUUGGUCAUAUGAUCAUAAGCUCUUGAAUUUAUAAUCCAAGGAGCAUAAUUUGACAUGAAGAAAGAGCAUUGGGUGUGCUACCUAUUUGUGCAAGAGAAACAGUAGGAAUACUACUUGGUGAGUAAUUGGGUUUUAGCAACUGCAGAAGGUAAUCCAUUUGCUCCUUGGUGAAAGGGCCUGUCUCGGCUUUAUUUGCAGUAGAAAUCAACCAGGUAUUUUUAUCACCAGGCUUGCUGCUCUUUUAAUUUGCUAGUUUUUCUUGGAUUUUCCAGCAUGUUUCUCAAGUAUGACGUGGUUUGUUGCAAUAGUCACACCAUACCCGUAGAUUCUCUUCAGUUUUAUGCUGAAAUCUAGCUGUUUUGUUAAAAACAACCAAUGCACUAAGAAGGGCAGAACUUUCAGUAGGCUCGUCAGUUGUCUUCUUUCCUAGCAUUACAUGUCUACGACUUUCUUCUCUUCGAACCUCAAUAAACACCUCGCCAAUUAGAGAAAGUGGCUUCCUGCCAAUGAUCCACCCCUGAACCUUAUCGAACUCAACGUUGACUCCUAUAAGAAACUUGUAAAUACGAGAAGCCUCAACAAUAUUGUUCUAAUAUUUGGCAUCUUCUGUGAAUUUCCAUUCAUAAUCGUUGAACAUAUCUAAAUCUUGCCGAACAGAUUAAGACUACCUUAAAUAAUUUUCACCAUUAAGGAAAAUAAUGGUAAUUUGAAUUAGAUAAGUAUCAGUAUUGGGAGUUUGGGUUUGUGUUGGAGAAUUGGUUGAAGCAGAUAUAAUCGAUUGAUUAUGAUGGCUCUGAUACCAUGAAAACUUUUCUGUAUUUCUCUAUAUCGUAAAAUGUUACACAAAUUCCUCUUAUAGAGGAGAAUACAUAAAAUUAGGAAACUGAAAAAAAAAUUAGCUAUCUAACUGUACUAGCUAUUUCCUAAUUUACACAAUUGACUUAUUCUUAUUUACAACUAACAAUCCUCUCUAAUUACAAAUAUUUCUUCUCUUUUCUAUAGAGAUAUAUGCCAGACCUUACAAGAAAUCUCAUAUAUCAAUGGAUGAUUGAUCAACUGGGCUGUAGCAUUAAGGUAGAAUAUGGUCAAAUACAAGUUAUAAAUAAGGGUGCUGUUAUUAUGAAGGGAAUUAAAAGGAAUGGUUUGUGUGUUCUGGUUGGGUCAUUACCUCAGUUAGGGGUAAAUGCUAGUGUAAGUAGUGACAAAACCAAACUUUGGCAUAUGAAGAUAGGACAUAUAAGUGAAAAAGGUUUGAAAGAACUAAGAAAGCAAGAGUUAUUUGGUCAUAAUCAAAUUUCCUCACUAGAGACAAAAGUUCAAGAGAAGAAGACAUGAAACAAAUAGACAUUGGAUUAUGUUUAUUCAGGUUCCAUCUCAUGGUGGAGCUAGGUACUUUAUUACCUUCAUGGAUGACUUCUCAAGGAAUCUUUGGGUUUAUGUGUUGAAACAUUAAAGUGAAGCCCAAAAAAAAUUCAAGGAAUGGACAGCCCUAAUGAAGAACUAAAUUGGAAGAAAAGUGAAGAGAUAAAGAACAGACAAUGGCCUGGAGUACUGCAACAGUGAGUUUGAUGAGUUUUGUAAGAAGCAUGGCAUUAUGAGGCAUAAGACAGUAAAACAUACACCACAGCAAAAUGACCUUGUUGAAAGAAUGAACAAAACCUUAAUUGAGAAAGUCAGAUGAUAUUAUUUAGUUUUAAUCUCUUUAACCAUUUUUGGGCUGAAGCAAAUUGCUGCAUAUCUUAUCAACAAAAAUCCCCCAUCAGCUUUGGAGUUUAAAACUCCACAAGAAGUCUAGUCUGGCAAACCACUUGAUCUAAGUAACCUAAGAAUCUUUUGUUGCCCAGCUUAUGCACAUAUAAGUUUGGGAAAGCUAAAACCAAGGGCUGUUAAAGGUUAUUUUAUAGGAUAUUCUGAAGGAAUUAAAGGAUAUAAGAUUUAAAGUAUUGAUGGGAAGCCUAUUAGAACCUUUAUUAGUAUAGAUGUUGUGUUUAAUGAGGAGGUAUUGAUACAGACAAAAGUUAAAAUAGAGAUCUUUACUAAUUUUAAAGGAAAUUCACAUAUGAUGGUGGAGUCAAUAGAUACUCAGAGAUCCAGAGAAGAGAGAGAAUAAAGAGUGCACAAACAUUCAGAAUUAGAAGGAUAUCAUCUUGUAAGAAAUAGAGAAAGAAGAGUUACUGUAAGGCCUAAAAGAUAUGGUAUUGUUGUUUUAAUCUCAUAUGCAUUUAUGGUUAUUGAUGAUGUAAGUGGUUGAGAACUUAUCAGCUACAAAAAGGCCGUGAGUAGUAAGGAGAAGUCAAAAUGGCUUGUAGCAAUAAAAGAAAAAAUUGCCUCUUUCAAGAAAAAUAAUACGUAGAUCCUAGUUGACAAACUUUUAAACAAGAAACUGGCUAGCUAUAAAUGGGUUUUCAAGCUCAGAAAGUGAUCAUGGGCAACCUAAAUAUAAGGCUAGACUUGUAGCAAAAAGGUUUACACAAAGGGGAGGAAGCAUUUUCACCAUUAGUUAAACAUAGCUCUAUAAGGGUUUUAUUGGCUAUCACUGCAUUCUUAUAUCUAGAAUUAGAUCAAAUGGAUGUCAAAAUAACCUUUUUGCAUGGUAACUUAGAUGAAGAAAUUCUAAUGGACUAAUCAGAAGGAUUCAUUAAAGAAGGAACUAAAGAUAUGGUUUGCUUAUUACAUGGCUCGAAAUAAUCCUUAAGACUAUGGUAUUUAAGGUUCGAUGAAUUUAUGAUCACUCACGGAUACUUUAGAAGUCAAUAUGAUAGUUAUGUGUACUGCAAACUUUGCCUUUUAGAGGUACUAUAUAUCUUCUUUUAUAUGUUGGUGACAUGCUUAUUGCAUGAAAACAAAGAGAAGAAAUAGAGAGGCUUAAAGAUGAACUAAGUUCUGAGUUUAAGAUAAAGAACUUAAGCCCUACAACAAGGAUUUUAGGAAUGCAGAUCAUAAGAGAAAGAAGUGAAAAAACUUUGUUCCUUUUCACAUGCUGAUUAUGUCAGAAAGGUGCUUAACAGAUUUGGUAUGCUUAGUUCUAAACUUGUUACUAUACCUUCUUGCACAUUUCAAACUGUCUAAACAACAAGAACCAACUGAAGGAGCAGAUGUUGAGCACAUGAUGAAAAUACCUUAUUCUAGUGUAAUGGGGAGCAUCGUGUAUGCUAUGGUUAGUCUAGAUCCGAUGUUUGCAUAUGGAAUAAGAGUUUUCAGCAAGUUUAUAAGAAAUCCAGGGAAAAAACAUUGAGAGGUUGUUAAGUGGAUACUUAGAUACCUUAAUGGUACAACUAAUAAUGGUAUUUUAUUUGGAGGAAUUAAUAAUACACAAGUAAAAUCUUAGGCUAUGUGGACUUAGAUUUUGCUGGCAACUUGGAAAAGAAUGCCAGUUACUGGAUUUGUCUUCACAUUGUAUGGAGGUGCAAUGAGUUGGAAAGAAUCACUGUAAUCAGUUGUUGCUUUAUCUAGAACUGAAGUUGAAUAUGUUGCACUCAUAGAGGCUACGAAGGAAACAAAAUGGCUCAGAGGCUUGGCAUCAGAAUUAGGAUUGAGGCAAGAGUCGAUUUCCAUUAGUUGUCAUAGUUCUACUGCAAUACAAUUGAGCAAAAAUCCAAAAGAACAUGAAAGAACAAAGCAUAUUGAUGUUAGGCUACAUUUUAUCAGAGAAGAAAUUGGUUUUGGUGUGGUGAAUAUUAUCAGAGAAGAAAUUGGUUCUGGUGUGGUGAAUAUUAUCAAAAUCCCCUUAGUAAUCAAUCCUACUGAUAAUCUAACAAAACUUUUGCUUGUAGUCAAGUUCAUGGGCUCUUUGAACUUGAUUAGGGUUGUUAGCUUGUAAGUCAAGCUAUGUGUUGCUGAUACAGAGUUUGGGUGAAGCUUGAAAAUAAUAUAAAUGAAGAGGAGAUUUGUGAAUUGGGUUAGUUAUAUUCUAUUAAGUUAGUUGCUGAGGUGGCUUGAUGAGCUGCUGUGUGGGACCCUUGUAGUUAAGUUGUUACACGGUCCUACAAGCUUCUGGAAUUAAAUAUAGAAGAAAGCAAUGCUGGCUGGUGCAACACCCGGAGAAAAGAUCUUGACUAGCUUUGAGAUAGAUUUUGUUAAUUCUUCAUUGAAGGGAUUUGUUCUUGUGAUCUCAAGAAUUGUUCUAAUCAAUAUCUUAAUAAAAACUUCAGGCCCAAAGGGGUAAUAUCAGCCGUGGAUGUGAAUACUUUUGUAGCAAACCACGUAAUAUGGCAGUGUUCUUUUUCUCUGCUUUCUUAGUUUCAUUGCCGUAUUUAUUCUUUGUUCUUUGAUCUAGUGUCAUUAAUUCUUUGUGCCAUUAAUUAGAUUGGUUAAUUGGCUAGUCUGAUAAAGAAUCGAAAGAGAAGAAAAUGCCUUGAUUUCAUAACAAGUAUUCUGUCCUUAAAGGCUUUAAGUCAAUUAUUUUCUUAAACAAUUUAAGAGAAACUUUAAUUGCUUCAGUCUUCACUCUUCAACGUAUAUGAGUCUCUAUGAUAAGAGUUUUCUCCAAAUUCAAAUCCAACUUUAGCACCCAAAUUUUUGGCCUAAAGGGAAAAAAAAAAAUUAAAGGCUUUACGUACUGGAUACUGAGGUACACACUUCACAUAUUAAUGUAAAAACUAAAAAGUUAACAUAUAUAUCAAAGGCUUUAUGAACUGGAUAAGAGUCUUGACAUUUUUAUGUAAAAAUUAACAUAUCAAAGGCCUUAUGAACUGGAUAAGAGUCGAUCAUUUACCCCCAUUGGGGACUGAUACAAAGUUAUUCCAGUUGGCGCACAAUGUCUUGCAAAGCAAGCAAACGUUCCCCUCACUAGAUGUAAUUGAACAAACAAUAAUCACAAUUUUUUUUUUUUGGAAAAGUAAUUAAUUCAUUGAUUAGUACCAAAAAAUCAUUGAAAUUUAAUCAAAUUAUACGGAGUUGCAUACCAUUUUUGCUCUUUGUUAAGAAUUGAUAGUCUCUUAAUAAGAUUAUAAUUGAAAGAAUUAGAAAUGGAAUGAGGAAGAUCUUUGGGUGAUGAUAAUGUAAACCACAAGUUUUUAAUAGGGGACACUAAAACUUUUUUUUUAAUAUAAUACCCUUUAUAAAUAGCAACUAAAAAAUUGACCUUAAAAAUUUUAAUAAAUAAAAUAUAAUUUAAAUAGUUUAAUUUUUCUAAUAGACUAAUAAUAUUAGAAUAUUUUUAAUAUAAAAAUAAUUUUAAAACUAUAAAUGAUUAUAUUUAUUUUAAUAAUGUAUUUAUAUUUAUUCUAGAAUUUUUUAAUAAAUAUCUAGGUUAAAUAAAUUUUUCUAAUAGACUAAUAACACAAUGCUCGCAACAUGGUAAGUUUACCGAUUUGAGCCCUGGAAGCAAUUUUCGCUCAGAGAGAAUUUUCAAAUCUUGUUUUGACAUAUGACCGAGUUUGAGGUGCCACAUCAUCGUUGAUUCUUCUCCAUUUGACGCAACGCACGCAUCAGUUUCCUAUAGUGUUUCUCUUUCAAGCACGAACAGAUUAGAACCGAUCUUUUCUACCUUCAUCAAUAUAAGCGCACCUUUAACAAUCUUCAUAAUCCCACUUUCAACAUGGGUUUUACACCCAUGACAAUAUAUUGUCCCAAAGACAAAAGAUUUUUCUUCAGGCCUUUGACAUGUCGUACCUCUUCAAUUGUAUGAACCGUACCAUCAAAUAUUUUUAUUUUGAUAGUACCAAUACCAGCGAUCUCCAAGGCAUGAUCAUCUCCCAUGUAUACAGAUCCUCCUGAGGUUUAUAUGUGUGAAACCAUUCUCUUUGAGAGGUCAUGUGCCAGGUAGCUCCUGAGUCUAUGAGCCAAAUGUCAGAUAGCCAUUUUCUGCCUUAUGAAAUAGUUGUUGCCUCACUGUAGAGAAUUUCGCCAUCAUCUGAGGUACUUGCCAUACACCCUUGAGCAUUUGAUGACUCGGAUUUAUUGUCUCCACUCUGCUUGUUUUUCCAACACUCUUUCUUGAAAUGCCCUUUCUUGCCACAAUUGUAGCAUUUGACAUUUUUCUUACUUCUUGAUUUUGAUCUACCAUAAUUGUGACUCCUACUGGGGCCACAUUCUAUUGAUUUCUCUCUCGUUAUUGAUAGUGCUUCUGCUUGCUGCGAACUUACUUGUUUGUCUUCCUUACUUUUUCGCCUACUCUCCUCAUUUAAUACGGAGGCUGCAACAUCAUCGAAAACUAGAUUGUCCGCUGGGUUGUUGUUUGUCAGGUUGAUGAUGAGUUGAUCGUAUGAAUCUGGUAGACUUUGAAGUAUAAGCUCUGCAUGUUCAUUUUCCUCUAUUUUAUGACCCAACGUUGUAAGUUGUGAAAAUAGAGUCUUUAAGGUGUUGAUGUGGUCGGUCACCGAUGUACAUUCUGCCAUUUGAAGAGUAUAGAGUCUCAUUUUUAAGAAGAUCUUGUUGUGCAGUGAUUUGGUCUUGUACAAUUUUGUGAGAGUAUCUCAUAUUUCCUUUGCUGUCUUUUUCUCUGCCACAUUGGAUAAUACUUCAUCCUCAAGUGCCAAGUAUAGAUCAGAAAUGGUGUUACCGUCUAUCUCGUUCUACUUGUCAUCAAUUAACUCUAUAGGCUUUUCUCCAAUUGCUGUCAAGCAAUUAUUUUUCCUCAAUACAACUUUUAUCUUCAUUUUCCACAACGAAAAUUUAUUUCCGUUGAAUUUCUCAAUUUCGUAUUUUACCGCCAUCGCUUUUCACCAAAAGCUAACUUUGCUAAUAUUGACUCCCACCGCUUCACGUGAACAGUAACCGUAUAAGUGAAUAGUAACCAUAUAAGUGAUAGCCGUAUACGUGAACAAUACUUUUAUGUGAACAGUACCAUGACUCCAAAAAAAAAUACAACAAGUAGCUCUAAUACCACUGUUAGGAAAUUAAUGGGUGAAACAAGGCCACAACUAAAAUGAAAUUGGAAGAAAAUUUAUAAGUAUUGUAAUACUUUGUCUCACUACCCAAAACCUUCUCACUCAAUAUACUCACAAGAGCUUUAUAAUUUUAACCUCUUAAAAUCACUCAAGAUCUUAGCUUUUUCUCUCACCAAAAUUGGAUGCCUAAAACAAAAUGGAGAGCUCCCUUUAUAUAGCCAAAAUUGGCUAUUAAAAAAAUUAUUAUUAUUUUGUCCGCCUUUGAUUUCUUCAUUCUUCUAUUUUCUUCUUUCUUCUUUCUACUUCGGUGGUGCCAAACCCUUCAACAUUUGCUGCUUCCAAAUUCUAUUUUUCUUUCCUUGGGCAGCACCUCCUUGGACUUCAAUUUGGGCAGCUUAUACAGCUUCUAGAUCUUCAAAAUAUGCUACUUCUUGAAGCCUUUUCGUGACACAUUGCCUAGUAGAUUUACUCAAUCACAAAUUGGGUGGUUACAUAAUAUGUUUGAAAACCUUUAAUUAAUAAAAUUCUUAUCUAUUUUCUUUCGUAAUACGAUUUACCUAAGUCUCUCUUAUGAAAUCAUUUGCAUUAAAGCGUAAAUAAUCUCAUUACUUUGGGGUAUUAUUUGUCUUGGACUUCUUCUUUGAUCUAUCACUAUAUUACUUACCUUGGGCUGUCUCACUAUUCUCGUGUAAUAUUAUCUGCCUUGAGUCAUUCAUUUUUGUAUUGAGUGGUGAUAUUAUCUCAUCAGUUUUUAUAUUAAUUUCUAUUUUGCCGUUGUAUGAAAUUACUUAUUUUUUUGAAUUACUAUAUUAUUUGCCUUGGGCCGCCUCACCAUUUUGUUGCAUAAUCUGCCUUGGGUCAUUCAUUUUUGUAUUGAAUGGAGAUACUAAAGAAAUGUGUUUUUAUUUCUUGAAAUAAAACAUUAUACACUGAGAGUUAUUUAUAGAUGCAGAUGCUAUAUUUUUUCAAAGAUUACAUAUGUGAAUACGGAAGGAAAUGUGUCAAUCCGUUCGGCGCGGAUCGUGUCUUUGAAAAAUGCAGAUUAUCCCUUUGACAAGUGCGGAUUAUGUCUUUGAAAACUUUCUCCAAUGCCAUUUUAUUCAACACUCCCCCUCAAGCUGGUGCAUAGAUGUCUUGCAUACCCAGCUUGUCUAGGAAUUUUGUAAAUGCCCUGCUUGAAAUGGCCUUCGUUAAAAUAUCUACAAGUUGAUCUUCUGAUCGAAUUUUCGGCAGUUCUAAGAUUUUUUCAUCUAAUUUCUCCUUGAUGAAAAAUCUAUCUACCUCGACAUGUUUUGUUCGAUCGUGUUGAACUGUGUUAUGAGCAAUAUCUCGUGCAGCUUUGUUGUCACAGUAUAGUUGUAUUGGUUGUUAUAAUGGAUAACCCAAAUCGUUUAAGAUAAAGCUUAUCCAUAGCCCUUCACAUACCCCAAGGGCCAUGCCUCGAUAUUCUGUUUCAGCGCUCGAACGGGCAACGACAUGUUGUUUCUUGCUUCUCCAUGUGACAAGGUUGCCUCCCACAAAGGUAAAGUAUCAUGAAGUAGAGCAUCUAUCACUAACUGACCCGGCCCAAUCUGCAUCAGUAUAAACUUCUAUGUUGUUGUAAUCUUCAUUUUUUGAAAAUAGGAUUCCUUUCCCUGGAUUUGUCUUCAGGUACCUCAGGAUCGGCAUUACUGCUUUCAUGUGUUGUUCUUCGGGAUUAUGCAUAAAUUGACUUACAAUACUCAAUGCAUAAGCAAGAUUUGGCCUUGUGUGGGACAAGUACAUCAAUCUUCCAAUCAGUCUUUGAUAUCUUCCUUUGUUUACUGGAACUUGGUCUGAGGUAAUACAAAACUUCAGUCCUUCUUCUAUUGGGGUGUCAAUAGGCUGACAAGCUGUUAUUCCUGUUUCGUGCAAUAGAUCUAAGGCAUAUUUCCUUUGAGAUAAAAAGAUUCCUCCCUUAGAUCGAGAAACCUCAAUUCCAAGAAAGUAUUUUAAGGCUCCUAAAUCCUUCAUCUCAAACUCUCUCGACAAGUACUUCUGAAGAGCCUCUCUUUCUUCCUCGUCGUUGCCUGUAACUACCAUAUCAUCUACAUAGACAAUAAGGGCAGUGAUUUUCCCUUGUCGUUUUUUAAUAAACAAGGUAUGAUAUGAAUUGCUUUGGUUAUGCCCAAAAAGAACCAUAACCUUUGUGAAUUUCCCGAACCAUGCUCUUGGGGAUUGCUUCAACCCGUACAAUGAUUUCUUCAAUUUGCAUACUUUCUGAUUGAGUCGUUCUGAUCCACUGCAUCCUGGUGGCAGAUCCAUAUAUAUUUCUUCAGACAGGUCUCCAUGGAGGAAAGCAUUCUUUACAUCGAACUGUUGCACUGGCCAAUCCAAGUUGACUGCUAAUGAUAACAAGAUACGAAUAGUAUUAUUUUUUGCUACCGAUGCAAACGUAUCGGUAUAAUCUAUCCCGUAGGUUUGGGUGUAACCCUUAGCUACAAGUCUUGCUUUGUAUCGUUCAAUAGAGCCAUCUGCUUUGUACUUUAUAGUGUAGAUCCAUCGGCAACCCACUAGUUUCUUUCCUGGUGGAAGAUCAACUAGUUCCCAUAUUUGAUUUUUUUGAAGAGAUCUCAUUUCGUCAUUCAUAGCCACUUUCCACUUUGGGUCUUUUAAGGCUUCCUGCACACUGUUAGGAAUAGAUACAAUAGAUAAUUGAUUCACAAAUGACUGAUUUGCUUCUGACAAGCGAUGGUUAGACACAAAAUGACUCAUAGGGUAUUUGACUCUACUAGAGAGGUUGGGCUCAUAUGUGGGUUUAGCGAUACCUCUAUUUUGACGUUGGGGAAGAAUUCUUCUGAUUGGACUUGUGGUAGGAACAUCCUCUGCAGACGAUUGGUUAGGUAUUUCUUCAUGUGACUCAUUCUCGAUUGCAGUUGUGUCUAAGUUAUUGUGCUCCCCAAAUGUGUCUUUACUUAUCUUAGCCUGAGAAUCAUCACCAUUUUCUUUUCCAGUAUCUUGAAGGUUUACUACCUCAAUGGAAGAUUGACCUUCUUCAGGUGGAAGAUACGUAAGAGUAUGAUUUUCCUCUUCAUUAUACUCCCCCUGAAAUUCAGGCUCUGACAAGUAGUACAUGAUAUCUUCAUGAAAGACGACAUCCAUGGUGAUGUAUAUUUUUCUUGAUGGUGGAUGAUAGCAUCGGUAUCCCUUUUGAUGUAAGGCAUACCCUACAAACACACAACGUAGUGCUCAAGGAGAUAAUUUGUAUUGUUGCAGCAAAUGUACGAAGGCAACACAGCCAAACACAUGUGGGGGUGAAUUUGGCACAUUUGGUGACAUAAUUGUAUCAUUCAGAACCUGGAAAGGAGUCUGGAAUCCAAGGGAGCUUGAAGGUGUUCGAUUGAUUAAGUAUACUGCGGAUGCCAGUGCUUCUCCCCAAUAAGAUAGUGGCAUGUGGGCUUGGAUUAAUGAUGCUCGAACAACUUCUAGUAAAUGUCUAUUUUUUCGUUCAGCAACGCCAUUUUGUUAGGGUGUCCCCACACAAGUGGUUUGAUGGACAAUUCCUCAUGAUUUCAUAAAUUGUUGAAUUGCUGUGCUUAUAUACUCGCCUCCAUUAUCAGUAUGUAGAACUCGAAUUUGUGUCUGAAAUUGAGUCGUCGCCAUCUUAUGAAAUCUUUGAAAUAAAGAGUUUACUUCGUCUUUCGAUUUCAUCAGAAAAAUCCAUGUCAUUCUGCUACAAUCAUCAAUAAAUGUAAGAAACCAACGAGCACCUCCAAUUGUAGAAACUUUAGAUGGCCCCCAUACAUAAGAAUAUACUACCAUGAAAGGAACUGGAUUCUUAUUUAAGGACAAUGGAAAAGUAGUUCGAUGGCUUUUUGAAAGUUCACAAACAUCACAUUUAAAGUUACAAACAUCAAGUUUCAGAAACAAACUAGGAAAUAAUUUUUUUAAGUAACCAAAUGACACAUGCCCUAAAUGUCUAUGCCAUAACCAAAUUUCUGAUUUCCCUUUUUUUAUGGUAUUAUCUGCGACUAGUGUGGGGCUUAGCUUUCCAGUGUUUGUUGAUGACAUCUCCAAGUAGUACAAGUUGCCUCGUCUAAUACCAUAACCAAUCGUUUGCUUCGUUUGGAUGUCCUUAAACACACAAUGAUCAGGCCAAAAAAUUACAACUGUUAGAGUGCAAUUUAAGCACUAGUUUUGCAUUGUUUACUUCCCUUAAUAUCGAUGUUUUGCACUUAAUAAUAGUGAUUUACUUGUGUUUUACUUUUGUAGGUGCAAUUCUAUUGAUUGGUGACAAAAUUAAGCUACAAGAUUAUAUUUAAUGAUGAUUGUUCUCUUGGAGAAAUUAUGAGCGUCAGAAGAACUUUAUUGAUAAGGCGUGGGCACAUGCUGUCAACUACGAACCUGCAGUUUUUAGUUUAAACGUGUUUUGUAUUUUUGGUUAUUUUUGUAAUUACGAAUUUAAUAUUUCAGAUAUUAGUAUUUUAUUUUAAAUAGAAUUCUAGAGGAGAAGAGAGGGAGAGUAUUUAAGGGAGGAAUCUAUUGUGAUAAGGGAGAUGUAUGUUUUAUUAUUGUCAACGAAACCCCCAUUUUAUGUUUUACGUUUUAAAAGGAUUUAAAUAAUUACCGAUCUCUGUGGACACGACCUUGCUCAAUCACUAUACACAAUUUAUUUAGAGUAUGUAUUUAUUUUUGCUGGCUUCGACAACCAUCAAAUUUUGGUGCCGUUGCCGGGGAUUGGUGUGAUUUAUUUAAUCCUUUUUACGUUUUACUUGGUGUAUGGUUCGUUCUUCUCGUACAGGUACACUUUCGUUUGAUCCUGAAAUUGAGAAGACAGCUCGCCAGCUGAGACAGCAGACGAAGUGAGCUAAGCAACGAUCCUCGUCGCCUUUGCUUUCUGAAACAGAUACGGUGCCUGAUUUAGUUGAAUCAUCUAGCGAUUCGGAAGAACAAGUGAUGGAUAGAGCUGCACUUGUAGAAAGAACUCUUAGAGAGUUAGCUGAACCAGACUUGAAUCAGCAACCACUCUGCAUUCAAUAUGUAGACUUGGAGGUAAAUUUUGAAUUAAAGUCUGGUCUUAUUCAUUUAUUACCCAAGUUUCAUGGUUUUGUAGGUGAAGAUCCUCAUAAACAUCUCAAGGAGUUUCAUGUUGUGUGUUCAAGUAUGAGGCCACAAGGCGUGACUGAAGAGCAGAUUAAGCUGCGUGCUUUUCCGUUCUCUGUAGAUGGGCUAGCUAAAGACUGGUUGUACUACUUGCCUCCUGGAUCGAUUACAACGUGGAAUGGUUUGAAGAAGCAGUUCCUCGAGAAGUACUUUCCUGCUUCAAGAGCUGCCAAUAUCAGAAAAGAUAUUUGUGGGAUCAGACAACUUCCUAGGGAGACUUUGUAUGAGUAUUGGGAGCGAUUCAAACAAUUGUGUGCCAGCUGUCCUCAGCAUCAGAUUUCUGAUCAACUUCUUAUUCAAUAUUUUUACGAAGGACUGUCAUUAAUGGAUAAGAGUAUGAUAGAUGCUGCUAGUGGAGGUGUGUUGGUGAACAAGACCCCUACUCAAGCAAGGGAGUUGAUCUCAAAUAUGGCUGCCAAUGCACAACAAUUUGGCAGCAGGCAAGAUGCCACUUCAAGAACGGUGAAUGAGGUAAAUAUUUCUUCUGUUGAACAACGUUUAGAUAAACUUACUUCUCUUGUGGAAAAGUUUGUUGUAGGUAAUGUGCAACAGGUAAAGACUUAUGGCAUUUGUUCCAAUAUGGGUCAUUCAACUGAUAUGUGUCCUACACUUCAAGAAGAACCCAUUGAAUAAGCCAAUGUAGUUAGAGGAUUUCCAAGCAUGCCUCAGAUGAGGUAUAAUCCUUAUGCACAAACAUACAAUCCGGGAUGAAAGGAUCAUCCCAACUUAAGCUAUGGAGUUAGGCCGUCAGGAUUCCUACAACAGUAUCCACCAAGACAACCAGCACUUCCACAGUUAAACUCCAAGUCAGGUAUAUCUCUUGAAGAAAUUGUUAAAUCACUUGCGACUAUCACUCAACAAUUUCAACAGGCAGCUACAGCAAGCAUUCAGAAUUUGGAGAAUCAAAUGAGUCAAUUGGCGACUACAGUGAGCUGUCUGAAGUCUCAAGUAUUAGGGAGGUUGCCUUCACAAUCUGAAGUGAAUCCAAAGCAAAACAUUAGUGCUGUCAUCCUUAGAAGUGGGAAGGAGUUAUAAGAGCCUAGUAAGAAAGUGACAAAGCAUGUAGAAGAUGAGCUUGAGAAGAAUGAAUUGAUGCCUAAAUCUCAAGAUGCGCAACCUACCAGAGCGAAACCCCUACCUAUUAUGAUACCUCCUCCUUUUCCAAGCCAGUUUGCAAAACCCAAGAAAGAAGAACAAGAGAAAGACAUCCUUGAGACAUUUCGCAAGGUUGAGGUAAAUAUUCCUUUAUUAGAUGCUAUAAAACAAAUACCUCGAUAUGCUAAAGUCCUUAAGGAACUGUGCACCUCCAAGAGAAAAUUAAGAGGAGAUGGAAAAGUUCACAUGAGGGAGAAUGUUUCAGCAGUUCUCUAAAAGAAACUACCUCCUAAGUGCAAGGAUCUAGGUAUGUUUACUAUCCCUUGUAAAAUUGGUAGUGUUAGAGUUGAAAAGACUAUGUUAGAUCUAGGAGCUUCUAUUAAUGUCAUGCCUCGUUCCAUUUAUUCAUCUUUGAAUGUUGGUCCAUUAAAAGAAACUGGCGUGAUCAUUCGACUAGCUGAUAGGUCUAAUGCAUAUCCUGAUGGGAUAUUAGAAGAUGUCUUAGUACAAGUUAAUGAGUUGGUUUUUCCUGCUGAUUUUUAUGUACUUGAUAUGGAAGAGGAUAACUCCUCUAAUUAUGUCCCAAUUUUGCUAGGAAGACCUUUUCUUAAGACUGUUAGGACUAAAAUGGAUGUACAUAAAGGGACUCUCACUAUGGAGUUUGAUGGAGAGGUUAUAGAAUUCAAUAUGAAUGAUGCCAUGAAAUAUCCUAGUGAGGAACAUUCGGUAUUUUCUGUGGAUGUUAUUAACCUUAUAGUGCAGGAAGUUUUUUACAAGGAAAAGACGAAGACAUUUCAUGAUAGAAUGAUUUUGAGAAAGGAGUUCUCUAUUGGUCAAAAAGUUCUUCUUUUUCAUUCUAAGCUUAAACUUUUUCCGGGUAAAUUACGUUCUUGUUAGGUUGGACCUUUAAUUGUUACUAAUAUUUUUCCUCAUGGUGCAGUUGAGAUUCGGAGUCCGACCUCUGACAAAGUUUUUAAGGUUAAUGGUCAUCGCUUAAAACCUUUUUAUGAAGGUUUUUCAGUGAAUAUUGUGGAGGAUGUGGCUCUCGAGAGUCCCAAUUAUGGAGAUUGAUGCAUAAAUGUGUCUAGCCAAAGACAUAAAACAAAUGCAUUUUUUGGGAGGCAACCCAAAUGAUUUAUUUAUUUUGGUUUUUGUUAUAUCUUCUUUUAAUUUUGAUUCAGAUUUUUUUUAAAAAAAAAAUUAAUGUGUUUGCUUAUUUUGGUCAGAAGAAAAUUUUUAAUAAGGCGUGCCCACGUGCUUAUUAGAAAUGUACUUCUGAAAUUUUUAGUGUCUCAAAGUGAUUCAUCACUAAAAAGAAAAAAGAAAAAAAAGAGUUUUUUCCCAUAUUUUCUUUCUUAUAUAUAUAUUUUUUAUUUAUUUAUAAAAAAAUGACAAAAAAAGUUUUUUUCCUUCUUUUCUUUCUUAUAUAUAUAUAUAUAUAUAUUUAUUUAUUUAUUAAAAAAAACACAAAAAAACAAAAAUCACAAAUCACUGUUCACAAAUCCCUAAUUCAAAAAAAUUCACUGUUGAUUAUCGUUUUCCCGCAGCAACCCUUAGCUCCAGCGUGCAGAACCAGCAGCAGCCGCAUCAGUCCCACCUGCAACGCAACCAGCCUACGCCAUGUAUUUCAGCCGGGUAAAUCGAAAUCCGUGAGUGCAAUUAUUGUAACAAUGCCGAAGAGGAAAGCAUCAACUUCCAAGUCAUCUAAAAAGACACCCAUCGCAAAGAAAUCCAAGAUUGCCGCUCCCACUACGAUUCCAUGGAACACAAUUUCAUAUUCACGCCAAGCCGUGAGACAAAGAUCGAAACAUGGAAAAGGCAUGAGUGUUUUGCCACUUGCGGAAUCCAAUCUCGGAGGAUGCCUCGCAUUCGCGACUCAACAAGAGAAAGAGAGGUACAAAGAUAUUUCCAUGCGCAAAAUACUUCCAGCUAAGUAUAUUCAUUACCCGACUCUUGAAAAAUUGAAUGUUAAGGAUAAUUUUGAUUCUUUGAUAGAUAAGAUUGGGUUGCGUAAGUUUGUUAAUGUUGAUUGUUUGGGUUAUAUUGAGUUGAUUAGGGAGUUUUAUGUUACUUUUCAAUUUAAUAUGCCGAAUGAUUUUACUUUGCAUACCCUGGAUGUCAUAAAGUUUAGGUUAAUGGGACAAAAUUUUUCACACUCUAUCACCGAUUUUAACCUAGCUUUAGGAUUCAUUGAUGAUGAUUAUUCUUCUAGUGAUGUAUAUUUAGGAACAACUUGUGACUUUAGCGAAAAUUUUGAGCCUUAUGAUCUUUGGCGUAAUUUAUCUGUUGAUCACAAUACCUAUGACCCGAGUAAAUCAAAGAGUUAUUUCUUACGUGAUCCUGUUUUGAAAUGUGUGCAUCGAUUCUUAGCAUAUAAUUUUGUAGGCAAGAAAGAUCACUCAGGAGUUUUCUCUAAAACUGAAUUUUAUUUUAUCUGGUGCAUGUUAAAUGAUGUGAGGCCUAAUUUAGGUUUUUGGUUAGCGGAUCAAUUUCAAAGUGUGCUUAAAUGGUAUAGGACUUUAUUUCUUGGUCCAUACAUUACUCUGUUAGCUAUAAACCUAUGUGCGCUUGAUCCUGACAAUAAUGAUUUGCAUUCUGCUUGCAAAAAGGAAUUUUUGGAUAUGUCUGUGUUUGAAAGAACAGGUGUGGUCGAAUUCAAGGAGGGAGAUUUCAGUUUACUGAACCAGGACCCACUCAACCUCCAAAGAAGCUUUAUCCUAGGAGUGGUGCUACCUCUGAUAACGAGUUUGACGACGACACUGCUGCCCCGCCAACUAUUCCUUCUACAUCCGCACCACCUUUGAGCAUUCAGUUAGAGAAAAUGGAGCACAAGCUGAACAUGAUGGAGCAGAAUUUGGCCGCAUACUUCGAGAGUGUGAGAUUUAUCCCACCAUUUCCGCCAAGCCCAUAAACGUUAUGUGGAUCAAAGCUCACAAUUCAGGGAAGUUUUUGCCUUUAAUCUUUUAUCCUUACGCUUUAAUUUUUAUGUGAGCUUUGAUUAUCUUACAUUGGGGACAAUGUAAGUUCUUGGUGUGGGGGAGGGAUUUUUGUAUUAUUGAUGUCUGGAAAUAUUAUUUUCACUCUACUCAUCUAUUUUCACUUUACUCAUCCUUAAAUAAUUUUGGAGUUAGUAUGCUUCAUAUAUUAUUAAUUUUCUUUUCCUUUCUCUCUCACUACUCUUUUCCCAUCUAUCUCAAAUUAUUUACAUCUAUUUUUUUUUCUAUCAUACUCUUUCAUCACUCACAUUUUAUCUUUCAUUUUUUUUACUACAUACAUCUUUCUCGCUUAUUAUCCUUUUUACCUUUCCUUUUAUAUCUCACUCAUACCUUCUUCUCAUUCUACACCACUAUUGAUGGUUGAUUCAUUUGAAGAGUGUACAUGAUUUGAUGGCAAAUUUACCAACUUUGUGAGGAUUUAAGCCUAUGAGCAACCACUUUGCUCUAAUUAUUUUUGUUAUGUGAAUAUCAAUCUUAGUUUGUAUAUUCUAGAACUUGCUUUGUUAUGCAUGUUGAAGCCACAUUACGGGAUUUUAUGCAUUAAAAUGAUAAGGGCAAACCAUUUACCAUUUUUAUAUUCUUGCAUUUUGUUUUUUCUCUACCCGAAGACAUUUAUUUGCUACCUUUGUUUGAGCCUUAACCAUUACCCAUCUAAUUCUCUCCGUCUACUUAACCAUUUUUCUUCUUUUUGAGCCUCAAUUUAAGGAGAUUUUUGGACUCAUUGUGUGGAUAUAUUUUGUUGCUUUUUCUACCUUGUAUUAAAGUUUCUCAAUUAGAUCAACAAGCAUUAUGCUUGAAUUAAAUUGUGCAAGGUUUGUUUCUUUUGUUUGAUUCAAAAAAAAAAAAAAACAACAACAAAAAAAAGGAAAAAGAAAAAAAAGAGAAAAAGAAAAAUCGAAAAAAAAAUUGAAAAAAAAGUUUACAUUCCUCAGUGACUUGAGUAGAAAUAAGCAUUUUGAUAUCAUAAGUUCAUUCAAUGAGUUCAUUAUUCUCAUUUUGAUCUCUUUUUCUUUCAUAGACCUUUCUUUUUCAUUUAACCUAUUUAACCCCAUUACAACCCUUUUAAGACCCUUAGAUUUUUGCAUUUUAUUAAUGUUUUGUGGAUUGAGAUGUGAUAUAUGAGCAAGCUUAUGGUAAUAGCAUUCUUUGAUUUGAUUUGAGUGAAUAAAUGACACCCUAAACACUUUGAGUGCAUGGAGUGAAGUCAAUGAGAGGGCUAUUAAAUCUUGUUGCACUUGAAUUUUGAAUGGAUCUUCUUGGUGGUUGAAUGUUCUUAUUCUAUCUUAUGAGAUUCUAUGCUUUAAAAUCCUUAUCUCUCGAAUGUUGAUCGACUUAAUUUUUUAGUUUAAACGUGUUUUGUAUUUUUGGUUAUUUUUGUAAUUACGAAUUUAAUAUUUCAGAUAUUAGUAUUUUAUUUUAAAUAGAAUUCUAGAGGAGAAGAGAGUGAGAGUAUUUAAGGGAGGAAUCUAUUGUGAAAAGGGAGAUUGGAGAAAAAGAAAGAAACCCUAGAUCUAAAUUUUUCUCUUCUCUCUAUGAAGAACUAAACCUAUUUUUUUGGUUGAAGGUUAAUGAAGCUUUGAUUCAUCACUACUGUGAGAUCUUUCUUAUGCUUUAAUUGUUUUAUUGCUUUUUUGGGUAUUUGUUUAUUCUCUGAAUUAUUUUCAUGAUUAUGUUUGUUAAUUAAGUAAUUGGCCACUAUUUAAUUAUCAACUUAAUCUAUUGUCAAUUAAAGGAUUCAUCGUAUGAAGAUUUUAAUGUUUGUGACAAAUAACAUAGCAGAGAGUUGUGUUAUGAGAAUAAACAAUCUAAUUUAAAUUAAACAUCGUAUGUGUUGAUUAUGAUUUGAGUCUCUCUGGUUUUUCAGGCUGUCAAUUGAUUAAAUCAUAUGAUCGUAUCUAGGGUUGUCUAUUGAUUAGGGAAAUAACCAACGGUCGUACCUUAGUUAUCGACUAGUUAAGGAGAAAUUGGCUAUUAGAGGGUCUCAGUAGUUAUAACCAGUCUAUUCAUAAGUAGCAAUAAUUUAUAUUUGAAUCAAUGAUCAGUAGCCGAAUUAAGCUGAGUUAAUUCCUUCAACCAGAGCUUUCUCCAAUUUGAAUUACAACUUUAAUUUGCAUUCUUGUUAUUUUAAUUUGAUUUUUUAUUAUUGUCAACGAAACCCCCAUUUUAUGUUUUACGUUUUAAAAAGAUUUAAAUAAUUACCGAUCUUUGUGGACACGACCCUGCUCAAUCACUAUACACAAUUUAUUUAGAGUAGGUAUUUAUUUUUGCUGGCUUCGACAACCAUCAACAACACAUGAUAAGUAAGUGGUUAAUUGAGACACAAAUAAAAGAUUAUAAUCUAAAGAUUGAACAAUUAACACUGAUUCUAAAUUUAAUUCAUCUGUGAGUCGUAAAGAUCCUUCCCCAAUAACUGAGGUUGUGGUUCCAUUUGCAGUGGAAAUAUGUUUUUGUGAAGAUGGUUUCAAUUGAGAAACUUGUCGAGAAUCAAAAGUCAUAUGAUCAAUUGCCCCAGAAUCAAUUAUCCAUGUACUAUUAAUAACAGGUGUAAGAGUUUUAAGGGCCUUACCUGGACUGACAGAGGUUGCGAUUUGCACUGAAGAAUCUUUUCUAAGAUCUGUAGUGGAUGUGGAUUCAGCUACUGCAGUUUUUGAUCCCUGCUUGGUGUUCUUCUUUCGAGUAUCCCACCAGUCAGGAUAUCCAAUGAUUUCAAAACAUUGUUCUUUUGUAUGACCAUUCUUCCUACAAUGAGUGCAAUGGAGUGAUGACUUGUCAACAAGCUUCCUUUGAGGCUGUUGUCGUGCUAUCAUAGCAGACGUUUAUGAGUCGACCUUCUUGUUUAGUUUGUUUUGCCAUACAUCUUAUCUCCGGAUAAGAGAAUAACAUUCUUCUAAGUCUGGGAUAAUAUCUUUUCAUAGAAUUUCUCUACGAACUUGGUCAAAUUCUUCAUCUAGCCCAGCAAGAAAAAUGUGCACUCUCAAUCUUUCAACAGACCUUCUGUAUAUUACAACAUCUUCUGGAUCUUUCAUGACCACUUUAUCUCGAUGAUCAAGUUCUCGAAAUAUUUCGAUCAAUUCUCCGUAGAAUUUAGAGAGUGGUUGUCCAUUUUGCUUGGUAGAGAACGCCUUCUGGUUUAGAGUGAAAACUUGUAAUUCAUCGCUUCCAUCAUAGAAGGCUUUUGAUAAUGCAUCCCAAAUUUCGUAGGCUGUAGGAAUUCGUAAAUAUCACUUCAUGAUCUCCGGAGACAUGAGUAACCAUCGUUUUACUUUUUGGUUCUCACUAUACCAUUUCUCAUAUUCUUUUGAAGAUUCCUCAUAUAGCUUUGUGUUGCUACGAAUACAUGAGAGUUUUUCUCUUUCUGCGAGAUGCAUCUCCAUUAUUUGAGACCAAACAUCGUAGUUUGUCUCAGUGAGGAUAAUUCCAGCAUUAAAUAUUCCAUCAGAUUGAACAGAUUGAAUGACUAUUGUGCAAAUUUAUUGAACUCGCAAGUGCACGAAUUUAUUGUAGUAUAGAUCAAUGGUGAUGAGUGUCGAUCCCACGAGGAGGUGGAUUUUAAUUAUAUGUAGAAUUAAUUUUGUAUGAGGGUGGUUGGAUUUGUGGUGAAAAUGAUUUGGAUUAUCCUAAAAUUCGAAUUAAAAUGGCAAGAAUAAAUUGAAGUGAAAAUCUAUUAAAUUGACGUACUUGGGUAUCUGGAUCCGUAUCAACAUGCACCAUGGGCUAAAUAUUCCUUAUUAAUGCCAAUUGAAUCAUGAGGGUGGAAUCCACACCUCAUGAACCACACUCUAAUCAAUAUGGUGCUAAGGGCUUAUCAUGCCAAAUAAUAAUAACCUUGUACUAAGGAGCCGGUGUAACCAAUGCGGUAUCUAGACAAGAUUAUUAUUAUUUGUCGACGAAAAGUCAAAUCAUCCACAAAAAUUAGAGGGGAAAAGAAAAUAAAUUUACCAAAUAAAGCCCAUGACACAUGUUGAGACUUCACCUUCAACCCAAGCUUGAAAGAAAAUUAGCUACUUAUAAUUGAACUAGGGGCAAAAUGAAAAUUUAUUAAAAUACGUAGAAAAUACAAGAUGGAGAAGAAAUUACAGAAAAUGGAUCCCAAAAAUGGAUUCAGAGAUAUCAAAUUAGGGGGGGGGGGGAGGCCCCUUUUUUAUAGAUACAUUGAGUAAAUCGUGGCCAUCGGAUUAAAAACAGUUUGGACGCUCAGGAUUUUGCCACGUCAUCAGUCAACAGUACGCGGUUUGACCACGUGGGUGAACAGUAACACGGUUUGACCCGGGUUGAACAAUGAUGCGGUUUGGUUGAAAAUAAUCCUGUGUAAUGCAUGUACCGUACGCGACAUUUUUGGUCCACUGAUAUGCUGCCACGUCAUCGAUCAACAGUGCAUAAGAAUUUUAGUCCAACAGGAUUGUGACACCUCAUCAGUCAAUGCCACAUCAUCGGUCAAUGCAACGUCAUCAAUCCGUCUAUGUGAACAGUGUCGUGAACAGUAACGUAGACAGUAUCAUAUAAGUGAAUAGUACCAUACAUGUGAACAGUGCCAUUUUUCCUUUUAUGCUCCUCCUAAGGUUUUCGACCGUCCUGAGUUCAAAAGUGAUGUCCGUUUUGCCAUCUGAUCUCUCGUUCAUUGUGAAAUGACUAUAAUGCCCCUAAAAUACAUAAAAUACUUAAUUAAAAUAAAACACACAUAAUUAAAUGACAAGAAGUUUAAAUACAUAAAAGUAAGGGUGUUAGUAAAACUUAAAGUGUAAAAUGACGAUUUUCUCCUUUAUAACUAUACAUUUUCUAACACUCAACAAUGACAACAGGAGCAGAUUCAGUUGGAGUUUUCUCCAUUUUUUGUUGUUUUUUUUUUCUCUUUUUCCUUUUUUUUCUCUUUUUUUUUCCUUUUUUUUUUGGCGCCUAGAUUGAAAUAAGGGAAAAUAACCUUUUUAGAUCAAAGAACGACAAGUCAUUUGGCCUCUGCUUGACGAAACGACAUGUCGGUUCUGAUGGAAUAUAAACGACAUGUCGUUUGACGACUGCUGCACUUCUGGAGAUUGAACGUGACGUCGUUUUAUCUCUAAUUUACAACCGACAUGUCUGUUGUAAUGUAAUAAAAAAUGACACGUCAUUGUAUUACCAGCUGCACUCUUGAGAUAAAAAUAAAAUGUCGGUUGAUGUCUUCUUCAACCUCUCGAGCGCGUGAAUAUGACAGAGGCGCAUGGUUGACUGGCCGUGGCUUCCGGUGGCACGUGGGAGCGCGUGGAAAUGUGUUUAAAUGCCAAAGUUUUACAGUUUUCUUACUGGAAACUGAGAAAUAUGAUGGUAUUCUUGGUUUUUUAGGAACACACUCUUGGAAAAUUAAUGGGAUUGCUGAUAAAUUUGUAAACUCAAGUUUUUUACGUAUGGGUGGCUUGUUUCUUGAUCGGCAUGGAUUUCGGUAAUGGUAGGAAUGGGUUUAAGGAAGAAAAUGGUGGGAAAAAAAUGGUUGUGGGAGGAAUUUGGUUUCCUCUGUUUUUAUUACGAACAGAGCUGCGAAACUUGAAGAAACUUGAAGAAACUUGAGCGUAUUCAUGGCUCUGAUACCAUGAAGAAACAUGUUUUUAUUUCUUGAAAUAAAACAUUAUACACUGAGAGUUAUUUAUAGAUGCAGAUGCUACAUUUUUUCAAAGAUUACAUAUGUGAAUAUGGAAGGAAAUGUGUCAAUCCGUUCGGCGUGGAUCGUGUCUUUGACAAAUGCAGAUUAUCCCUUUGACAAGUGCGGAUUAUGUCUUUGAAAACUUUCUCCAAUGCCAUUUUAUUCAACAAAUACGAUCUCAUCAGCUAUUAUAUUAAUUUCUAUUUUGCCAUUGCAUGAAAUUAUGAAAAAAGGAUAUUGAAGAGUUUCUUGCCACAAAUUGAACCUGCAUCUCUGUAAGCAUUACUCUUGCAUUUUCGCGGAAAAGGGAGUAAGUGAAUGGCCUAAAUUCAUGGUUCAUUUCAUAUUAUGGAGUUUCUUUCUUCAGGAUGAUUUCGGCUGGAAUUCUCAUAAUUUGCGUCCAAAAAUCCACUAUUGAUAGGCUUAGUGCUUGCCAUUUUGCCUUUACAGCUGGUAGUGGUUGUAUGCUUGUUGGAUUAGUCAAAAAAAUCAAUUGGCAUUGGUCACAAAUUUUUUAUUCAAUUUUUUAUUCGAGCUGAGGGAUACAUACAGUAGUAGACGUCGUGUUCUAUGUUCUCUUUCCCAUAUAUAUAACUAUAGUAAGAGAUAUAUAUGGCUUUUAUAUAAUUCUCAAUAUCAUAGGCGGUAAACAUGGACUCUUGGCUAAAAGACAAUAUGAACAUGAAACCAUUUCACGUGGGUGAUCAAUUAAUAACUUUCAUUUUUUUUACUUCUUAUAGAAGUCAGAAGAGAGUGUACCUGCGACCAGUGGCGGUGCCAAAAAUUAUUUUUAGCGCGGGCUACGUUCACAUAAUAGUUUAAUUCAAGAAAGUAAUCAAUAAAUAACAUAUAUCAAAAUAAAAUUUCAUUAAAAUAUUUAAUUCAACACACUUAUAAUUGUCUUCGACGAGGUUUCAUAUGUUGAAAACGUUGAAGAAUAACUUCAUUGUCAAGACUACAAAAUAUAUCAUUUUUUAUGAAUACAACAAGGUUAUCAUUCAACCAUUGAUCUCUCAUCCGAUUUCGCAGACGGUUUUUCACAAAAUUCAUAGCCGAAAAUGCCCUUUCUAUUGUAACUACGGCAACUGGUAAAAUCAAUGCUAAUGUCACCAAUAAAUAAACUAAUGAAUAUAAUUGAUCCUUUUUAGUCUCAACCAAUUUUCUUGCUAGCUCACCAAUCCCUUUCAAUCUGAAAAUUUGUUGUUAGAACCGACAUCCAUAAUAUAAACAUCAAAUUGAGUUUCAAGUGCCACAAGAUCCAUUAGAGAAAAAUCAUUUGGAUAAAACUCAGCAAGGUGAAGUAGUUUCUAUUUAUCAAAAGCUGCAAAUGAGUCAUUGGGGCAUAGACAUGCCACACAAAGAAGUAGGGGUGGGCAUCGGAUCGGAUUCGGAUUUGAAGGCAAAUCCGAUUGGAUGAAGUCUGUGCGAUCUGAUCGGAUUUGGUUCGGAUCGGAUCGAAUUCGGAUCAAUCCGAAUCAUCCGAUCGGAUCUGCACUAUAAACUAAAAAAAAGAAAAUUAAAUAAAUAAGCGAAAGUACUAAAAAAAUAAGUUUAACUCAUGUUCGGAUUCGGACUUCGGACUUCGGAUCACUAGUGCAGUCAGUCAGUCACCACUCACCAGUUCACACUUCACAUUGUUCAUCUCACUCUUAGAUCUUACGUCUCAGUCACAGACUCACAGUACCAACUCAAACUGACAUUAACAAAAGACACAGGACUCAGCGAGCACGAGCAGCAGAGCAAAAGCAAAAUGCCAAAUCCAGCUUCAUCUCGUCAUCCGUCUUGAACCCAUUAACGAGUAACGACCACGCCAAAACUCAGCUGCCGCCGGCCCGCUGACACCAAUCGACUGGAAGCUAGCCGAUUUCAACUGAAACCCAGGCGAACGAAACCAAAUUAAUCGACCUAAACCCAGCUGAAACCCAGCUGACAGCUGCCUCUUCAACCACCGAACUGAUCACGUCCAGCGCCGGCCAGUUGCCACGCCAAACGCCGAUAAUCCACUUCCACUAUUCCCAAGCACCUAGCAACUUUAUUCAUGGUAAGCAAUUAAACCAGACCCAUGACAAUUGAAAGUUAACACAACUCAGAAUUUCAUGCUUCUUUUCGACUUUUAGGGUUUUUUUAGUUGUAUUACUGCUUGGAAAAUGAAAAACCGAAAAUGCCACCAAAUGGUUUGGGCCAAACCCGAGAGCAAGCGGCUAGCUCCCAAACCCGAGAGCAAGACAUGAAUUGUUCUGUUUUUUCCUUUUAUUUUUUCUAAUGUAUGAUUAUUCAUUUGUAAUAUUAGUUGAGAAAGACAUGAAUAUGUAUUGAUGUAAAAUUCAAAUUUAUUAAUUAUUAAAUAAUCAUCAUUAUUUAAUGCAUGAUUAUUCAUUUAUAACAUUAGUUUAUUAAUUAUUAAUAAACUAAGGAACAAUAUCAAUUCUUUAAAAUUAAAAAUUCAACUUCAUACCGUACAUUGUGGUAGUAGAAUUAUUUUAUGAUAAGUUAAUGUCAUUAAUUGCUUUAUUUCCAAAUAAUAAUUUGAUGAAUGAAUUUGUAUAGCUAGUAAGCUAGGCUGAAGAGAUUAUAUAUAGUCAAAAGUUAUAUUUAUUUUUUAGUUGAAAAUUCAUAAACGAAAGUUACAGAACAAUGAUGAUUGAUAUGAUUUUUUUAUUUUCAGAUGACUGGACAUUCAAAAUCAAAUUCCAAUGAUGAAGAUGAAGUUGAAAGUGUACAAGUACCCACAGAAAAGACAAAUACAAAGCGGAAGAAUCCAACUCAGAGACGACCAAUAAAGAAAAGAUCUGAGACAUGGAAUCAUUACACUGUACUUGAGGACAAUCAAUAUAAAGCAAAGUGCAACUAUUGUGGCAAGAUAUAUCAGUGCCAUCCUAGGUUUGAUGGGAUUAGCAAUAUGGGAACUCAUUUAAAAGUAUGUGAAGCAUACUUGAACGUGAAGCGAGAGCAAGAUGAAAGACUACAAAAAUUGGCAGCCGAGAGUGGUGAAGGAAAUGCAAGUAAUAUGGUUUUGGCUAAAGGAUGGAGUCAAGAAGCUUGUAGAAGGACAGUUAGUAAAAUGAUUAUCUUGGGCAAGUUGCCGCUUAAUUUUGUUGACAACAAAGGGUUUAUGCAUUUUUGCAAUGUAGUUGUUCCUCAGUUUAUUAUGCCAUCUUGGAGAACUAUUAGUAGAGAUGUUAUGGAUAUGUUCUUGGAAGAAAAGGGAAUUUUGAAGAGUUUGAUAUGCAAGAAUAAGCAUAGAGUGUCUCUUACAACUGACAUAUGGACUUCAGUUCAGAACAUGAGUUAUAUGGUAAUCACAGCUCACUUUAUUGAUAGUGAUUGGUGUUUACAUAGGAAGAUUAUUAGUUUUAGCGUGAUUGAAGACCAUAAAGGGAAGUCCAUUGGCAAAAAGAUUUAGUCUUGUUUGCUUGAAUGGGGAAUAGAGAGGGUGUGUGCAAUAACUGUUGAUAAUGCGUCGGGCAAUGAUGUUGUUAUUGAUUAUGUGAAGAACCAAAUGCUUAUGUGGAAGAAUGUUGAUGCACUUGUGUUGCGGGGUGAUUACAUGCAUGUGCGUUGUUGUGCACAUAUCUUAAAUUUGAUUGUCACUAGGGGGUUAAAAGAGUUGCAUGCCUCAGUUGCCGGUAUUCGGAAUGCUGUGAAGUAUGUUAGAUCAUCCACUUCGAGAUUAAAAGCAUUUAAACAGUGUGUAGAUCAUGUGAAAGGCCCUAAUGGAACUGUGGUUUUGGAUUGUAUCACUAGGUGGAAUUCCACCUAUUUGAUGUUGAUGACUGCUUUGAAAUUUGGGGAGGCAUUUGAGAGGAUGGCAGAAGUGGAUAAACCGUAUGAAGCAUACUUUAGAGAGGAAGAAAACGAGAAAAAAAAGGGUAGGGCCACCUGAGCUUGAAGAUUGGGAACAUGCCGAAAGAAUUGUGAGGUUUUUAAAGAUCUUUAUGAUGCUACAUUGACUUUUUCAGCCUCUUUGAGUGUCACUUCUAAUCUUUGUUGCGAUACAAUUGGCUUAAUCGAGAAUCCAUUGAGUGCAUUAGAAAAAAGCAAAGAUGUUUAUGUGCAUUUGAUGGCUUCUAGUAUGAGGGAAAAAUAUGACAAAUAUUAGGAGUGCACAGAGAAAAUCAACAAAAUCAACAAAAUCUUGAUUAUUGCCUCAAUACUUUAUCCGCAUUGCAAAAUGGAUUUUACUAAACAUAUUUUUAGUAUGAUAUUUUCCGAUGAUAGUGCAAAGAUUGAAGAAAUGGUCGCGGUGAUGAAAGGCUUGUUAAAUUCACUUUUUGAUGCAUAUAGUGGAUGGAACUCCUCACCACCAUUGUCUAGUGAGAGUUUUCGUAGUGGCAGUGCCAGUGGUGGCGGUGGCGGUUCUAGUUCUUCUCCGCACCUUAUAGAUGACACGGAUCGGCAACAAGGGUACAUAAUGGAACAUGGUGAUGAUACUUUACGAGUUGCUCGCCCUUUUCUUGGAUAUGCUAAGAAAGUUUUAAUUCAAAACGAGGGCAAGCUUAUGACGACCGAGGUGGAAAGAUACUUACUUAACCCGAUUGAAGAUCCUAGUAAUGAUAAACUAAAUUUUUUAUUAUGGUGGAAGGUGAACAGGUCGAAGUAUCCGAUAUUGCAGAAAAUAGCAAGGGAUAUCCUUGCAAUUUCGGUAUCCACUGUGGCUUCGGAGUCCGCCUUCAGCACUGGGGGUCGUAUCAUGACGAAUAUAGGAGUUCUUUAACUCCCACUAUGAUUGAAGCAUUGAUUUGCACUGAAAAUUUGUUGCAGUCUAAACUUUUUUGCCACUCCUAUCUACGACCUUAAUCAAGAGUUGAAAGAUCAUAUAUAUCAAAUGGAGUUACAAGAGGGUAACUUUUUUAUAUUACAUUUUAUAUAGAAUACCUUUUAAAUUUAUUAUAACACAUUUUUUAUAUUACUCGUGCACUAAUUAUAAGUUAUUAUGUUUUUUUUUUCAUUUUAAAGAGUAUGUACAAUCACAAGCUUCAACAAUUACAAGUUACAACGAUGGGUGCUAGUAUUCGUCAUGAUAUUUGAAUAGGUAAGGUAACUCUUAAAUUUAAUAAAUCUUUUGGUUUCAAGGUAUUAUAUUUAUAAUUGUUUUACUUUUGGUUUUAAGUCAAUUGUAACAUGAUAAUUGUUUGUGAUCUUAUGUUAGGAAAAUUGAAGUUGGUAGUUGGAAAGCAAAAGUUAAGGAUUCAUCAAAGUGUGUUGUGAGUUUAAUUUGAUAUUAUUGUACUUUUGGUUUGAGGAACUUGUAGUCUAUCUAAAUGUUUUGGGAUGAUAAUUUUUAUUUUGGUUUAUUUUAUUGUUGGAUGAUAUAAUGAUAAUAUUUAUUUUGUGAUUUUGUGUUGUUUAUUUAUUUGGAGACUUGGAGUAAUGUUUAAUUGUUUAUUUUGUGUUGUUUGUUGGGAGACUUGGAGUAAUGUUUAUUUUGUGUUGUUUACUUGGAGACUUAGAGUUGGAGCAAAGUUUAUUUUGUGUUGUUUAUUUAGAGGCUUGGAGCAAUGUUUAUUUUAUGUUGCUUAUUUGGAGGCUUGGACUUGGAGUAAUGUUUAUGCACCUAACUUGUAAGAGCAUUAGUGCAUUACUAAUUAAAUGAAAUGGGAGUGCUUGUUUUCUUGGUAUAUGUCAAUGCCAUAUUGUCAAGGAGACAAUACAAUAUAGAUUGUCAUUUGUUAGCUUGUUUUCAUUUUCUUUUUUUUUUUAAUGGUUAGUAAGUUUUCAUUACUUAUAGAUUUCAUAAUUUUUUUGUGAGAAUUGUGAAAAAGGUCCAAAUCCGAUUUCAAUCCGAAUUAAUCCGAAUCCAAAAUAUAAUCCGAAUCCGAAAAUUAAUCCAAAAUCCAAACUCAUCCGAUCCAAUCCGAAUCCGAAUUCAAUCCAAAUUUUCAUCCGAUCUAAAUCCGAUCCGAAUAAUUCGGAUCGGAUGAAAAUUCGGAUUGAAUUCGGAUGAAUUUUUUUUCAAUCCGAAUUAUCCGAAAUCCGAUCGAAUUCAUCCGAAUCCGAAAUUGCCCACCCCUACAAAGAAGCAACUCAGUAUUCGUCUUAUUGAAACGAUUGCUUAAUUCUUUAAGUUGCAUGUCCAAAAUUGCAUAAAAUAAUUCAACACGAAAACAAUGCAAAUUUGUGAUCUUUUGAGCCUUGCGUUGUGAUCUUUCUUGAGUUCGAAACAAAUCAUCCAUAUUCGGAACAUCAAUAUCAUGCUUUACACAAUAAGAAAAAGUUUCACCAAAUAAAGAGUCUCAUCCAUUUUCUCCAGUCUUUUGCAAGUUUCUCUUAUACACUUCAAUUAAUUUCAUAGCAUUCACAAUGUCUUGAUCCUUUUUUUGUAAUGCUUGUGAUAACUCAUGUGCAAAUCCAAGAAUAUUUUUCAUUAACAGCAGGCUAAACACAAAAUCAAAUGAUUGCAUUGACUUCAAUAACAUUCUAGCUUGAAAUCUUUGUUCAGAAUUUCCCUCAUUUGAAAUUAUCUCAAGCAUGUCAAUAAUAGAUGGAAACAUGGUGAUUAUACUCAAUAACGUACCAUAAUGUGAGCCCCAACGUGUAUCAGCAGAUCGCUUUAAAGUAACCUCUUGAUUUAAACCUCGUCCACUUGAAAGUUCACCAUCAUCAAGUGUUUUAAUAACUGCUUGAGCAUGUUUCUCUUGAAGAAUAUCACGACGUUUUGUUGAAGCACCAACAACAUUAACUAACAUUGUAAGAGAAUUAAUUAUGAGAAUUUAAAGAGAAACUGAAAACAAUUCCCAUGUCAAAAUGUAAAAACAAAUACAAAAAUACAAAAUAUUAAUUUAAUAAACUAACUACCCGAUUAAAUCCUCAACCACUAAGUUACUAAUCCAUCAUAGCAUCACGCCAUCACCAAUGGCAUUGUUAUUCUAUUAUUUAUAAUGAGUAAAGUUAAAAGCAUUGCCACUUUAUCAAGAAGCAUCGCCACUUUAUCAAGAAACAUGCCACAAUUAUUCUAUUCAAAAAGUAUAAACAAAUUCAAGAAUUGUAAUAUUAAAUUAUAAAGUGACAAAGAUGUUUAAUUAUUAAAAUAAUUUAGCCACUCGGCCUUUGGCCGAGUGGUCAGGGCAGCAAUUCGAACCCCCACAAAAGCAUUGUGGGGGUAUUUCCUUCCUCAAUUAAAAAUUGAGUGAAGGUAGUCUUCUUUUUUACCCAUGAGUGAGGAGUGGACAUCCCUCGAAUAUUUGUGAGGGUUAAAAUCUGGGCAGAGCUCCAUUAGUAUUGAUGUAAGUUGGUCCCAGUAAUAGUCUGAUUUGUAAAUAUCAGUUAUACUCUCAUGUAAUAUGAGUUGUAAUAUGAGCAAUAGUCUCAUGUAAUCAAAAAAAAAAUUAUCAAAAUAAUUUAAUCAAUUCUUAAUAAUUAAUCUAAAAGCUGCAAAGGUAUGACAGUAGUACCUGAAAAAAUGCAAAGAUGCAGACCAUGCGGUGGUGCAGGGCUCCGAGUGCCAACUGCAAGUUGUAGCAUAUAUGGCAUGAAAGCAAAGAGGUGUGAUGGCAUGAGAGUUUGACAGAGAUAGACGACAGGCUGAUCACUGAUGGUAGCCGAUGGAGUUUUUCUUUGGCAAAGGAUCGAUGGUGGUGGUUAGGGAUUUGAUUUUGAGUUUUUUUUUUUAAUUUCUAAUCGUUGUUUUAAAUAUUAGUCUUUUAGUUAUUUCAAAAAAAAAUUCAGGGACUUUAUUGUAAAUUCACUAAAAAAAGAUAAAUUUAAUUGUUUUUAAAAUUCUAGGGGGGCCUUCAGCCCCCAGCUCUCAAGUGGCGCCGCCUCUGCCUGCAACGUCAAUCGUAUCAAGCAAAGAUAUAGGACAUUUAAUAAUGAAAAAAUUAGGAAUUUUCAUGGACACACCAGUCGGUUCCGUAAAUAUAUAGAAUCAACUGAUUCUAGGUACCUUACAAUGUGAUUUUUUUCCCCUUGAAGAUAAGGACUAUUUUUUAGGAUACUGGCCGUUGAGGCUUUGUUUGUAUUUUUGCAAGAAAAUGGAAAAGGGUGGGCUAAAUCGCAAAAAAUAAAGCUAAUAGCUGCUAAAUUGAAUUUUUUAAGAGUGUUUUAAUGUGGAAUUUGAUUUGGGAACUUUUUUGUAGUUACAAGAAACAGCCACACCGGGUAACAAUUAGGGCAUUCUUUCAUAAAUUGGAUAUCAAUAGUAUCGAGUACGAAUGAGGAUGGUUAAAUGCCUAAUCACCCUAUUAAUCUUACAGUCGACAAAAAGCAAAAGCAAAAGCAAAAGCAAUAGCAUUACAAAUAGUAUAACUAUCAAAUUGAUUCACUAUGUCUAAACGACAAGUCAUCUAAAUAAUUUGUCAUCUAAUUACUAAAUUAUUUGACGCAACGACUGAUUUAGAAUUUUAAUUUAGAGGGGGCUUGGUACAAAUACUGUGAUUCACAGUAGCGCGUUCGAUGGUGCGAGUGAUCAACAACAACGACAGACAAGUGAGGCAAUGAUGAUGUAUAUGUUGGAAAUAUGAAUUCAUAUUGUUUUUUGAAAGUACACAAUAUGAAUAGUAGCUGUUGGUACUGUUACUUCACUAUUUACUAAUACUAUUGAUCUUACUGUUCACUCAACAACAAUCGUAAAUUUGUCAAGGUGUGUUCGAAGUGUCCUUAAGACUAAUUUUUGCUUCUCUAGAAAGAUUUUCCGAUACAAAAAAUAUAUAUAUAUAAAACGAAUUGAUCCCUAGGAUAUAAUGACAUUAUUGUGAGCUUGCACUCCAAGCACAAUAGUUUAGAAUAACAAAAGAAAAAUUAAUGAAAAAAAUAUAAGAUAGAAGAAUAGGUUACAAUGGUUGUGCCUUGAAGAUUUUGUAUUUUGAAAUACCAAUAAAACUCUAAGAAUAAGCUUAAAUAAUUUGAUCAAAAUUGCACUUUAAGAUGAAACACUAAUUAAUGGCCUUUCAAGACUUGAAUUGGGUUAAAUAGUUUAUGUACGAAAAUUGAAUUAUUGACAUCCCUAUCUCCUUUUAUAUAUUGUUGGUAAUAAAUCUAAUAACUUUAUGUGGUUGUGAUUCUUAAUGUAGUUUUUUUUAAUCGUUAGCUGUGUACGUGUCAUUAUUAGCAAUGUGUCAUUUUCAUUACUGUGUCAUUGUUGGCAGUGUGUCAUUUUCAUUACUGUGUCAUUUGUAGUAUUUAGAAUCAUUGGCCAAUAAUUUUGUAACAAGACCAACAUAUAGGGGUAAAUGACAAAUUCACGAGUGGGGGACAUACACCUGUUUAUAAUAUUGUAAAUGCAUUUUUUCAUGAGUUUACAGUGUUCAAAAGUAUUUUCUUCAUUCUAAGUGUGGACAUGCCAAUUUUGCAUAAUAGUCAUAUCCCAGAACAAAAGUCACAUUAAAAUUUUAUUCAUUUAUUCAGGUUUUUUUCCUGCAUUAACGAAUUCAUUGUGUAGGAUUUCAUUUUUAUGUAAACCAAUUCAGUUACGAGAAUCAACUACUAAUUUUUUUCCCGUUAAUUGGCUACGUUUACGUUAAUUAACUGAUAAAUAACUUUGCAUUAGCAAAGCCAAGAGAUUAAUUUAAACCCCUAAGAUUCAAAUAUUCUUUCACUAGUACUACUGGACAAAUUUGGCAAUCGAUAUUUCGGAAGACAUCAUCACACGUGUCAAACAAAAGUUAAAAAAAUAGCCAGUCCCAUUAAAAUCACCAAAUGCAAUCCAAUAACAUGCUCCAUUAUGUAUUGACUUUCAUGAGAAUUAGCAGGAAAAAAAAAAGUUCAUUUAGUUAAGCAAAUAGCAACCUUUGAUUGUUCUUUAACAUUACUAAAAAUCUAAUUCUUACUUUACUUGAUUGUAUUGUCGAAUCUUUCUGAAAAGGUAGAAGAUAAAUCCCAUUUAUUGGAAUUGUAUGUAGGACGUGUUUUGUUCAAAAUCAGUAAUUUGACAGUUAAGAAAUGAACAGAAAGUUGUUGAAGGUAGUGCAUGACGUCUCAUGCGCUUUAAAUUUCAAAAAUUUAUAUCUUUUUGACAUGGAAACUACUCAGCAAGGAAAUGGUGGCUCAACAACAUUAUAUAUAUAGAGCUCUCUAGGUGAAUUGAAGAUGAGAAUGAGGGAUUGCAUAAGCUACAAGAAUGAACGGUCAUUUGUAAAGUACAGCGAAUAGGGUCCAUUAGAUCAAAUCAAGUAGAGUAGAAGAAAAUGAAUACACUUAUGCUACAAUCAGUUUCAAUUUCUUUCAUCUGGUAACCGUCUAUAAACAAGAUACAAGCUCUAAGCCACCAAUGGGCUAUAAACAGAGCUUCAUUCAAGAGAGUUAAAGGUAUCCCAAGUUCUGAAAAUUGAGAGCAUGUACAAGUGAGCUUUUACAGAGAUUUUUCAGAGAAUGUUUUCUUAACUAUUCUAGAGGGAUUUAUAUUGGGUGUAUUUAGGUUAUCGGAUUUUGAGAAUUGUUCCCAUUCAAAGCCCAACCCCAAUUCAUGAGCCUAAAUAAUAAACCAAACAAAAGAGAAUAUUCUCUCAAUUUAUCUAGAAUUACUUUGCUAAAAAUAUCAUGAAUCAUUGGCGUUGUGGCAGUUUUAAAAUUUGGUGAUUCCUAAGAAAUUAAUGGUAAUAAGUUUAGAAUGUCGUUAUUUGUUAGGACCUGCAUUUAAAAUCUUAAAUAUUCGUAAUUAAUUAUAAAGAUCUCGGUUCACCUGCAAGCUACAACAAUUAGCUAACUGAUAUAUGGUAUUUUUUACAAAACUAUUCAAAAAGAAAGGGUAUAAUUAAUCAAACUGAUUUGGACAAUACCACACGAUUUUUUUUUUAUUGACAAACCAACAUAAACAACAUAUUAACGUAAAUAACGCAUUCACAUAUAAUUGUUUUAUUUAGUUAUUAAGAAAGACGAAGUACAUGGACGGUGGACACUAAGAAAUAUAAUCUCUUGUAUAUCAAGAGAUUUUAGAGGUUGAAAUGAACUAAACUGACCCUCACACAAUUAAUUGACAGUAAUUGACAGGUAAGAACAGUACCCAUCCUUUUAUUAACCAUAAUGGAAAAGAGUAAUACUGCGUGCGUGCGUGCGCUUAUUAACCAGUGUGGUCGGGAUUUCUUCCAUAUUGAGGGACAGCAAUAAGAUCAAGAUUGUCAACUGUCCCGUCCUUAUCAUCAGCAAUACCAUAUACAGGUACUGGAGUACCCUCCAACCAUUCAUUCUUACCUGAAAGUUUAACAUUAGAAAAUGGAUUCAUAAAUGCUUAUAUUAAUAUAUGAAUUGUAAAUGAUAUCCAUUCAGCUGAAAUUGGCUAAAAAACCUGCGCAAGGAAAAGGAGUUUCCAUAUUCUUCAAAUCAGAAAAGAUCUCCAGGUGAAGCGUAAUCAAAACUCAAAAAUAAGUAGAGCUUGAGCGUGUUCUUAGUUCUGGUUUGAUCUGAUAUAUAUAGAUUCAAGAAGCCGAUGUUGCCGAGGUGUGGGUGAUUGUGACGUAGCAAAACAUAUAAUAGUUAUUUAAGAUUAACGGCCAUGGCUAAACUGCACGUCGAAACGUGUUAGCAUGGUUCCAUAAAAUAAUAGUUAUUUAAGAUUAACGGCCAUGACUAAACUGCACGUCGAAACGUGUUAGCAUGGUUCCAUAAAAUAAUAGUUAUUUAAGAUUAACGGCCAUGGCUAAACUGCACGUCGAAACGUGUUAGCAUGGUUCCAUAAAAUAAUAGUUAUUUAAGAUUAACGGCCAUGGCUAAACUGCACGUCGAAACGUGUUAGCAUGGGUCCAUAAAAUAAAUAAUUUUAUCUAAUUAGGAGAGAAAUCGAUUCAGUAAUAAGCUGCUGCUUGCACUUCCUAGAAAUUUUAAAUUUAUGAAUUGAAAUUACUCACGCCUUUUCUUGUGUAGUUAAUUAUGCAUACAGUUCAAGCUGAGGGAUACUGAUGUGAAGUGUAGGGACAUGGAUAUAUACUAUCGUUUACAUUAUUUUACAGCCUUGAUGUAUUAUUUUAUUUGGCAAUCAUAUAGUCAUUGUCUGCACUACACUUUGUCUUCCCUACACUUGUCUCCACUUGAGUAUUCUUGAGUGGUAGCUGAGUCACAAGUCACCUUCUCAUGUCCGCUGGGCUUGCCUGUCGUGCUUGAUUUACUUUGUUCUAACACCCCGGCUCAAUCUCAGUUUUCUUAGCAUACUCUUAGGUCAUGUUUGGUUUGUAAAAAAUGAAGGAGAGGAAAAGAGUGGAAUGGAGAGGAAGAGAAAAGAAAGGAAUGGAGAAAAGUAGUAGUGAAAUCACAUUUUGUUGUUUGGUUUGAUAUAAAAUUUAAUAAGGAAAUGAAUUAUAAUUUUUUUCUUUAGACUAAUUUACAAUUUACCUCAAAUAUUUAAUUAUUUAUACUAGUAAUAAUAUAUAUAUAUAUAUAUAUAUAUAUAUAUAUAUAUAUAUAUAUAUAUAUAUAUAUAAAUAAAAUGACGGUCCGGUGGCCGGCGGUGAAGGUCCGGCUACUUUUCGGCGAACGUCCGGCAUCUUUUCGGCGAACGUCUGGCAGGAUUCCGGCGAAGUUCGGUGGGAUUCCUGCGAGGUCCGGCGGCUUUCCGGCAACGUCCGGCGACUUUCCGGCGGUGAUCCAUUUAUGAUAUUAAAUCAAUAAAAUAAAAUUAUAAAUACUAAUUAUUAAUGAUAUUAAACAAAUUAAAAAGUUGAAAGGUAAUUUUAGAAACUUUAGUUUCUAACAUAAGAGGAAUUUAAAUUCUUCACUACUUGGUGUGGAAUUCAAAUUUUACAUUAUGAUGGAUAUUAAAUUUUAAUAGAAAUUAAAUUCUUAUAUAUUUUGUCAAACCAAACAAUGAAAAUGAAAAGAGAAUUUAAAUUACUUUUCUCUUCUCCAUUCUCUCCUCCCAACCAAACACCACCUUAAUUUAUUUGUAUGAAAUUCAAAUAGCUCAUGUCCCAAUGCCUUUGUCAUAAUGUCUGCCACUUGCCUUUUACUCAGCACAUAUUUAAGAAUUAUUUCUCUUUUCCCGAUUUUUCAGUGUAAAUAAAUUAAGCCAAUAUCUUGAGAAUCCAAGCGAUACAUACAGUAGAAUUUGAAAUGGUGCAAGACCUAAUCAAGUUUGAUAUAUACUAAGUUACAGAGGCCAUUGAUGACAUACGUAGGAAAUUAUCUAUAAUUGUUGCUUGACUCCCACGUAUGUGUGUAUAUAUAGUUCUUUUCAAGUGAGGGCAUCCUCAUUUUGUUAAAGUGAGGAUGCCCUCACUAGAAAAUUACAGUAGUGAUAUCGCUGUUGGAUUUUUUAAUCUAGUAUUGUUGGAUCCUUAAUCCAAUACUGAGUUUUUAUGUGAAAAAUUUAUAUAUUACAGACCGUCAUAUAAGAUUAAGUACAAUUAAAAGUGAACUAUUUAGGUUUUCGGUGUUAUGGACUUUAAUGUGUCUAAUAGGGUGUGAGCUUUAAUGUGUAGAGAUUCAAUGAUAUUUUAAUUUUAUGAUGGACAUAAUUAGAAAUAUCCAGUGACAAUAAGAAAAUGUUGUCUAUAUAAGUGGUUAUGGUUCCAAAAUCACACGUAUGUUUCUAUUCUAUAUUGACAUCUCAUCAUCAGAGAGAGAGAGAGCGCAUAGAGAAUUAAAGGACUUUCUAUUCUCUUUUUAAGUGAGGAUACGCUCACUAGAAAAUUACAAUAGUGAUAUCGCUAAAACAACUAUUUUAGAGUUUGAUUAUUUGAACAAGUAAUUUUAAUUAUGGUUGGCUAGAAUUAGAGUAGUAUGUUAUUAGUCUUUCUAUUUAUAUUUAGGUAGAAUUCUAUUUCUAUGUUUGAGUGUACAUUGCCUGGUAGAUUUACUCAAUUACAAAUCACGUGGUUACAUAAUAUGUUUGAAAACCUCUACUUAACAAAAUUCUUAUUUUAUUUUCUUUCGUAAUAUGAUUUACCUAAGUCUCUCUUAUAAAAUCAUUUGCAUUAAAGCAUCAAUUAAUCUCAUUACUAUGAUGUAUUAUUUGUCUUGGACUUCUUAUUUUGGUCUAUCACUAUAUUACUUACCUUGAGCUGUCUCACUAUUUUCGCAUAAUAUUAUCUGCCUUGAGUCAUUCAUUUUUGUAUAGAGUGGUUAUAUUAUCUCAUCAGUUUUUAUAUUAAUUUCUAUUUUGCCGCUGUAUGAAAUUACUUGUUUUGGUGAAUUACUAUAUUAUUUCCCUUGGGCCGCCUCACCAUUUUGUUGCAUAAUCUGCCCUGGGUCAUUCAUUUUUGUAUAGAGUGGAGAUAUGAUCUCAUCAGCUUUUAUAUUAAUUUCUGUUUUGCCAUUGUAUGAAAUUAUGAAAAAUGGAUAUUGAAGAGUUUCUUGCCACAAAUUGAACCUGCAUCUCUGGUAAGCAUUACUCAUGCACUUUCGCGAAAAAGGCAGUAAGUGAAUGACCUAAACUCAUGGUUCAUUUCAUAUUAUGGAGUUUCUUAAUUUCUUCAGGAUUAUUUCGCCUGGAAUUCUCCUAAUUUGCUUCCAAAAAUCCACUGCUGAUAGGGUUGGUGCUUGCCACAUUGCCUUUGCGGCUGGUAGUGGCUUGUAUGCUUGUUGGAUUAGUCAGAAAAUCCAAUUGGCAUUGGUCACAAAUUUGUUUAUUCAAAUUUUUAUUCGAGCUGAGGGAUACAUAUAGUAGUAGACUUCAUAUACUAUGGGUGCGUUUUUGGGAUUGAGGUUGGGUAGCUGUGACUUUUAAGUUACAGCACUAAAGUGUUUGGUAAACACUAGCUGUUGUACCUUUUAAACUAUAUUAAUAUGAUUUUUUAUUUGUAUAAUGAAAAAUUUAUUAUAUCUUUAAUAAUUUGUCAUAAUUAUUAUUUAAAAUUUAUAUUUACUAUAUAUUAUUAACUUUUGUUUGAUAGUUACUGUUUUUUUUUCCAUAACAACUGUAGUUUUUAAGUUACAGCACCUCAAUUCCAAACAGAACCUAUGUUGUCUUUCUCAUAUAUAUAAAAUAUAGUAAGAGAUAUAUAUUGCUUUCAUAUAAUUCUCAAUAUCAUAGGCGGUAAACCUGGACUCUUGGCCUAAAGACAAUAUGAGCAUGAAACCAUUUCGCGUGGGUGAUCAGUUAAGCCACCAAUGGGCUAUAAACAGAGCUUCAUUCAAGAGAGUUAAAGGUAUCCCAAGUUCUGAAAAUUGAGAGCAUGUGCAAGUGAACUUUUGCAGAGAAUUUUGAGAGUGUUUUCUUAACUAUUCUAGCGGGUAUUAUAUUGGGUGUAUUUAGGUUAUCGAGUUUUGAGAAUUAUUCCCGUUCAAAGCCCAACCCCAAUUUCAUGAACCUAAAUAAUAAACCAAACAAAAGAGAAUAUUCUCUCAAUUUAUCUAGAAUUAUCUUGGGUAAUAAUAUCCUGAAUAAUUGGCGCUGUGGCAGUUUUAAAAAUUUGGUGAUUGUUAAGAAAUUAAUGACAAUAAGUUUAGGAUGUCGUUACUUGUUAGGACCUGCAUUUAAAAUCUUAAAUAUUCGUAAUUAAUUAUAAAGAUCUUGGUUCACAUGCAAGCUACAACAAUUAGCCAACAAAUAUAUAGUCUUUUUGACAAAACUAUGCAAAAAGAAAGAGAAUAUAAUCAAUGAAACUGAUUUGGACAAUACCACACGAUUUUAUUUUUAUUGACAAACCAACCUAAAUAACAUAUUAACGUAAAUAACGCAUCCACAUAUAAUAGUUUUAUUUAAUUAUUAAGAAAGAUGAAGUACAUGGACAUUGGACACUAAAACAAUUAUAAUCUCUUAUAUAUCAAGAGAUUUUAGAGAUUAAACUGAACCAAACUGACACUCGCAUGAUUAGUUGACAGAUAAUAACAAUACCCAUCCUUUUAUUAACUAUAAUAUAAAAAAGUAAUACUGUGGCUAUGUAUGUAUUAUUAACCAGUGUGGUCGGGAUUUCUUCUAAAAAGAGAGACAACAAUAAGAUUAAGAUUGUCAAAUGUCACUUCCAUAUCAUCAGCAAUACCAUAUACAGGUACUGGAGUAC